AACUAGCUCUAAAGAAAGACAAGUGCAGCAAAUUAAAGAUGUUUAAUUAAACCUCUCUAAUCUUAAACAUAAGUAGUUGAGGUGCCGAAUAUGUUUGGAUCGAUCCAGUACCGUAAGUAACAAGGCAGCUUCUUCUAAUUAAACAUAUCGUCCCGUCUGGUUAUUUCCGUUUGCCAGAACGCAACCUCACCCAUGAUCACAUAAUUAUCCACCAACAAAACAAUCGUUGCCAAGGUCAUAAUCAAGCUAUCAUCAGACUGUCCGUGCUCUCCGCGGACGGCAGCUGCUAUAACCUCGUGAUAAAUCCAUGACAUUGCAACACCAUUUUCCAUCAAGAAACGAUGUGCGGGACCCAAAUCUGCACUACGAAAAGCACCACGAAAGAAGUUGAGCAGCAAAGGUAUGUAAAUCGAGAGAAGAAAAUAAUACGCAUUGAUGCUUAAAGAGAGCAGAACGCCGGCCCGCCUGCUUUGUGUGCAGAGAUGAGAUAAAGCUACUACGUAUUGUGCCCAGUAAAAGAUCGAAGAAGCUGAUUCGAUUCUGAUGCUGAAUCCCCAGACCAAGACUAAGGUUGGAGCAAGGGUUGCUAUGCCUGCAUAUUCAGAGCCCAAAACCUCCGCGAACAAGAUCAUCCAGCUGUUUAAGUUUGUGAUGAGCAUCAUUGUUAACAAAGAUGACAUGUCGGGAAGAAGCUCAUGAUUGUGGGUUGGCCAAAUAGGCAUUUUCCCUCUUUUUUGUAAAUUUUUUUCUCGGUAUUGUAUGUAACUUGUCUGUUUGGCUUCUGGGAAAACAAAUAUGAGAGGAGAAAGUGAUUGGAGAAAAUUAAGCUGAAUUACAUGAUGAGGGUUGAGGCAGUCCAAACCAUGUGCUUCUACUCUGUUAGUGCAUUUACCUAUCUCAUAUAACAAAUGGAAAUGGCAGAGAAUUCAAAUUAAAGCUGCACAAAAUGGGAAACUGAGGUAUAAAGUGCUGGGUGGAAGUGACAAAUUAAGGAAUUUUAAAGGUCAUAGUCAUCUCAAUUUAUAGACUUCAUUAAUGCCAAUAUCUUAUUAAUUUCUGAAGUUGAAAAUUAACAUAUCGUUGACGAUGUUGAGCUGUACAAAGCUCGUUACUCAUUCCAGUCACUUUAUUUCUCAAAUUUAUGAUCUUUCAAAAUCUUCUCAACUCCCACUGUUAUUGCUGUUUUUUCUGUUGAUCAAUUAAAAUUCAUUUCUUCUGUUUGAAUGCAGGCACAUUUAUUUUUCAUCAAUUUUUUUUAUUUACGCAUAUCUAUAUUUUGAGUAAUUGUAAAAAAUUAUGUAUGGGAAUUAAGAAUUAUUGUUAUGUUAUUAACCAAACUCUCAAGAUUUUAAAUGCAGUGGAAAGUUUUGUAUGUUUCAAUUUUAUUUUUAUCAAUAUUUUUUUGGAGAAACAAUUGUUGAAAAAAAAAAGUAAAAUAAGAGAGCGAGAAACUUUUGCCAAAAAUUGAAAAGGAGACUUGUACUCCAAGUUAUUGCUAUAUGCCCACACAUAACACAAGCGUAAUGUAUAUCUCCAUAAUUAAAUGAUGAAUGAUUAUUCACGUCUCUUGUAGAAGAUGAAAAAUUCAAGAACAUACCAAUAAGUUUGAAAGAAGAAAUACUGAUUAGAUGUGAAGAUGAUCGGUGUGAACUUAAACGUGUUAUUGGAUCGUUUGAAAUCUUGUGUUGCGAAGAUGGAUAAAAUAUUGAAGCUAAUCACGUCGAUGAGUGAACAUGAUAAAAUAAUCAGUGUUCAAGACCAUUUGAGCAUUUUACAGUUUAAAUGCAUAGAGAAAUUGUAUGAUGAAUGGAGUGAUGAUGCGAUAGAGGCAUCGAUUAAUAAACUAAGGUUACUUGAUUUUAACCUAAAAAAGACUCACUUGCCUUUUGAACUUUGUAAAGGCUAAUAUUUAACAUUUAAUUUCUCCAAUAUUUUAAUAGUACAUUUGUCUAUAUCUACAAGUGAGGUUUAUCAUGAAUAUAGAUUUUUAAAUUGUAAGAACCAUGAUUUUAUAGUAAAAAAAAAAAAAAAAGAACACAACGAACGACAAAAAUAGAUAAUGAACACAUAUUCUUUUAAAAAAUUUAAAUAAUUUAUGUCUAAAAAAAUAACAAUCAUAACAAGAUCAUGUUCUUUUUACCUACUCACAAUCAAUAAUUUUAUGCAUUCUAAUAAAAUAGUAAUAAUUAAGUCAAAUAAAAAUAAAAUAAGCUCAUGAUCAACACCAACUACCAACAGAGACAACAAAUAUUUUGUGAUAGAUUGUGGACAAAAUAACGUAUAUCAUAAAAGCAUGCGAACUCGUGAUGGAAUUACAGUUUAUGAAGGAUUAAUGACCAACUUUGUGAUAGAAUUAUUGACAAUCAUGAACUUAAGAUAUGGUCUAAGACAAAAAAUUAUAUUAACUAUUAUUUAAAAAUAAGAAAUGAAACGGUGCGUUUAUGUAGUGCUCGAGUAAAAACACUCCGGUAUUUUCCAAGUCUAAACACAGUCAUCCUCACGGUAACGGGUCACAGCCUCACUAUUAAAUCAUAAACUCAAACCCUCACUCGAUCAUUCAAAUUUCUAUGACGUCACUGCGUAUAUUACAAAGCAAAGAGAGUUACCAUAUUGCUAUCGUUCAGACCUCAAUGUUGCCGCCGUUGUGCCAAUCAUCUAUCGGAGUUCUUGGCGAAGAGUGGUCGGGAUUUGCUCCCCGGUCGCUGGAGGCCCCAACACUGGUGAGAUUCGAUGUGACACAGUGGAAUUAGCUGUGAAGCGAUGAGUUAGUGGUGGCCAGGGUUUCACUUUCGUUUCCCCCAAACCAGUUUUCUUCCCAAUUCCCCAUAUGCCCCUCAUGUAGUGUCAUAUUAUUAAUCGAUGGUUCAUGUUCUUUCAUUUCUAUUUCAUAACAAAUUACUUUUAAAUUUAUAAUUUAACUUGGUAAUUAAAUAUUUAUUGGUUUAAUUGUUGCAAUUCGAGCUGGAUUAUGAGCUGAUGGGUUCCCUCGAUGAGAAUUCAGCUCAGUCUCUUGAUCAACUAUGGGACCUCACAGUAAUACCAACUUAUUCAGCCUUUUCUUUUGUCCAUAACAUACGAAAAGGAACUUGCUAACCUCCCCGUUCAAUUUCACAUUUUUGUUAAAACCUGGAUUUUAUUAAUUUUUAUUAUUUGUAUAUGUGCCCUAUGGUGGAGUUACUGAAGAGUUGAAAGGCAGUUGUUAGAAAACAAAAAAUUAAUAUUCAAUUCCUUAGUUCAUCCUUGACUUGGCUUCCAUGGCUUUUUGCACAAACCAUGCUUGACUAUCGAAAUUAAGGAAUUAGGUUGGAUAAUGCUUAGAUGGUCAAUAAUUAGCCAAACAAGACAAGUAAUAUCCAUUGGUUGAUGAUGCGUGAUUACUGGAUGGGUCAUCUUAAUAAUAGUGCCUUUGAUAUUAGGUGUACUUUCUUAUUUGUUUUGGACUCAUCCAGGGACCAGAAGGCAGAGGCUGAGACUAAGCCUUUUAUGAAAAAUUCUCUGUCCUAGGUUAAGUUUGGCACUAUUGUGCCGAGUAAGUUGCAUUAAUUUCUUUCACUCUCUGUGUUUUUGAUUCCUUGAUCAGUUUUCAAUAUGCAAAGCACUGAACUUAAAUUUCUGUGACUGUGUGGUAGAUUGACUUGAGUGGAAAUUUGCUUUCAAAUUAGAAGGUUUGCGUUCGUACAUUUUACAAUUUGUAAGAGCUGCUCCAAAUAUGUUUUGAUCUGUACUCUCUCUUUCGCCUUUGUCUUUCUUGUCAUACAUAAGCACAAAAAUUAUUAUCAUCUAUGUGCAUUGAAGGAGCUUUAGCUUUAAAUUUAUUAGCUACAAAACCUGCGUUUUCUGCUAGAUAACCUUUUAAAAAGCACGGUCAUAUUUAGCAUGACAUCGAUGCACAUAACUGGCUUUUUAGUCUUUCAAUAAAUUCUAAAUUUCUCAAAGCUAAAUGCAAUAGGUGAUCUCUAUUGGUUUGUUUGAGUUUCUCUGAUUAAACUUACUCUCCUUUUUACUGUAAAAUGGAAAUGAAAAAUCUCUUGAGUGCGCUGAGAUUUCCUACAAUUGGGUUCUUAAGUCAAGGCGUUGUUGAAUGAAAUGAAAUUCGCUGGUGGUGCAGUGCAUGCCAGAACAACUAAGCCUACUUCUACUCUUUAGUGGUGCAUCUACUGAAGUUUCAUUAUUACUGAUAGUGGAGAGCUGAGACAAAUUGGUCGAAAGUAGAUGUAUAAUUUCUUAGCAAUGUUUUGGUUCAUGCUUUGAUAUUUUCAUUUGUUUGGUAUUUCUUGAGAUUACUAUUAUUAAUAUAUUGGUAAAUGAUGUUGAUUAUUGCUAUAAACCACUAUUUGUGAGUAUACAUUAAGUGAUUGCUCUACAUAUGUUUUUCGUUUAAAAGAAAUGAUAGUUUAUAUAUACAAGCUUCUUUUUUUCUAUAUUUAAAAAUUUUAUAUCAUCAUUGUGGUUUAAUUAUGAAUUCUUUGCAGAAGGAUUUUAGCGCUGGAAUUUGGUGGACAUUGAUUUUUGGCACAGGUACUUUGCUGCUGGUGAUUACUCAUGUUGGGAUAUGGGGUUGAUGUAUUUUGAAAAUACUUCAAAAUACAUGUAUUUUGUUGUUUAUUUUUAUAGGAGGCAACACCAUAAUAAAAUAAUAAUAAUAAUAAUAAAAUUUAGCGUAAUUAUCAAACUUUGUUUAUAAAAUUAACCCACCAAAGAUAAUUUUUCCAAAAAUUAAUAGAAAAUUUAUUUUUUAGUGGGUUCAACUGCCACUGCACCCUUGAAUAUAGAUCCAUCCUGGUGACAAUGAUGUAGACAAAGGAGAGAUUGUUUGUCAUGCACCUCAUUUUAUGAUAAUUAUUUUUCAUCAUCGAAUGUUUGUUUUCUUAUAAUGCUUGUUAAUUUAAGAAUCAUAUGGUUAACUUUGACUGUGCCUAUUUGCCAUAUGGGCAAAAUUUUGCUAUUUCAUGGCUUAACUAGAAAAAAAAAACCUUUAUUGACUUAUUUUUUUAUUUACCUCAAAUUCAUCCGUCAUUUUCACUUAGAUUCUGUUUAGUGUGGCUUUAUAAAUAGCACUUAUUUACUGUAAGUAUAACUUUUGUUAGGAAAACUUUUACCAAAAUAAUUUUAGUUGUUUGAUUAUCAAUGAGAACUUUUAUUAAAAAUUGUAAAAAUUACUUUAUAGGUAAGUUUUUUUAAAAUUAUGUUAUGAAAUAAAUAAAAUAAGAUUAUAAAAAAUAAAACAAGAUAUUUUAGACAUUAACAUUUUGAAAAAGUUUUUCAAUCUUUGUGCCUAAAAGCCCAAAAUUUGAACUUUGCGAGUAAAGGUUAAAUAACUUAUUUGAUCUUCAAAAGUUUUACCAUUAAAUAAGUUAUACCAAACAAACACUUAAAAAAUUAUUUAUUAUAAGAAGUUAUAACAUUAAAAUUAAAAGUCCUAAAAUUUCCUUGAGGCCCUCCCCUCCCCCCCCCCCCCCCCCCCCCCCCCCCCCCCCCCCCCCCCCCCCCCCCCCCCCCCCCUCCCCCCCCUCCCCUCCCCACAAUGCACGUUAUUUGUUGUGGUUUGCUUAUAAGAAUAUUACAUUAGUUUGGACUUAGUGACGGUUCAAAUUAAACAAUGUGAUAGCAGGAAUAUUUGAUUUAGGAGAUAAAUGAUUCGGAAAAUUGCAAAAAUUUAUUACACUUUGAAGUGUUUUUUUUUUUUUUUUUUUUUAAGUAUUCAGCAAGUAAUUCUGACUUGUUGGACUUCCCAAAAAGUUUGAAUGCUUUUUAAGUCUUCCAUUCUAUAAAUUUCCUUAACCAGUGCACAUGCACGGGCCAUCACUCUAUAAAUCACAAGGCUGCUUUCAGGGGAAUUUAUUCUAUGGAAUUUUUAAACUUCUAUCAGCAUGAUGAAUUUCUUGUCCGCUUGAACCCGGCCACGCUCCCCACUCCAAACGAAGGCUCACUGGGAGACUGUACCGUUUACAUUCCUGUCUCUCGUAACAGUAGCAAUAUUUCUUGGAAUGCAAGCAAUGCUUUUGAAAUCAGUAGCUAAGUUUUGGAUUUUGAUUUAUUUUCUGGUUUCACAUGAGAAAUCUAAUUAUAUGAUCCAUAAAUACUCGAGCUACUAUCAUCAAGCUUUUUUUUCUUUAUUAUUUUUUUUCUAACUAACAAAUUAAUGAAUUCCAGCUGCCCUCCAGAGUUGCCCCAAUACACUUCAGUGAAGGAUUGUAAGAGAACCCUAGUGAAGUGGUUAGGGGAACUCCGGACAGCUGAAGAAGUAACACUACUCUUUCUCUUGUUGUCUGAAUGGACGUUGGCAUUGAGAUUACUUAGCAGGCCCGCUACUUAUACGGUAUUUACAAUAGUGGCCUUUGCUUUGCCCGUAAGCAUCAGAGAUUCGAGUGAACAAGUUCACAAUUCACCAUAAGUUGUCGGAGUUGAACCUGGUCAGAAUUAUGGGUAAUAUGAAAACGCUAAGGUUGUGUGCAGAAGAAUCACCACAAAAGUCUCCCUCCCUUUGUCCCCAUAUUUACCUUUCUAAGAUUUCUGUAUAACUAUCCAAAUUUUGCACGUGGGGAAUUAGCAAAAGGAUCAGGUAAUAUCAUGUAAAUGCAAAUAUGUCAAUGAAUUUGAGUGGUCAAUGUUGGUGUCAUAAUUCAUUAGGAAUCAAUCUUUGGAGCCAGCAGAGUUAUUCUCAGAGAUUUCAGGGUCGAUGGUAGAAAUUGAAAUAGGUGUGGCCCGGUUAUUGAGAUUAUAGUCUGGUACCACUUGUGCAACAUAGUAAGAUCAUUUGGUUUUCAUCCCUGAAGAAAUUUUGGAAAUGAGAGGCUUGAUCCAUUCAAAGGUAUAAAUUAAAGCUUGAAUUUGCACAUGGCCAUAUCACCUACACGGGUACAUCAUCAUUUUCUGCUCCCCGUGCAUAUCGCCCAAAGUUGCAUCCCUUUUCACUGCCAACAGCUUUAUGCCCUUAUAACUGUAACAAAGUAAGCAUGACACGGAACACAUGAUGCAAUUCUUAGCAUACCAGAGAGGGCUGGUGGUGCUGUUAUCAUGCCACACCCCACCCCGCCCGGGCGGCGGGCCCAAAAAUGUUUGAGGGAAAUCCUGUAGGCCUUAACAUGGUUUCACCACUGUCAAAACCUGAAAGUUUGGAUAUGAUUGGGGUAUUUUUUUUUUUUCCUUUUUCAUAGAUAAUUUUUUUGAAUUCUUUGCUGCAUAAAUCCAGUUCAGUUUCUUUUAUUUUACCGGUGAAAUAUAAUAAAACAUAAGGUAAAAUAAGUGUGUAUUCAGACUAAUUAACCAUGUACAAUCUUUCAAUAGACAAUAGUUCAUGCAGGGCAGAAGCAGAACAAAUGUUUGUGUUGGAUAAUCAAGAGCUGCUGCUGGACCUGCCGUAACUAAUAAUUUCUUGUAGUUUUAUCAUUGCCAGGACUUCAAAAUCUAAAACACACUUUGCUUUUUAUCUUCAAUGAAGUGAAUGAUCAGGAAUUGAUGGUCAAGUCAACGAGGUGACACAUUUGAAAGAGUAACCUCAUUAACAGAACAAACUUUGGCAGCCGAUGAGAAUUGACCUGGCCUUGCAACAUUUCGGCCUACGGAAAAUGCAGGUUCGGUUGGUUGAGGAAGUGUUACAUUAUCGCUUGCUAACAUGACAACCACAGAAGACAUGAUAGGUCUAUCUGCUGAGUCUGCUUGAACACACAAUAAUCCAAUGUGGAUAAAUUUCAAAAGUUCAGCAGCAACGCAUGACUGCUUGAGUACUGGUUCCAUCAGCUCCAUUGCUUCUCCUUCACACCAUAGUUUCCAUGUCUAUAAUAUUGUUAUACAGGUCAUAAACAAAGAUGAGACUCAAAAUCAUUGGCUAUUACUCUUCAGAAAGAAAGAUAGAAAGUCACUUACAUAAGAAAGGAGGCUUUGACCAAGUUCAGAUAGAUAAAACCCAGUGUUCUUUUUCCCACUGAUGAUUUCUAGCAGUAGAACGCCAAAACUGAAAACAUCCGAUUUUACGGAAAAUAAUCCUUCCAUAGCAUAUUCUGGGGCCAUGUAUCCACUGUUUGAAAACAGAACAACAUAAGAUCAAAUGCCAUAGAAAUGCUAAUGACCUAUGUGACCUCCGUAUUUUGAAUCUGGUGACAUGUAUCGUGAGGUCAGAUGUUCAAACCAAAUGCAAUAGAAUACUGUUAGCAAAUUUAAUUAUUGGAAACAGAGAAAACAGAGAGAGAUGGGAAUGAAAUGCACUUACUAUGUUCCAACAAUUCGGUUGGUGUUAGCUUCACUUUGAUUUCCACCAAAUAUCCUAGCCAUCCCAAAGUCUGAUAUCUUCGGGUUCAUCUCAUGAUCUAGUUAAACAUUACUAGCUUUGAGAUCACGAUGAAUAAUUCUGAGUCGAGAAUCCUCAUGUAAAUACAAAAGACCCCGAGCAAUUCCAUUAAUGAUACUUAUGCGUCGUUUCCAGUCCAAUUGUACACUCCUCAUUGAAUCUGAUAAUGAAUUGGACACAGCAUUUAACUUGAUUAGCUACUUUGUCAUCCACUCUUCUAUGGCAAGGAAGUGGGGAAAAUAAUGGGAAAUGGAAAGACUUGGCUACAAUUGCCAUAGUGCCCAGUAGUGGGCACAUAAUGUGCAAACCAUUUAACAGGGCCACUUCAACUAUACAAGCUGGAAUUAAACCAAAACAACCACUGGUUCUGCUUUUAUUUGCACAGCUUAACACCCAGCAAUUAAGGAAAUAGAAAGUCUGAGAAACAAACCAAAGAGGAAGACAUCAAGGCUUUUAUUGGGCAUGUACUCAUAUAUAAGCAGUGAUUCAUUUUCCUCUAAGCAGCAGCCCAACAGCCUCACAAGAUUUUUAUGUUGCAAUUUGGCGAUUAGAGUAACUUCAUUCUUGAACUCUUGUAGGCCUUGCCCAGAUGUUCUUGAGAGCCUCUUCACUGCUAUUUCCUUGCCAUCUGCUAAUUUACCCUGCAAGCAACUUUCCAUUCCUUGUUACCAUGAAAGUUUUGUAUGCGUACGGAAAACGCGAGCUUCCGCUGACAUGAACUCAUUUCCAAAUACUGCAUUCAGUGAAUACUUAGAUAUAUUUAAACAAGCGUACAGUAAAAAUGGAUUGGUAUGAUUAAUAAUUGCUUAAAAAGCAAGUGUUUAGUAAACUCUACUUUCUGUGGUUGGGAAAUUAAGUUAAUUUGAUCUCACACUUGUAUUAAAAAAAAUUAUAAUUUCUUUUAUAAUUUUUGUUAAAAUUAUUAUUUAAAAGUCAUAUAUACUUUUCAAAACUUUUAUUUUUAUAGUUAUAACUUUUUUUUUUUUUUUUUUUACAGUAGUUAUAACUUAAAUAAUAUAACACCUUGAUACGAAAUAAGACCUUAAGCAUCCCUUUAUAAUUACCUUGUAAACAGGGCCAAAUCCGCCUUCUCCAAGCUUAUUUUCAUCAGAGAAAUGCUGCGUAGCUUCAACUGCGAGAUGUAACGGAAACAAAGGGAACUCUUGAGAUUCUUCCUGCUUCUGUCCUCGUAAAACAUCAUACGAAUAGUCGUUGCCAAUUCUACCAUCUGCUAGAUGAAACAAUCGUGUCUCUUGACUAUUUGCUUUCUCCUCUGCAUAACAACGGAUUAAUUAACUUCGUAAACUAUGAAUAAGAACAAUGGAGUGGUCGAGUAUGUAUAGCUCUUUUAAUGCUAAACAUUACCUUUGACUCUCUCUUUUCUUCUCUUUAUACGCCAAAGUAAAAAACUAGAUAGCACAAGUACUAUAAUUGAUGAUGCCGUGGCGCCGAUUGCAAUCCAUGUUCUGCUUUCCUUCGUCUUCUUCUUUCCCGAAUCUAACAUGUAGCCAAUUUAAAGAAUCUCUGAGGAAAACUCUUUCUACAUCUUAUGCUAUGUUUAUAUAGAAUUAAGGAACCUGAGAUUUACGAACUCACCAUCAGAGCUACCAUUCUUCUUAUUAGGUGGAGAGAUGGGAGCUGUAGCGGAGCUACCAUUCUCAAAGAAAGGGUACAGCUCGUAUCUUAUGUUACAACUUGGCGUAAGAAUUCUACCACCUCGCUUUCCGUAGCAGCAGUUUGGAAUUUGAGCAACAGCCCCGCGCAGGCAAAUAUUGCAGUCUGAUUUAGACAGAUAUGGUAUGCACUGCACCAGAGUCGUAAGUUUACUAAUGCUAGUGGCGUUAACCGUUUGGGCUGCAGCUGGAUACUCAAAAUCCCUUGAGGUUACAUUUUGAAUUAGAUCACUGAAGGACUGGGUCAAAAUAUUAGAGAGAUUAUAAGGGUCAGUAACGUUCAUUGUGUUCCAUACGUAUACAGCUGGCACUGUGUCUAGCGAAGAGGGCAAAGAAUUGUUAGAGAAGCGCACCAUACACUGAUCAUACCAUACAAUAGCCUCCUUGGAGCCAGCACAAUUUUUCACAAUGGUAUUGAUUGUAACAUUUAUGCAAUCUUGGCAGGCCUCAUUAGAAACGUCAAAAUAACAAUUAUAAAGACCAUAAACUUUGUUCGGGUCAUCCCCUUCAGUUGCGUUGUAGAAUAGGGAAUAGCGACCUUCAUUGUUGAGCAUUCUGUUGAAGAGUCUGGCAACAUUGUACAAGAAUAAAUCGCCGGAAGGAGUAUCGCUUUCCCCGCGGCAGAUAUGGUAAACAUAAUUGGAGUCAAGUUUAGCCGCCUCUGACGAACUUUGUAACAGCACUAAAGAUAGAAACGAAAAAAGGUGAAGCAAGCUAACUAUGUUUCUAGUUCUCAGGCCAAAUAAUACGAGCAGAAUCGGCAUCGUCCCCUUGCUCUUCAACUCUGAAAAUUUUGAGUUCCAAUGUCAAGGGACUGAAUUAACACACAAGUAUCCAACUAGAAGUAAACAGUAUUAAUGGUGAAUACAAGACGAAUUAAGAUAAAUAGAAAAAUCGUGGGUUCCAACCCCUUUCACAUAACUUGUAUUGGGAUUGGAUUUUCAUUAAGCUACAUAAUUAAAAAGGAUAAUACAAAAAACAAUGAAAUUGAAAAGUCAAACAAAGGACCAUCGACAGUUUCCAGGCAUCUUCACAUCGGAGACUAAUAACAGGUGUCUUUUUUUUUUUUAAAUAAAUCCUUAAAAAUAAAUAUUUUCUAACUUAAAAAAAGUUUGAAAACUAAUUGAAUACAACCUUUUAAUAUUCUAAAUUAGUAUAUAUUAAUUAAUUUUAUUGUAGUUUAUAAUAUUUUUAUAUAAAAAAUAUUUAUAAAAAAUUAUACAGAUAAAUAAUGAAACAAGCAUAAUAGAGUCUUGCGCUGCAUGCAUGCCUGUGGAGGAAGUCGUCUACUUAACUAUUUGAUGAGAAAUAUCAAUGAAAAUGAAAGGAGUGCCAUUUCAAGGCUGCUCAACGCGGACCAACAGGCUUUUCGAAGACGCGAACCAGCCCCAAACAGCACGGAACUAGGCUGAGGAAGUCGUCCGCAGUUAAUGCAUGUAUGACGUAUGCUUUUAUUGAUUUAAUUCAUAGCGCAAGCUGAUUUACUAGAGCCGUGGGGAUAAAAGUAGACGUGAUCAGGUCACAAUAUAUUUUUAGUAUUUAAAUAGGAUAUGAAUAGAAAGGGUUUUCGAAAGGAUAGUAGAUUGAACUUGAAAAGGGCUUGUAAAGUGAGUCCAAGAGGAAGAAGGGCGUAGGCUGAAUUGAAUAUCCAAUUAGCUUCAUUCUCUUCUAAUCGGCUGAGUCCACUCGAAGCUUAUUAUAUACACCCCAUUGGUUGUUUACAAAGAUGUAGCCCUGUACGGGCACAGAUUGUAAUUAUAUACAUGAAUCGUGGUCAAUCUUGUCAGCCCUGAGCUGUCCUUCACUCUCUGGUGGUCGCUCUUCCGCUCACGAAUAACUCCCGCUGUCGCAUAGAAAAGACGCUGUCGUUUCAGCGACACAUAGACAGAGCUUUAUUCUUCUUCCUCUCGACAAUUGUUCAAUUUUUUUUUUUUUUUUUUUGUUUUAACUCUUUAAGUCUCUUUACACUUGGGGUUAGGGUUUCACUCAAAAUCUCCAAAAAAUAUCUUUAACUAUUCUUAAUUGGCAGUUCCUAAGAUUAUUCCUCCAGUCAUAACUGGCAGUUUCUAGGCAUCUUCGUUCUUCACAUCGAAGAUUAGUCAUCGUUAUGAAAUAUCAUGCAACUUUAACAUACGUUAGAUUAAUUAAACACGAAUUUCUGGAAAAAGAAAAAAAAAUCGAAUAUAGCAUUCUAAUAUAAAUAAAUAAUUUCAUCAAAGUGGUGAGUUAUAGUGAUGGGUGACUGCCAUCUAAUUAAGAUUGUAAAAUUCUUUUGUGUUCAUAUAUAAGAAAAAAAAAAAGUUCGAGUUCAAAUCCAUGUCAGUCUGUCACAUAGGUGGGGAGAGUAUUAAAUACCUGCAGUGCUAAAUAAUAACAUUGAUGUCACAUCUGUGGAGCUGCAUGUCUGUGGAGUCCCUACUUGAUUAAAUAGUUAUGUGACAGAAAAAACCCAUUGACCAUUCUAGUGCUCAAGAUUUUUAAAUUAUUCACCGGCCAAACUUAAUCAAAUGAACAGAUUCAAAACAAGGCAAAGAAACUCAAUCAAAUGAAAUUCCCCUUUAGUAAUAAUUAUACAAUACAUUUUUCAGUAUUAAAAUUAAUUAUCAACUAUCAAAUUAUCAAAGCCUACUACGUAGUGCGUACUUAUCCACGGAUUAAGAUGACUACUUUGAAAAGUUUCGUUAUAUGUAUUUCACUGAUGAAUCUGACGGUGGAUGACAGUUUGAUUGCGCAUAUUUGAGAGGUAAAAAUUAAGAUUCAAAAUGGAUCCCGCCCCUAAACAUAAGUGAUAGGGAAGUUAGCUGCUAGCCGGGCACCCCGACUCAUCAGUCAUGCAAUUCUCUAAUGAGUAAUUUUGCCGUCCGAUUAUUGUUAUACUUCAACAUGGACCAUGGGUUUGUUACUUACAAAAGACAGUUGGGGUCUGUUUGGAAAUAUUUGUAAGGUAUUCAAAAAUGAUUUCGAAAAGUUAGUAGUUAAUUUAGGUGUUUGAUUUUUUUUAAUUACUUUGGAGAAAAUUAUUCCAUGCAAAUUUUAAAAAGCUGAAAAUGAGUAACUUUUAAAAUUUAAUUUUGACAAUCAUUUUUUAUAGUUAAUAUAAUUUCAUAUAAAUCUUCACAUAUAUUAUAAAAAUUCAAAAUUGUCCUUAUUAAUUAGAAUAUAAAAUUAUUAAAUUUAAAGAGAUUAUUAUUAUUACCAAUUAUAUUGAGAUAAUAAAAUAAAAAAUAAAAUUAAUAAUAUAAAAUAUUUAUUUUAGCUAUCAUAUAUUAUAUAUACACAUUAAACAAAUAUUUUACAAACAUAUUUAUAAAUCUGUUAAUAAAUUUUAUUCAACAUUAUAUCCACUUCAGUCAUUUAUAUUCUGACAGCAAUUGAACUGUAGGAUUUAUCAACAUAUGACUACUUUUAAAACCUAUAAUACUUUAAAAAUAAAUCUUACUGAACAUUUUACUAAUUAUAUUCACAAUUGAUUAUUUCGACAAUGCAAUUAGCACUAAUUAUUUUAAAAGCUACAAUAUUAUCAAAGUGGCCCUUAGUUUCUCGGGCUUACGCCUAAUAUAAGAACGAGAUUCUUCUGGGCUCUCUUUUUAUGAGAUUUAUUUUUUAUUAUGUGAUUUUGUUGUUUUCCGUUGAUCAUUUAUCAAUUAACUGCAUUUUAGAAAUAUUUAUCUUUUUAGUUUUUAGGGAUUGCAUUGGAAUUUUUUUAAAAAAAUGGUUGAAAUAUUUGUUAACAAUGUUGAAUACGACCAAGUAAGUAAUAAUAAAUCAAUUAAUUAAAUUAACAUUGUUUAUAGAAAAAAAGUUUUUUUUUUUUAAAGUUUGAAAAGUUUUCUUUGAAAAGUAUCUACUUUGAAAUCUUUUUUUUCCUUUAACUAAAAGGCCCUUUGUCAAAUGUCUUGUCUUUGGGACAAGUUUUGUAUGUCUUGUAUGUAAUGACAGGUUUUCUUUCGUAAAUUUACAGAAUUAAAGUUUUCUAGUCAGAAUUUCAUCUUCUUGCCCUAUUAGUCAAGGGCAAUGUCUGAAGGAAAUCAAGAGUUUGAAAUUAAUACAGGUUAUGCUCAUAUCAGUUUGAAGGAGAAUGAACAACCUCAGAAUGUCCUACUUCGCUUUACUUCGUUUUGGAUUCAGAUUUACAAUCUGCUAAUAGGCUUUAUGUUUGAGAAAAUUUUGAAAGAUAUUGGCAAUUACAUAGGCACCUUUAUGGAGUCCGAUGAGCAUAAUUUAAUGGGGGUUUGGAAAACUACAUGCGCAUCCGAGUGUCCAUAGAUGUUAGAAAACCUCUUAAGCGAAGGAUGAAAUUGAAGAAGGCAGGCGGAGAUUGGAUUUGGGUUAAUUUUAAAUAUGAACGCCUUAAUAUUUUUUGCUUUAUUUGUAGAUUGCUUGGUCAUACUGAAAAGCAGUGCCCCAAAUUGUAUGAAUGUCCUCCUGGUGAAAUUGUGAAAUUUUAUGGUCACUAGAUAAAAGCACCAAAUAGAAGAAAUGCUAUGAAUUCCGGUGAACGGUGGCUGAGAUCAGCAUCGCCGAGGGAAGCUGACAAGGAAAAGGAAGGAAUGUGGAUGUAGUAGUUACCACGGCAAUUGACUCGAUUUUUUCCACAAAUCAAAGAGAUGAUAUACGUAAGAAUAUUGAUGGGAACGUGGAUGUGGGGAUCAUGGCAACCAAUAAGGAAGGUGAUAAUUUGUUGCCAACUAGGACUCUAUCCCGUGUGAAAGGAAAGCAAGUUAAGGGGACAACUGAUGAGAUUGAUUUCAAUAAGGAUUCUGGGGAUGAAAUGGAUGAGGGGAUAAUGGUUAAUGAUUCUAAAAGGAGAAGGUUACUAAUUGGGUCAUGCAGUAAAGUGGGCUUCGAAGGAGAGGUGUCUUCCUAAACGAUGAAUUUGCCAUUAGUUUAAAAAAAAAAGAUCAGCGGUGGGCCCUGUAGAUUAGGCCCACCGAGAUCAAUGAGUGUUUUAAGCUGGAACUGCCAUGGGCUGGACCAACACGGACAAUUCAAAUGCUGGAGGAGUUGGCCAAAUAAAAGAAACUGAUUUUUAUUUUGGGAAAAGGACACAAAGACCCCCAAUGUUUGAAUAAGGGACACAGAGACCCCCAACGUUUGAAUAAGGGACACAAAAUCCCCUAAUGUUUUAAAAAAGACACUCAGACCCCCAUUUGUUAACAGAAAUUAUAAUUUUAAAGUGCAAUUACCAUUAUACCCUUAUAGCAUAUUAAAAAAUAAUUGUUCAUUGUCCAAUUUAUUCCUAUAUUAUUAAUAAAAUUACGAAUAUAACUUCAUUAUCCAAUUUUUUCAUUUAAUUUUUGUCAAAUUUUCUCCUCAACUAAAUAAAUUUAAUCCAUUGCUCAAGAAUAAAAAUAAAUUAAAUUGAUUACUAAUAUAAUAAAAAUAACAAUUAUCAAUAACAAUUCUCCAUUUAAACUUAUAUAAUCAACAAAAUAAAAAAAAUUGGUUACAACAAUAAUUACAAAAUCUUAAUUGUACUAAAUAACAUAUUCAAUAGAUUGACAUAUGGAGAAUUGCUAUUUUUAUUAUAUUAAUAAUCAAUUUAAUUUAUUUUUAUUCUUGAGCAAUGGAUUAAAUUUAUUUAGUUUGAAGAGAAAAUUUGACAAAAAUUAAAUGGAAAAACUGGGUAAUGAAGUUAUAUUCGUAAUUUUAUUAAUAAUAUAGGAAUAAAUUGGACAAUGAACAAUUAUUUUUUAAUAUGCUAUAAGGGUAUAAUGGUAAUUAUACUUUAAAAUUAUAAUUUCUGUUAACAAAUGGGGGUCUGAGUGUCUUUUUUGAAACAUUAGGGAGUUUUGUGUCCCUUAUUCAAACGUUGGGGGUCUCUGUGUCCCUUAUUCAAACAUUGGGGGUCUCUGUGUCAUUUUCCUUUUUAUUUUUCUUAUUGAAACAUAGUAUAAUAGAAGAAAGUUAGAAAGCUUAAACAUAAAAUUGGGCUAUGAAGGAUUGUUUACAGUUGACCCAGUGGGCCGGAGUGGAAGACUUGCUCUCUUUUGAAGGGCAAGCAGUAAUGUUAGAUUAUUAAAGUUUUCUAAGAAUUGUAUUGAUGUGGAGAUUGAGUAUCAGGACAUGGGCAAGUGGAGGAUGAUAGGCUUCUAUGGGUUCCCGGAAUCUAGCCGCCGGUGAGAGUCUUGGGAUCUUAUUCGCACUUUGUCUGAUGUGUCUUCUCUUCCCUGGGUAUGCAUUGGGGAUUUUAAUGAUCUUUUAGCUAUUCAUGAGAAGCGAGUGAAGAAUGAGCAUCGAAAUUGGAAAUUGCAAGGAUUUAAACAAGCUGUUUCUGAUAGCGGUCUAAGUGAUAUUGGUAUGGAGGAUUACCAAUUUACAUGGGAACAGUCUCAGGGUACAGAGAAUUGGGUGGAGGAAAGGCUGGACAGAGUUUUUGCCACUGAUUCUUGGAUUCAUCGAUUCAAAGAGGCACGUGUUUGGAGUCUACAGUCUUCUACCUCAGAUCAUUUACCUAUUUUUAUGGACCCAAAACCUCUAACUCACUCUCAUAGGCAUCGAAGAUUUUGGUUUGAAAACAUGUGGCUUAGAAAGGCUGAUUGUGCAGAUGUGGUUCGGUCUAGCUGGUCCUCCUCUCAUGGAAUUCCAAUUCAACAAAAACAUUUAAAUUGUGGGAUUGCUUUACUUAAUUGGGGAGGUCACUUAGCUUGCGAUUUUCGUAAUCGUAUUUCUGAAUGUAGUAGGAAAAUGAAUCUUUUACGGGGGCGUCGUGAUUCAGCUGGUAUUGAGAAGUUUACUGAGGCCAAGAAGCGUUUUAAUGAGCUCUUCCAUAGCCAUGAGGUUUUCUAGAAACAGAGAUCAAGAUGCUUUGGCUAAAAGAAGGGGAUAUGGAUUCUUGCUUCUUCUACGCUACGACUUCAACAAGAAAGAAAAGAAAUUCUAUUACGACUCUCUGAAAUGCUCAAGGACAAUGAUGUACCACCUCAGCUGAAAUUGAUGGUUUGAUUUAUGAUUUCUUCUCCAAUUUAUUUACUACAGAUGGUUGCCAAAAUGAUUAAGUUUUAAACUGUGUGGAGACAAAGAUCACUGAAGAGCAAAAUGAGUUGCUGCUAGCGCUUUUUACAACAAGCGAGGUUAAAGCGGCCCUUUUCGAAAUGCAUCCAGAAAAAUUACUAGGACCUGAUGGUAUGAAUCCUGUAUUUUACUAACAAUUUUAGCUUACUGUUGGUGAGGAUGUGACUGCAGCUUGUUAGCAUUUUAUUACUACUUGUUCUCUUCCGAUGGGUUUAAAUGACACAUCUAUUGUAUUGAUCCCUAAGAAACCAAAACCUGAGAUGUUGUUAGAUAUGAGGCCUAUUGCUUUAUACAAUUUGUUGUAUAAGAUUGUAGCUAAAAUGCUCUUAAACAUAAUAAAGUCAGCCCUGGGCUCUGUAAUUUCUGAAUUUCAGAGUGCGUUUGUGCUGGGUCGGGCCAUAACAGACAAUAUCCUUAUCUCCUUUGAAAUUAUGUACUUUUUGAAAAGGAAGCGGCAAGCUGCUCUUAAAAUUGAUAUGUCGAAGGCCUAUGAAUGAAUUGAAUGGGAAUUUUUGAAAGCUAUGAUGCUUAGACUGGGGUUUGAUGCUAAAUGGGUGAAGUUGAUUAUACUACGUGUCUCUAUAGUCCGGUAUCAUGUUAUUCGCGAUGGGAAGGAGGUUGGACUUAUUGUUCCAAGUAGGGGACUUCGCCAAGAGGAUCUUUUGUCGCCAUAUUUAUUCAUUCUUUGUGCAGAGGGUCUCAAUGCGUUAAUCCGUAAAUAUGAGUUGGCUAGCUUGAUUCAUUGGGUAAAAGUUGCAAGAGGGGCUCCUGUUGUAUCUCAUUUAUUCUUCGCAGAUGAUUGUUUUCUGUUUUUCAAAGCUAACCGAAGUAAAGCUCGUUUGAUUAAGCACAUUCUUGUGGCUUAUGAUCAAGGGUUAGGACAGUUAGUGAACUUUAACAAAUCUUCAAUCUCUAUUAGUUUGAAUGUUAAUGAAGAUGUGAAAGGGUUGAUUUGUACUAUUUUGGAGGCUAAUGCUACUGUUAACCGUGGCAUCUAUCUUGGCUUACCCUCUCUUGUUGGCAGAAACAAAAAAGAAGUUUUUCGAUUUAUCCGAGAUAGAGUCUGGCAGAAAUUUCACAGCCGGAGUAUGGAGAUGCUGUCGAGAGCUGGAAAAUAAAUUCUGUUAAAAACAGUGGCUCAAACUAUUCCGAAUUAUGCCAUGCAAGUUUAUCUUUUGCCUCUUGAUCUUUGCAGAGAUCUAGAAACUAUGAUGAACUCAUUCUGGUGGGGAAACAUACGCAAUGGUGGAGGUGGCAUUCACUGGAUGAAAUGGGAAUUGCUUUGCAAACCGAAGUCAAAUGGAGGAAUUGGCUUAAAAAAUCUACAUGACUUCAAUGUGGCAAUGUUGGGGAAACAAGUUUGGAAACUUCUAACGAAUCCAGAGUCUCUUGUGGGCCAAAUAUUCAAAGCUCGAUACUUCUCUGGUACAUUCGUUGUAGAGGUGGUUUGGGUUAUAAUCCAAGUUUUGUGUGGAGAUCUCUAAUGGCAGCUAAGCACAUUAUUGUUCGUGGUAGUAGGAUCCAGGUUGGCAAUGGUCAGAACAUUACUAUUGGGUCAGUUCCUUGGUUUCCAGAUACAAAAAAUUGUUUUAUUUCCACCAGCUUACAUGAGCGGAAAACAACAGCACCAGUCAAUAGUUUAAUGAUUCCUGAGCAACGUCGAUGGGACUAUGACGCAGUGGUAGAUUUGUUUAAUGCUCGAGAUAAGAAUUUUAUCUUGUAAAUACCCCUUCGUACUCAGAGGGAUAAGGACGUGUGGUAUUGGAUGGCAGACCCUCAUGGUUUAUACACAGUUCACAGCUGUUAUAAAAUGCUUAAUCAUUGUACUACUGCCCCAACAUCUGGUGUUUGGAGGAAAAUUUGGAACUUGGAGGUGCUUAACAAGGUGAAGAAUUUUCUUUGGAGAGCUACAAUGAAUGUGUUACCAACAAACGAUAAUCUUAUUCGGAAAAGUAUUGAGGUAUUGCCUAUUUGCUCCCUCUACAAUAAUCAGAAUGAAUCUGUUGUGCAUGCUUUGGUGAACUGUGCUUUUGCACAAACAUGCUGGAUUUCUUCUUCACUUGGAUUUGUUGGUCAUCACCCUUCAUUUCUUAUUUGGCUAGAUCAAGUCUUUGCCCGCUAUAGUAAGGAGAUGUGUAAUCUUGUUGCCAUGAUAUGUUGGAAAAUCUGGUUUUGUAGGAAUGAGAAAGUUUGGAAUAACAAAGUUUGUAGUGUGCAUCAUGUCCUUAAUUAUACUGGGAAUUAUUUGUUUCAAUGGCAAACUGCGAGAAAACAAUUUGUUUUCAUUAAUGAUGAUUCUUUCCAAGGUUGUCAUGGGGCUGUUUGCUGGGAUAAACCUCAUCUAGGUUGGCAUAAGUGUAAUGUUGAUGCUGCAACAUUUUCAUCUCAGGGGAAAGUCAGCUAUGGAGGAGUCAUUCGCAAUUCUGAUGGGGUUUUUGUUGCAGCAUGUUGUGCGUGUGUGAUUGGAAGUUUUGGCGCAAGGGAUGCUGAAGCGCUUGAUGUGCGUGACAUCCUAAGUUGGAUUAAGUGGCGACAGCUGUCCUGCGUUGUUGUUGAAAUGGAUUGUUUUUAGAUUUUUAAAGCUCUCACAGAGAACUAUUCUUGUCUUAAUGGUUAUGGCCUAAUUCUUGAUGAUUGUAGAGCUUUAGCUCAUUCUAUAGGAGAUAUUAAAUUCUCUUUUGUCUGAAGGUCUGCGAACACUGCUGCCCAUGUUGUUGCAAGGGUUGGGGGGUUCUUUGUCAGGCCCUGUAGAGUGGAGUCAUAUUACACCAUCCUGGUUAACUAAUUCUCUGUAUUCUAUUUCCAGUUAAUGAACUUUUCAAGUUUUAUUCAAAAAAAAAAAUUGUUUACAGAUAGCGUACGCAGAGUUAAGGAAUCCAAGAAAUAUACUAAGUUAAUUAUUGUAUUCAAUUUUUGUAUGAGGCCUUCAUCUUAGUAAUGCUAAGGCGUUUCUAAUAUCAUCAUUUUAUUGUCGCUGGAGAAUUGCACUGCAUGCAUUAAAUCCUGGAAUCAAAUUUGAUGUAAAACUUUAUUAAACCCAAAAUCCAAAUUUGAAGUAAAAUGCUAUUAAAUCCAAAUUCAAUAAAAUCACAUAUUAUUGUUUACCGUUCUUUUACCUCUCACCUUCACCAUCACCAUCACCAUCGGAGUAUGUAGAGACUCAAAAUAUGGAUCUAUAAAUUGUACUAUACUUUUUGGUGGUGACAGUAUCGAAUCACGUCACGUGCUUCUUUGAUCAUUAAUUGGAGACACAUUUGAAAGAAAAAAAUAAGUUACUUUUACGUUUAAUUGUCUCCAACAGUUCAUUAGUAUUUAUCUGUAGAUAUAAGUGACUGGGUGAGGUUUACUAGGUUUAUUGCGACUAUAGAUUUUAAGAUGAUAUAAAAACUAUGCUUCUCAAGUCAAAAAAGAAAGGUUACAGAAAGAGAUUAUGAAAAAAAAAAAAAAAUCUUUGAAAAAGGUUAUUAUAUUUGUACAAAAACUAAAAUCAUAUAAAGUUUGUCUCUUUUUACUUACUCACCACUAAUAAUUUUAUGCCUUCUCACAAAAUAGUUAUAACUAAACCAAAUAAAAAGAAUAUCACUGAAAUUUCUAAGUAAUAAAUAUUCCCGUAUUUAGAUACCCAUGAUUGCUGAUUUAGGAGUCAUAUAGUCUUUUUUUUCAAAGUGCUCCAGUAGGACAAAGUUUCUCACUACAGCUCCAUAGAGUAGUUCAUCUGUUAACUAGAAAUGUCUAUAUAUAUAUUUAUAGUCAAGUUUGUUGUCAACCUCUACUCCUCGCUCUUUUUUUUUUUUUUUGAUUUAACUGGGGCUCUAAAAAGAGCUAAAGAGAAACUGAACGGGGGUAAGAAACCUCAUAAAAGUCAUGAGACAAAAGAGAUCGAACACCCAAAGGGGGGUAGGGUACACAAUAAAGCCAAGAGGAAGAGAAAAAGCGAGGUUCGCCAUAUAAUCUGCAGUGAAAUUGGCUUCUUUGUAAAUAUGGGCGAUGGAGACAUGCCAAUCCAAUUUGAGAUAGUCCUUAAUAGCCUGGACCAAGGGAACAUACUCAUUAGUCAUCACCGAUGAUCUAGCCACCAAUUGAGUAACGCACAGGCUAUCUGUUUCAACUUUCAAUCUACGGAUGCCUGAGUCCCAAGCAAGCUGAAGCCCCUUAUACAAUCCCCAAAGUUCUGCCACCGUAAUAGAGCAAGAGCCAAUCAUCAUCCCAAAGCCAGAUAUCCAACGCCCUAAGUGAUCUCGAAUCAGACCACCUGCAGUAGAAAUCCCAUCAGACUUGUGAGCACCAUCCGUAUUCAAAGUACACCAUGGCCACUCAGGAGGAUGCCAAGAAAUCCACUUAUUUAUUCUAAUGCUCCUUGUGACCAACGGGCUGUUAUGAAGCUUAUGCGUCUCCUCUACUCCUCGCUCUUCCUUGGCCAUUAGUAUGAUUUCAAGAAUUUCAUGAAACGGUUUUCCAUUAAUGAUAAUCACCCCAGUGCCUGGACCUACGCUACCAGUUUAUAUCUCAACUUGGAUUCAUGAUCUUUUUGUAUCUAAUCGCAAGGCUGCUUUCAGCGGAUUUUAUUUAUGGAAUUUUUAAACCACUAUCAGCAUGAAGAAUUUUAUUUUUCCUACAAGUAUGAUGACUUUCUUUCUUGUCCGCUUGAACACGGCUAUAGGCCCUAGUCUAGUCCGAGGCACAACGGAAGACUCCACCGUUUAUGUUUUUAUCUUUCGUAAGAGUAGCAACGUUUCUUGGAACGAAAGCAAUUGCUUGUUGAGGUGACGAUAGAGAUAGUACUCUUAUUGGACAGCCUUCGUUGCUCUUUGGUUGGCACGAAGAUAACAAAUGCUGUGUCUGGUGUCCAUCCGAAGGCAAUUACACUAUAGAUAAUGCUUCUCUCGCUUACAUUGUUGGAGCUGCUUUCUCUCCGAAUCUUGGACCGUGUGAUGUGAUGGAUGAUUGGAAGCCUUCUCCUGAUGGAAUUCUACUGGAAGAAAUUACUACAAGUGACGAUGAAUGUGUUGUGUACAGAUGUUUUCGUGAGGCUUCUGAGGUGAGAACAAUUGAACGGUGGGAAGUUGAGUGUUGUGGCUGUAAGUCAACUGAGGUAGGGUCAGGCAAGAAGCGUUGAGACGAUUAACGAAUAUGAUCAUCGGCCUGUUCGGAAUAUUAUUCAAGAAUUUAGGCUCAUUGACGGGACUUAUUAUCGAUUGGUUGUGUUUAGUUUUCACCUGCAGACAAGGUCCAGCGCCCUGACGAUGAUAGCCAUGAAAUAAAUUGCAUGAGGUUGUUCGAUGUUAAUUUCCGUCAGCAUUUGGGAUUUAUUUCUGUUUUUGUUUUGUGACCAAGAUUGAGAAACAUGUCUGCAAAAUAUGCUAAUAAAAAUCUUCGUUUGAUGAGAGAUUUUCAGCUUUUUAUGAUUGGCAAAUCCCUUGGAAUAUCCAUUUGAGGAAGAAAGAAAAAUGAAUGUAACUUCUUACCCAUUCAAAUUAUUGCAUGGGAAUAAUUCAUCAUUAAUGGAUAUACACAUACUUGAAUAAAUUCAGCUUAACAUUUCAACUACAACGAUGAAGUACCCGUACAGAUUGCCACCUUGAGACUCAGUGUGUAAAAUUAAGAAUGAAGGUGUUUGAUGGAAGUGAUGAAGUGUACUAUGAAAUGCCACAGUGAGAUUAUUUUUGUGGGAAGACGAUAAUUAGAAUUUAGCAGCUCAAGGUACUCUCGAAUCAGCUAAACAAACAACCUCUAGAAGAGCUUUAUAGAAUACACUAGAAUACUGAAGAUGAAGCCAUGAAAGAUUGUGAUUCAUCAAAGCUUAAAUGCAAAAUGUAUCAAGAGUUCUUAUUUCUAAUUGUAUCAAUCUAGACCCAAUCCAAGCCAUUUAAAAAAUAAUAAAUGCAAUUUAGUGUAUAGGCUUAGACUAAAAAGCCUGCAAAAUCACUUGCCGGAAAGACAAUGAAUUUACCGCAUUUGUGGUUUUUUUUUUUCUUUGUUUCUAGUUAUUCAUUUACUGCUUUUUUUUUUUACUAGACCGUCCAUGAAAACAUAUCAUAACUUGUGAUAUUAUUAUUUUAAAAUAAUAGGAUACUCACCCAUGAAUGAUGAGAUAAUUUAAUUCAUAAAAUGUUUCAAAAAUUGUAAAAAUUUAUUAUUAACUUAAUAACAAUCACGUGACUUCGAAACAGUUCAUUUAGUCCUUGCAUUCAUUAGCUGCUAUGCUAGUGCUCUUCAGUUGAGAAGAUGAAUGGGAUUAAUUACUUCGAACUUCCCAAAGUUGAAUCUCUUUCUUCUUCCCCUCUAUUUCAAGCCUUCACCCCAUCAACUUAUUAUCGAUGGACUGUUUUUAAUUUUGACCUGCACAUGUGAUACAGAACCUGAGGAUGAUAGCCAAUUAGCCAUGAAAUAAAUUACAUAAGGUCGUUUGAUGAAAAUUUCCACUAGCAUUUGGAAUUCAUUUCCGUUUUCAGUUAUCUGAUCAAUUUUGAUAAACACAUAUACAAUGUGGUUUCUGUUUUAGUUAAAUUUUAAGUUAUUCAUGGAGUAGUACUUAAAAAGAAAGUAACUUUGAGAAGAAUGGGCAAAUAUGGUAAUUCUGUUAUCACUCUAAUUCUAAAUUUAUAAUCACAUAAUUAUAGGCUCAAUUUGUCUCUGGCCGUUGGAGUCAAUCGUGCAGCUGUAAAUGAGAUAAUUUACUUUCCAUAUAAGGUUACGUUGGCUGAUUUGUUGCGAGACUUGGUUAUAACAUUUUUCAAAAUCCAGGAGAGAUUGAUGCAAAAUUUAAUAUCAUUGAUUCUGAAAAUCCUCUUUAUAUAGAACACUUGUAUAAAAUAAAAAUUAUUCACCUGCACUAGACACAAAGAUAGUUAAAAAAUGAGCAUGGAAUUCUUAGGUAUACAAAUUGCAGUAGCCAUUUACAUUUACGUUCUCACCUUGACCAGCAAAAUUAAUGGCUUUAGAAUUGAGCUCACCCCAAGAACCUCCAUUGAUUCGGCUCUGUUUCCCAAAGACCUUUCUCCAGAAGAAAUACAUCACAGAAUUGCUCAACUCUCCAGAGCUCGCGCUAUUCAUCUUAGAUCCAAUCAAGAACCCGAAACACUAAAACCACCUGUUUAUCCUUCUCCUUUUGCUAACACCAAUAUAUACAUAACAAAUAUAUCCAUUGGUUCAACACAGUUCUCACCUUACUUGGUAGUGGAUACCGGUAGUGAUGAUACAUGGCUUCAAUGUGAGGGUUGCACAAGUUGCUUUCCAAUCAAGGGAGGAAGCUUUCCCGUCAUGGAAUCAAAUACUUAUCGCGGCUUAGCUUGUGAGCACCCGCUUUGUGUCCCCAAAUUGUGUGAUAAAGGUCUAUGCUCAUACGAUUGGAAGUACAAAGAAGGCAGUAGAACUAAGGGUGUGCUUUCGUCCGAAAGUUUAACUUUUCCUGGGGAUAAAAAUACAAGCCUAACAUUUGCAAAUGUAACCUUUGGUUGUGGCUAUGACAAUCAGAACGUAUCAUUUGGUGGAUACAUGGGAAGUGACAAUAUAAUUGCGGGGGUGUUUGGUUUAGGGGCAGGGCAACGAUCAAUCCUGAGGCAAUUGGAGCCUGAGACCAACCUACGUUUCUCUUACUGUCUUCGCUUGUACCCCAGAACAGACGGGAGUAACACUACUUACUUGCGAUUUGGCCCUGAUGCUCAGAUAAAAAGGAGACGAUAAACGAAAGUUCAGACAAUAAAAUUGAACCCCAGCCUGCCCGGGUAUUAUGUGAAUGUUACAGGUAUUAGCGUUGAAGGAAAACGACUAGAAAUAGACCCAGCUUUGUUUCAGCUGAAACAAGGAGUCUCUGGUGGAUUUGCUAUUGAUUCAGGUGUUGGACCCACUCUUCUUGUUCCUGAGGCAUAUGAAGUCUUGAAACUAGAAAUCCUCGAAUUCUAUUUGGCGCGAGGCUUUCAUCCUGUAAAAGUAUUGCAUGUGCCGUAUGAUCUUUGCUAUGCUAUUACACCUGCAGCUAAUGUUGAUGCUAGUGGUUUCUUCCCGUCAAUGGUAAUCCAUUUCGAAGGGGCUGACCUUUUUCUGGAUGAUACUGCUGUGAUGGGGUUCGUUGCUCCUCAAUUGUUCUGUUUGAUUUUCUUGCCUACGCAUCCAUCCGGGCCGAAUCUUCUGGGGGCAUUUCAGCAAGAAAAUCAAAGGUUUUUGUUUGAUGUUGGAAAAUCUACUGCGUCAUUUGUUUCUGAGAAAUGUAAUGAGCAAGAAUGAGAUUAUGUAACUCUAAUAAAAUUGUAGGCUUUUCAAAUUCUAUUUUUUUUUUCUUUUUCAUCCCAGAUUGUCAGCUUCUUUGGAUUCAGGUCCUGCAAUUGCAAAGGCCUGAUCAGUACUCAAUUUUAGAUACAGCAGGUGUUAAAAAUGAGACUGAUGCAAUAUUUAAUUACCAAUUCUCUAAAAUUUGAACCCUACGUAAACUUAAUUGAUUUAGAUAAGACAAAUGCUAAGUUAUAAUUAUUGUAACUUACAUUUCUCAUGUGAACCACAUAAAUUACAGGUUCUAUAAUUUUGUGUGGUUCACAUGAGAGGUGUAAGUUAUAAUGAUUGUAACUUAGAGACUCCCGAUAGAUAAUCAUGAUGUAAGAAAUAAUAAUGAUACGUGAUUAGGUGGCGUGUAAAAAGUUAUCAUUAAUGUAAAUAUAGAAAUUUGUAAAACUGGCAGUCGCAGCUCAUCAUGAUUAGUUGUACAAUACCUUUAGUGGAAAAACAUUAAUGAAAUUCUAUAAAGACUAAAAAGCAUUUAAACCAAAAGGUAUAGAUUUGAUUGCCGCUCACAUGGGUGGGAAAGGGAGUCGAUUACUAUUAAGCUUAAUAAUAAUAACAAUAGAAGUAGAAUUAUUAUAUUUUAAAAAAAUGCUUUCAAAAUAAAAACAGUACCAAUUCAUCCAAUUCAACAUUCAAUACUCAAAAACGCUAAUCUAAGCUUGCUUUAGGAAAGAUAAUUAUGAUGUAAGAAACAAUGAUACAUGAUUGGUGGUGUAUAAACAUUUAUCAUUUGUGCAAUAAUAUUGAAACUUGAAACACUGAUAACAUGAUUAGUUGUACAAUAUCUUAAAUAGUAAAACGUUAAUGCAAUUUAAAUGCAAAAUCAGCACCAAUUCCUCAAAAGCCAUUUGUUCUUCUGUAUAUCCACACAAAAUUACAAAUGAUGCAACAAUGUUCUUGCUACUCACAAAACAAAGAGAUUAUGGCCGUGAAACCCUUUGAUUUACAGCUACAAGGGGUGGCUGCAGUUGCCCUCUACAUUUACAUCCUCACCAAGUUCAUCAUACAACUUAUAGCUUCAGAAUUGACCUCAUUCCAAGAACCUCCAUUGAUUCAAAUCUUUUCCCCAAACACCUUACUCAUGAAGAAACACAUCAUAGAAUUGCUUCACUUUCAAGAGCUCAUGCUCAUCAUCUCAGUUCCAUGAAUUCUGCCAAAUCCGCCCGAAAACAAAGCACACCCCGAGCCUGAUCAGUGGAUGCAACCACCAAUUUUUUCUUUUCCUUUUGCUAAUAUUUAUGUAACAAAGGAUCGAGUUAAUUGGUUCAAGACAAUUCUCACCUUACCUGGUUAUGGAUACUGGUAGUGGGCUAUAUGUGGCUUCAAUCUGAAAGAUUGAUUAGACAUUGAUCCGGCAUUGUUUGAGCUAAACCGUGGCAGUUCAGGUGGGGUUUGCUAUUCAUUCACGCGUUGGACUGAUAAUUCAGGUUCCUGCUGCAUAUAAAGUUUGAAAGCUGAGAUGAUCAAGCAUGUUGUUAUACAAAAUGGCUGGCAUCUCGUAGAGGCAGGGAAUUCAAAGAAAAUUCCAUAUGACUUCUGCUUUUGGGUCACACCAACUGGCAUUAAUGAUUUAAAACCAUCAAUGACAAUCCAUUUUGAAGAAGCUGAUCUUGUUCGGGAGCCUAAUGCUGUGUCUCAGAAAGUUGGUGAUCCCUUAUGAAUGAAUGUUAUCUCCAGCUAUCCCAAUGCACCAAAUCUAUAAGGGGCUUUUCAGCGGGCAAACAACCAUUUCUUGUUUGAUGUUAGCAAAUCUAUUUUGUCAUUUGUUCCUGAGAAAUGUAAUGAAUAGAUAGAUUACAAGGUUGUCAAACAGAAUAAUUAGAGUUAUCUGCAUGAACAUAUAUAAGAUAUGUAUGACAAAAUUCCAGACGCUAACUCUUAGACUACAAUAUUUUGGUAAAAUUCUUGGACAAUGAGAGGGACAAUUUAAUAAAUUAAAUAUUAAUUAAAUUAAACAUACUUACAAAUAUAUUUAUGUAGAUGUAUUUCAUUAUUAAAAUUAUAAUUCAUAAAACACAUCAUUUACACAGUUACGUGCCAUUAAAAUUCUCGUUCGUCUCAACUAUACAACAAUACUGUUGUCAUCAUCAUCUUAUGAAAUUUUGUUUUAUUGUCAAAUAAUGAUUGAAAUUUUGACCAAACUAUCUUCUUGUCACUGUUGGUGUACCGUCACCACAGUUUUCUACUUUUCUUGAUUGGUGCACUUAAACGUAACGGGGGCAAAGUGGGGUGUAAUAUGUAGAUUCAAGAGAGCUUAAUGGUUAAGGAUUAGAAGUGAGGACUACUAAAUUUCAAAAAGAAAAAGGGGGAAAAAAUGUGCACUAGUAUGAUUAAAAAGAAAUUAAAGAGGGUGGACCAGUCGUAAGAAAGGCAUAUGAACAGAAGAAAUAAAAAAAAAAACCCUCAACGGUGUUUUAUAAUGGGUUAAUUAAGCUUGGGUGACAUAUAUUCUAACAAAUUUCAAAACGUGAUAUAUGUUUUAAAAAUAUUUUAUCAAGUGACAAUCAGUUAAUUUUUAUAGUUAAUUCAAACGGACUAACGGUAAAUAUAUUUAUUUUAGGGUUGAUUACACACGGAUGACACACAUUUUGAUAAAUUUCAAAAUAAUUAUACAUGUUUUAAAAAUACUUGAUUAGAUAACAACUCAUUAACUUUUAUGAUAAUUCUAAUGGACCACAAGUAAAAUUUUAAAAAAAUAGAUUUAUUAAAUUUUUUUUUUCAUUUUCCUCUCUCCCCUUCUUCCUUCCUCUUCUCCAGUUUUUUCUCCUUUCUUCAUCUUCUUCAGUUCAUUUUUUUCUCCUUUUUUUGUCUUUUUCAGUUCGUCGUUUUUUUCUUUUUUUUUUUUCCCUCUUUCUCUCCUUCUUUCUUUGUCUUCUCUAAGUGUCAUCUUCUCCACGGCCACAACAUGAUAGCAGCCGUGAUUUCCUGGAGCCAAAGUAGCAAAUUGAUUCAACAAGAAAAUUUGUUUAAAGAAAAAUUAGUUUGAUUUAACCAAAAAAACCCUUGUUAAUUAGACUGAACUAGAUUCAAUAUAUAUUAUUAGAAAAAGGUGAAAAUAAGUGAGUAGGGGCAGAAACAUCAUUUUUUUUGUAACUAGCUGUAGGGGCAAAAAUGUUAUUUUUUAAUUAAUUGACUACUUCCAUUACUUAAUAGUAAAAGUUAACGGAUUGUUAUUUGAUCAAGUAUUUUUAAAACAUAGGUUACCUUUUUCAAAUAUGUCAAAAUAAGUUUCACUGAUGGUUAUUAAUUCUAAAAUAAUAUUUUUUGUAAUUUUACCCUUAGUCCGUUAGAAUUAACUGUAAGAGUUAAUGGAUUGUAUUAUUGAGUAUUUUUUAAAUAUGUAUCUCUAUUUUAAAAUUUGUCAAAAUAUGUAUCACCCAAGUGUAAUUAACUCAACACUUAUCUUAAUUUUCUAACUUCUAAGCGAAUAUUGUCUAAAAAAGACGCCAUGUUCAUUCAAUUGAUAGAAAAUUGGUCUAGUUUCUAACUUCUAAGCGAAUAUUGUCUAAAAAAGACGCCAUGUUCAUUCAAUUGAUGGAAAAUUGGUCUAUUUUCUAACUUCUAAGAGAAUAUUGUAUAGAAAAUGCUAAUCAGGCUGAAGGCUUUGUCAUGAGUAGUCUCGAGUGUUCCGUGCCGUUUUAGUCUUCAGAAUUGAAAAUCUGCCUCAAUCUCAAGACGAAUUAGCAAGAAAAGGAGUAUGACAAAAACGGCACAUCAUCUGAUGGGGCGCGUUUGUGUAUGCGCUCAAGCUGAUUAUGACUCUUUUUAGGUCAGGAAAUACUGUAAUUUUUAAAAUAAUUAUUGUUAACUGUAUAAAUAAUCAACUAUAAAGAAAAUUAAUUAAGUAUUUGGUAAUUUUUUUUAAAAUUAUUAUGCGUUUUGAAAGUAGUUAUGAGUGUUUAGUAAAAUCUUAGUGGUAAACUAUUGUGACAAAACAAAUGAUUAAAAUGUACAUAAUGCAGGAUAUAUUUUACUUAUACAUAUAAAAACAUGUACAUAUAAUAUUUUUAAUUGUAUAUAGUAAUAAUUUUAACUAAAAAUAAAAUUUAUACUAUAUUUAUGAAAUUAUAUUAAAGGAUAAAAUUGGUUCUCAAAAUUAGAAUUUAAAAAUUACUUUCUCCAUGCUUUCAAAAUCAGCUGUAGGAGGAAUUAAUUUUAACAAAAGUGAUUUUGAUUUUUUUUUUACCAAACUCUAAAAUUAAUUUUUAAAUUUUUAAAACCACUUUUAAACCUUCCAAAAGCAAUCCCAAAGGGACCCUAAGUAUAAUUUGGGUCCUAGCGCACACAAGAAAUUUUGCAUAACAAGGAAUUUUUUUCCUAAUUUUUUCGCUCUAUUAAUUUUUUUUCUAAUGAAAUAAGUGAUCCAUAUUAAAUUUUGAAUUUGAUAUUAAUAACUUAACUAAUUUUUUCACUAAAUUUAAAAAUUUAUGAGAGAGAAAAAAAUAAAUAAUAAUAAUAGUAAGAAAGAAUCAUAAUCUAUAUUGCAGCAGUUAUCUCAAUGACUCGUGAGUCGUGUCGGUGUUCGUGGGUGGGUGACUUGGAUAGAGCUGGCAAAAUUUGACACGACCCGAUUACCCGACACGAACACGACACCAAUAAAUGGGUAUGGAUCGUCAAAUUUAACACGAUUAUUAAAUGGGUCGGGUCCGGGUCAACACGAUUUUUUUCCGUGUCGGGUUAGGGUUAAAAUUCUUGACCCAUUUACCCGAUUAAUGACCCAAUUAUAUUUUUUAUUUUAAAAUAAUUUGCAGAUUCUUGUCAUCAAAACUCAAAUAUUAGAGAUGAUUUUUUUUUAUUCUUUAAAAGGAUGAAUAUAGACACAAUAUUUUAUUUAUAAAAUUUUAAAUACAUUUAGAGCUUUAAUAGUAUAAAUGUAUAAAAUAUUGGUAGACAUGUAUAUUUUAUAAUAUUGAUAUAUAAUAUUAUUUACAUAUAUAUAAUUAAAACCUCAAUAGUGUGCAUAAUAUUUUAGUAGAUAUGUAUAUUUUAUAAUAUUGAUAAAUUAUGUAUGUAUGUAUGGAUGUAUGGAUGUAUGUAUGUAUGUGCAUACAUAUGUAUGACAAAGUGUAAAUAUUUGAUGUAACUUUUGUUUAAUAUAUAAAUAUUAAGCGGGUUAUUGGGUAACCCGAUUAUAUUUUCGUGUCGGGUUUGGGUCUCAAUAUUUUGACACGAUUAUUAAAUGGGUCGGGUUUGGGUCGACUUAAAUUUGACACGACACGAACACGACCCGAUGACCCGUUUUGCCAGCUCUAGACUUGGAUUUGGCCACAUAUGUCACUGCUCGCGUCAUCGGAUUUUCUCUUUCAUUUCCCAUAAAUAAUAAUGCAAUUAGUUAAAGAGCAGUGAAACAAAAAGCCACAAACCAAAUUUGUCAUCAAACCUAGUAAUUGCAAAUUACAGAGCUUGUACCAACCACCAAAAAUGAGCUGGUGGUGGGCUGGGGCAAUUGGCGCUGCCAAGGUAAGACUUAUAAUUAGAUCAGCUCUUUCACUUGCUGUGCUUGAAGAUUUUAUUCUUCUUAUUUCAUAUUUUUAAAAUGUUAAGUUUAAUUUACAGAAGAAAUUUGAAGAAAAUGAGCGACAACCGCAACCGCAACCUCAAGACUACCAGCACGUGGGACUCGUGAUAGGCGUUACGGGAAUUGUGGGAAACAGCCUAGCUGAGAUUUUGCCCCGACAGGAUACUCCCGGGGGCCCGUGGAAGGUCUACGGAGUGGCCCGACGCCCCCGGCCCGACUGGAACGCCGAUCAUCCGAUUGAGUACAUCCAAUGCGACGUUUCCGACCAGGACGACACGCAGGCCAAGCUCUCAAAACUCACCGACGUCACCCACAUCUUCUACGUGACGUGGGCCAGCCGUCCCACGGAAGCCGAGAACUGCGAGGUCAACGGCGCCAUGCUACGCAACGUGCUCGGUUCCGUUAUCCCGACCGCGCCAAAUCUACGCCACGUCUGCCUCCAAACCGGAGGGAAACACUACGUGGGACCGUUCGAGUCGUUCGGCAAGAUACGGCCUCACGACACGCCCUUCACCGAAGACCUGCCAAGACUGAAUGUGACAAACUUUUAUUACACUCAAGAAGACAUAUUGUUUGAAGAAGUCGAAAAAAGAAAGGGGCCGUUGUCAUUGACUUGGUCCGUACACCGGCCUCAUAUAAUAUUUGGGUUUUCACCGUACAGUAUGAUGAAUGUUGUAGGCACUCUGUGUGUGUAUGCGGCUAUUUGUAAACAUGAAGGGGUUCCUUUACUGUUUCCAGGGAGUAAAGAUUGUUGGGAGGGCUACUCGGUUGCUUCGGACGCGGAUUUGAUUGCGGAGCAACAGAUUUGGGCGGCGGUGGAUCCGUAUGCGAGAAACGAAGCUUUUAACUGCAGCAAUGGGGAUGUUUUUAAGUGGAAGCAUUUGUGGAAAGUGUUGGCUGAGCAGUUUGAGAUUGAGAAUUAUGGGUUACCACAGGAGGGCGAGAGAGUGAGAUUGGAGGAAAUUAUGAGAGGUAAAGAAGGUGUGUGGGAGCAGAUCGUGAAAGAGAAUCAGCUGCAGCUCACAAAGUUGAGUGAGGUGGCUGUCUGGUGGUUUGCAGAUAUGAUGUUAGAUGGAGGGUUUUUGUUGUUGGAUAGUAUGAAUAAGAGCAAGGAGCACGGAUUCUUGGGCUUCAGGAAUUCUAAGAAUUCUUUCGUUAAUUGGAUUGACAAGAUGAAAACUUACAGGAUUGUGCCUUAGAGGAGUGAUAUUCUGUGGAGGUUGUAAUUGUUAUUUGGUGAGUAAAAUGGUUAUUAUGUUUCAUUUUCAUGAUUCAUGUAACUGUUUGAAAAAUCAAUGGUUUUUGGUCUGAGGUUGGAAAAUCUACAGUCUCUUCUCACAUCUGUUUUAUAAAAAUAAAAUUGGAGACUUGUUAAUUUCUGUUUCUUUGUGUUCAUCGGUUCAUCCCGGCUUUUCUUUCAUCUUCCUUGGCAUCACCAAUCACUUGUAAUAAUUGCCCAACAAAUCUGAGAGUUUAGAAAAAUACUUUUGUCGGACAGGUGUACGAUUCAUCCCUCCCCCUAGCUUUCUAGCUCUAUAUUUUACAUCUCUCCUACUAUGUAUACUAAGGCCCUGAAUAAAGGAAACAAAUAAUGGAGACAUGUCGUCCCAUGCUUGAAAAAUGUUUCUCGUCAAAGAUAUAUACAUCAUUGAUCGUUGAUAUAAACUCUCAGUUGUGUGUGGCGUGCAUAAUUAUUUAAUUACACGAAUCUAGCUAUUCAAUUGCAUAACCGAAUGAUCAUCAAUAAGGCAGAAUCAAGCUUUUGUGGUGUUCUUGUGACAAAAUAUUCUGCUUUUUUCGUUUAAGAAGAUGACAAAAUAUAGAAUACGUAGUGUAACUUGUUAAGUACUUGAAAAUACAGAGCUUAAUGAGACAGAUACUGGGGUUAUAAUAUAUUGGGGUUAUAAUAACUUACCGCCAGCAGGUCCUCAAAAUCAAGAAAGUACUUGAAACAUGGGAUACGUCGGAUGUUUAACGUUGCAAUCACAGAGUCUGUCAGGUAUUCACGCAUAUCCUCAAUUUGAUAGUGUCUGUCAAAGAGAUCUAUUUAUGGCUAUGCUUUGGUUAAUGAAAAAACUAAUGUAUCCCACAUCGAAGCGAUACAAAAAGGCAGCUAUGACAAAGGAUAUAAAUAAUGAGCGCUAAGCAACUGAAGAACAUACUUACCUGGACGGGGUCAAUGGGCGAUCAUGAAGGCCCAUGGCCUAGGUUGGUGGCCUCCAUUGCACUUGGGAGGUGCACCCGCCUAAGGUCAACCCAAAGUGGUUGAGCCUACGUCAUAAUUUGUGGCAGUGGGGGCCUGCGUUCGCGCGGCCCCCUCCCCAACUCAAUUAAAAUUUUAACUAUUUUUGUGCGCCAUUGUCUCAACGGUUGUCUUUUAACUUACAAUUAUUCUAAGAGAGUUUCAUAAUCCUGAGCAGACUGAAAAUCGAUUGUACAUUGUCGUGGUUGUGACUAGUGCUCUCAGGGUGUCACAAUCAGAUCUCUGCUAAAGUCAAGGCGUAUCUUAUUUUACUUACCUAAUAAGAUCCUAAUUAAGGUUUAUUUUAUUAUUUAAAAAUUAAAAAAAAAAACUGAAUAAUUAUAUCUGCUCACCUAAACGUUAGGCCCCAUCUUAACAUGUAGUUCCACUAAAAAAUUAGUUUUUCUUUAUUUUCUUGUUUAAGGUGUAGGAUUUUAAUAUUUUUUAAUUAUUUAACUUUAAAUCUUGAUCGAACUUAGACCGGAGAUUUAAUUAAGGAUUAUUCUCUAUUUUGAAAGUUAAAUUUCCAUCAAAUAAGGUUGUUUGAUGAUUUCUACUUAAAAAAAAAAUUCAAGGUAAUUAAAAAUUAUUAUGCUGAAAAUCUGUUAACGGUUUAUAUAUGAAAAAAAUUAAUCAUACAUAUUUAUGAUAAAAUUUUCAACCAAUCUCAUGUUAACUUCUUUUAAAUAAAAACUUUGCCUAAGACCUAAAAUUUCAUUGUGCCGACCUAAACCAUAGUUUAGGAUGGAUGGAUUUUGUUGACUUUUUUACCAUCUGACAGGUACAAUAUGAGUGCCUUAACUGACUUGGAUCCUUAUUAUCCUACUACGUGUAUGGCUUAAAUUGACUAUAAAGAAAAUGAGGCUGGAAAUGUAUUUAAUAUUCUAAAAGCUUGUCCGAAAUUGGCUACAAAUAAAAUAAGAGCAGAAAUGUAGUUUUUUUUUUUUGAAGUCGAGCAGAAAUGUAGUUAAUAUUCUGAAGUUGGUAGCUGAUUACAAUUUUAAUUAAUCAUUGUUCUCUUGAUCAUCAUUAUUUCUCUCACCCAAUGGAGAAAGACUGUAUAAUCGGGUCGAUUUAGGUGAUGCCGGGGUUUAGAAAAAAUAUUACAUAUUUUAUCUCAAACGAUGUGUCAUUUAUUAAGUAGUUGAUAAUUCUUUAUAAUCCAAUUGAAUUAAUUGUAUUAUCUCACCAAUAAAUUAAUGAAUAUUACAUCAAUUGUGAUAAUUUUUGGCAUAAAAAAUUUAAAAUAUAUAACAUUAUUCUUUUAUGCGGAGAUGGAAGCUUGCAAUUUAUCAUGUUCCAAUCUUGAAGACCAUGGAAGAAAGUUGACAAAGAUUGAAAAAAAAUUAUCACUUUCUACCCAAAAAAUAAUUUUAAGAUUUGUUUAAAUGAUCAUACAAUACUUAGUUUCAUAAAUGGAUACAUAAAUAUUUUUUUAUUAUUAUAGUAUUAUACCUUUUUGCAACUAUACCCAAAUUUGGUAUAGAAAUACAAAAUGUCAUUUUCUAUGGGGAGGCAUUCGAGGAUCGCAAAAAAACGAUGCCGACCACCUAAAAAAUAUAGGUACGAAAACUAUAUUUAUUAGAAAACUAUAUUUAAUUAUUUUUAUUAUGCAUUUUAAUCUUUGUAUAUAGUAUAUUGGCUUUUCAGUUCAACCACUCUUAAGGAUUUCUUUGAGAUUGAGGAUGAACGUUGUAUCCUAUAAGUAGCUUAUUUUAUAAGUUCUGAAAAAACCUAUAAAAUUCAUCUUUUCGAGCCCAAAAGUCAAAACAUGGCGACAUAUGUGUUGUUGAAUCGUGGAGUGAAAAAACCUAUCAAAUUCAUCUUUUCGAGAUAAAAAGCCAGACAAAUACCGAGGGCGGAACUAAGACUUUAAUUUAACAGGAGUCAUAAUAGAGGAUUUAAAAAAUUGAUUAGGUUGUCGCAUAAAAUUUAUAAAAUUGAAGAGGCAUUAAAAUGGAGAUUAUAAUAGUUAAAUUUAAAUCAUAAAAUUUAGUAUACCAUAAAAAAGGUCUAAGAUAUAUAUUUUUUUAAACAUGCAUGCAUGCAUGCUUCCGCCACAGUCAUACCCUAACGCAAACUUAAGACCGGUCUUAACAACGCCAAGUUUUUAAAGGGAGAUGGAGGAAAGAAAGAAAUACUCACUUGAUUCGAGUGCCCUCAAUGCCCCCUUAGACUUGACUCAUGAAUCAGUAGUUACUAGUGAUCACGUGGAAAUUGUCAACUUGCUGGGCUAAUUAUGCAAUAAUCGCUACGUGUUGUUAUAAACUUAUAGUUAGCGCAAAUAUGUUGUUGUUUUAUUUAACAAAUUAUUCUUAUUAAUUUUAAGAAAAAUAUUUAUAUCAGAAAUUGUUUCAUAAUUUGAAUUGGUCAUCAACUAGCAAAUAAUUAAGAGCCAUCAAUAUUUGAAAUGGUGGGAUGCUAAUAGCAAUAAAUCCGAGCACGAUUAAUACCAAAAAGUAAAACACGGCACCUUAUUUCAAAGUUUCAAUGAUUUUUUUUUUUUAUAAAAAAAAAGCACAUAACACGAUGGUCAACCAUACCAGGAAGAAAUAUCAGUUAUCUCAGAUUAUUAUAAUAAAAUCAGAAAGGUCGUUGCCCAGCAGGGCGAAGUGGCCCACCGAACACUGGCCCGCAGCAGGUCAGCUCCAUCGAAGGAUAAAGACGAGAGUAUCAAAAUGAAGUGACAGCCCGAGAUUUCAUUCAGUCAUAUCCUAAUCACGAUCAAGGAGACAAUUAAAUAAAAUUGAGUGGCGUACGUAUAAAUUAUAGAUUCAAGAGAGCUUAAUGGUUAAGGAUUAGAAAGUGCGGACUAGUACGCAAAGGCAAAUGAAAAGAAGAAACUGAGAAGAAACAUCAACGUCGAUGUAAAAUUAUGUAUUAAUUGUAGUAGAUGGCUUAUCUUUUUUUUUUUUUUCUCUCCCCCCACCCCCUCCUAAAGUCGGAAAACGCCAACAUUAUGCAUGGUUUGCUCAUGGACUCCAUGUAUCUUUCAUGUUUUGUUUAAGAAUGAAGCUCAAAUGAGGGCACUUGACUGAGUAUGGCAAGUUAUUUACGAGAUAAUCGAGAAAUUGCAAAGUCAGUAUCUUUCAUGCUGGUUAAGUAAAGAUAUUGGACGGUACGACUGUUAUUAUUUGUAAGGCCACGGUCAUGUCAGAGUUGCUACCGUGAAGCUCUAACGUAGCUGGAUCCUAUUUAUAAAUGUAAUGUGCAAAUAACAUGUUUUUAAACUUAAUAUAUUUUUAUUUAAUGUAUGAAAUUUGAAAUUUUAUUAAUUUUAGAUUUUUUUUAAAAAAUUAUUUAUUUUUUAUAACUUAUGUCUGAUUUAUAUAUGUUUGUAUCGGAAUAGAAAAAAUAAUUUUUUUUUUACUUUUAUUUGAAUAGAAAAAAGUCUAAAGAGAAGUAAAUAUUAUAUUUAAAAAAUAUUUGUAUAAAAUAUAUUUAUUUCUUAAGUUAUAAAAUCUAAUCUUUUUUGUUUUGGUUUGCAAGGAUAUAAAUGUCAAAGAAUUAUGUUUAAGUUUUUUUAUUUAUAAAAAUAAAAAGAUGUCGCUUAUAUUUAGUAUUAAAAAAAACAUAUCAUUUAAAUAUUCAUAUUUAAAUUCAUUCAGACAUUAGAAAAAUUCAGAAACAUUUAGAUUUCAGAUAAAAAAACAAACGCUACCUUAAACAAGGAAUGGUAGAAACCCCUAUAGGGAUGGGGCCUUGGGAAUUUUUUCCAUUUGAGGAGGGUAUGAAGAUAAUUUGAUAUUCAAUUUCUUAUUCAGAGAAGGAAUGAAGAUAAUUUUUUUAUAUCUAAUUUCAUAUCCAGGGAAGGGUCCACCCUUUCCUAUUUCCCCAUUUCCUAUUCUAAUUUUUAAUUUUUAAUUUAUUUUCCUAGAAUUAAUAGUGAAUAAAUACUAAAUUUUAAAUUGUAAAAUAUUAGAUAUUAGUGUAAGUAACAAAUAUGAAAAUGCUUAUACAAAUACUAUAAAUAUUAGUUAAUACAAAAAAAUUAUUGUAAUUUAGACUUAACUAUAGCCCAAAAUCAGUAAUCGCACAUGCCUACAAUUCACAAAUCAAAUUCUAAGUCACUCUCUCACAACAUUACACAUCCCUGCCAAAUUAUUUGUGCCAUAACUAGUAUCCAGCUUGUCAUCAUCUCAUCAUAGGUCACUAGUACAUUGCAUUGUUGGUGGCCGAGUAGUCUAACUCAUCGCGACGUCAACUCGUAGCCCCACACGUGGCUUCAUUGCGCUAUAAUCGACCAAGAGAUAUCAUUACUCAUGGACAACACUCACGUCAAUAUUGUAAAAGAAUCACAUUAUUUGAAUUUUGUUUUCAAAAUCAUUAUUUGAGUAUUGUAUAUACCAAAAGUUUGAUGGAGUAGAAUGAAAUAUAACAUGUUUAUGAUCAUUCUCAUUUUAUUUUAUAUGAUUAAAUUAAGUGCAAUAUGACCUAUUUAGAUUAAUAUGAUUAAAUUAAGUGUAAAAACUAAAAAAAUAUCAGUUAUUUGGGGAUUAUGGACCCUUAGAGAUCUCUUGUUAUUUUUUAGAGAGGGGAUAGAGAUCCCUCAAGCAAUUUUGAUGGGAACAAGAACCUAAGUAGAAUAUUAAGAAUGGGUACAGAGAUUACGAUCUCCUCUUUUCGUCUCUCCAUUACCAUUUAAGGUUUAAACAAUGAAGGAAGCACGCCAUUUUUAUCAUGAUUAUGUAAGUACGCGUGUCACACGUGCAAUCAAGCUUUGGAAAAUCAAUUGCUUUGGUUUGAUGUUGGAAAGCCUUCGUUCUACCAUCUCUUUUGUUUAAGAGACUUCUAAUGAGCAAAAAUUACGUGGAAACCCUUGUACUACCCAAAUAGAAGUCAUGUUUGUUGGUUAGAUUUCCAGCUAUGUAUUGCAUUUUACGUCACUCUCAAACUUCAAUAAAAUUGAGUCAAGUUGAUGAAAAGGUGAACAAAAGAAUGUAAAACAAAAUGUAAAUUCAAAUUUCUCGGUUUUCGCUUCAUAUAUGCAUUAAAAAUCGAACACUUCUAUGUUCAUUGUAUGUUAAUAUUUGCAACCAAUCACUCUGUCAAAAUUAAACGACUCUUGAUAUAUAUUAAUAUUAUUCGAAGAAUUUGAGUUUCUCUGCUGCAAACGAUAUGUUUGGCAAAUCUAGGACUAGAGUGCUCUAUUUAUAUUUAUUUUUGGGAUGAUUUAUAACAAGAGAUUUCUUAUAUAUAUUUUAGCUUUCCUUUUGUUAUUGUAGUUGUCUAACUAUUUUGAGGGGUAAGGCUCACUAUGUCUCCCUUAAUUAGAUAUAAAUUAUUUUUGGUUUUCAAUAAAAUUACAUCGCCAGCCAAGUUUCAUUGAAAAAAAAUUAUCUAUUUAUUUAUUUUUUAAUGUUAGGAGAUCCUACAAAACUUAAAUCGAUUUAUUUAACCUCAUAUCUCUCCAAACUGUUUGAAAACUACUUGGUCAAAUGCAGGACUUUAAUUCUAACAUAUCUUGAUAGGUCAUGGAUAUAUUAGAGUGGUUCUAAGGAAAAACACGAGUCACAUCUUGGUAGUGUCGUAUUGUCGUUAGGGUGCACCAAAUUUAAAACCUUACUACUAGUAUAAAUAAUUAGUACAGAACGAGUAAGGAUCGAUCCCACAGAGACUAUACUAGUUAUAUUUAUUAUCAACUCUAAAGCAAGACUUAAAAUAAAAUAAUAAUAGAAGUAAUUAAUAUAAAUUAAUCUAACUAAAGAAAAUGCCAAUUAAAAAGGGGAGUUUUUGAAUUUUUAACUAAAUAGCAAGAAAUAAAGAAAUUAAACUAUGAAAACAAAAAUUUAAUAAAAACUCUAAUUAAAGAAGAAAGAAAUAAUAAUGAUGAAAACUUUGGUUAAAGGAUUAUUCACCACCACCAAACAUGCACAUAAUAUAUCAAUUUUAUCAUCAAUUUAUAUUGAAACUAUCAACCGUAGACAACAACAAACUCUGUUAGUCUCAAUCUUUCCUUAGUGUGUCGUUAGGCAAAACAAGCUCUUCACCUAAUCUCUAACCAUUAAAUAAUUUAAAACAAACUCUUUAAAUUUAAGAGAAUGGAAGCAUUAAGUAGAGAAAUAUAUUAGGUUGAUCUAGACAAUAAACACACAAGCUCGGAUUAUUUAACCUAGGUUAUGUUCUCCAAUUGAAAUCACUGAUUCCAACCUGCUACUUAAUCUCAAGACAAUUACGGAUCAAGAAUUUUAAUCUAACAAUAGAAUUUAUUCAAGUCCUAUCUAAUUGGCCACUCAAACAAGACGAGAAUAAAAUCAUAAACAUUAAUUAUAGAAGAACAUAAACAAUCUCAAUUAAAUAAAUUGAAUGAUAUAAAUUAAAAAUUAAUCAUAUGACAUGUUUGGGGUUUUGAAUUCACCAUCAACUAAAUAGAAAAUCUAGCUUAACAUAAUUAAAUUGGGAAUAAAAGAACUGAUAAAACCAAUCACGGAGAUUAAUUUAAGCGGCUGCCUUUUUCUUCAAUUCCCUUCGGCUGGUGAUUUUUUUUUUCUCCUUUGCGACUGCCAAUCUAUCUAUAUAUAUUAAGUUGGGACUUGAGGAGGUGAUGUGGCAUCACCAUUUUUCAUAUUUGUAUAUUCUCUAUUAUCUAAUAAAUAGAGAAAUUUUCUUUUAAAUUUGGCUUUUCAUCUACUCAUAAUUAAUUUGAUUGUUAUUACACAAUAACAAUUAUGUAAAUAUUUUAAUGAGACAUAUUAUUUGUAGUGAACAUCCAAGGGGGGGUGUUAUGAAUUUAUUAAAAUAAAUGUAGAUGUUCAUAACAUAUAUCUCUUAGUCUCUCCACUAUCUCUCAUUAGCAACCUUUAGCUUUCCUAUAACUCCCACUAUCUCACAAGAAAUUAUGUUCCAUAAUUUUUCAUUAAUUUUAUGGAGUGAUUAUGUAACUAUAAAAGGAGAGCUCAUCUUUUUGUUUUGUACACACACAAUUGAAAUGAAUAAAAUUACUCUAUAAUAUAUUCUCUUAUUUUAUUCUUUAUCUUGCGUUGCUUCUUUAUUUGUAUUGUUGGCUAAUAGCUUUUUUUUGUUUUUUAUAAGGCUAAAAAAAAUCAAUUUAUAUUUUUUAUCAGUUUUAUCAAGUGUAAAGUAAGAAAAAAAGAUAAUACUAAAUUCUUUUUUCAAAGCCACGUGAAGCGCGGUUCUAUUUUCUAGUUGUUUUGUAUGUGUGGCUGCCGAAUAUAUAUUCCCCCUCGUGUUGCUUCCACUUGGCCCUUAUAUAAUGCUUCAAUUGUGGCUUUUAAAUCCUUGCAUGGAAAGAAUUAAAUCCAAGCAAAAACCGCCACUUUCAUAACGUGCUUGCCAUUUAAAUUGUCAUGCAAAACAUUUAAAUUACAUGCAAAAUAUUUCCAAUUAGAGCAUUCACAAACUCUUUUGAUUGGCCAUGCUUAAAGCCAAAAGGCUUUAUUCUUUUCUUCCUCUCACGUGCUGGAUGGCAAUCUCCUUUUUCCAAUUUUAGCUCCAUGCGAUGGCUUAGCUUGUAAUUGGCUUGGCUUCCUUUAGCUCCAUGUGUAAAAUUAAUUUUGCUUGGCCCGUACAAGCUCUAAUUGGAAAAUAUUCUUUAUUUCUCCAAUUCCUGAUCUCUUGUGCACUUUUGUCUCCCAAUCUUUAAUUCUUUUCCUAUUUUGAUUCUCUCAAUCAGAUUUCUUUCAUGAAUGCUCCGAUUUAAUAUCUCUUUAAUAUCAAAAAAUACUUAAAAUAACAAAAUAAAAAAAACUAAGAUAAAAAUUAACACAAUAAAAAUAUAAUUUACUAAAUAAAAAAUUAAUUAAAAUAACUAUAAUAUUUAAGACCAAAACAAGAAAAAGAUGGAGAAAUUAAUAGCAAAAUAUAUGAAAAAUAUGCACUUAUCACAUCUACACAUGUAAAGUGAUAAAUAGUAAAAAGUAUGUUAUAACUUUAAUCGUAUGAUUAUGAAGGAGUGUUCCACCGUGAAGCAGUUCCAACAUAGCCGGACUCAUCUUGAUAAUAUAAUAUGAGUAAUAAAUUGACACUUACUUGGCAAUUAAGUUAAUUAUUAAAAGAUGUCACACGAUUAGCAUUUAGAUAAUUGAUAAACCACAAAGUUAAAUAACACUAUAAACAUCAUAAUUAAUGACAUGUGUAACAAUGAUUUGAGACAAACUAUAUAAACCCCAGUUUCGUAAAUGUAAUACAAUAAAUUAUUAUUGUAUAUUAUAUUUCGAAUUCAUCCGUUACACCGUAAGAUUGAAUUAAUAAAUAUCAAAUAAAUUAAUGGUCAAUUAGCAUCAUUUUCAUCCGAUUAAACUUUCAUAAAAUAACAAUGAACAAAACCAUCCAAUAACUCAUAAAUAAUAAAUCAUAAUUAACUAUCUUAAACAAAUUCCUUAACAAUUACAACUACCGUCUUCAUUAUGUAAACAACAUCGGAGUAAAAGUAAAGCAGCACAGAAAACUCUAUGACGAGGUGGCAACUGGCAUCCAAGAUGACCACGGAGGUGGUGGGCCGAGAUCAGUUGGAUCAGGAGGUCCAGGUGGGCCCAUUGGACCACGAAAGCAGCCUUGUAGCAACCAGCAGCAGCACAGAAAGCUCAAGCUGUCAUAACAAACCCAACGACAAGCAACCGAACACCAGUAUUAGCUUUUUCCGCCACUGAGAAUUUUUUUUUGUCAACGUGUCAAUUUUUUCGUGAUUGUUCAGCUGCAUCUUAAGUUCCCAUUUUGACACGUGUCACUGUAUCUUUACACUACAUCAUGUAUCAACGAUGUUUACUUGGUGCACUUCAACAAUGAAUGGGACUAACAGAACAGCACAUGGAGAAUUUUGAUUUUUGAAAACCUCAACAUCUAAAUUCGAUGUUUAAUUACUUUCCAUGAACCGAUAACUUCACAAAAGCCACCGAAAGAGUCCAGCAGUCCAAGUAGUGGUGGACCCCACACAGGUGGCCCUCCAGGUCCUCCCGGUCCCAUUGCUAUUUGCUGAUUACUGUUGCCGGCUCUUUAAGCAAAGUUAGUUAACACCAAGGAAAUUAACAAGAGACUUUCAGAAGUCCAAACUCGCUCUUGCUUGUGUAUAUAGAGAUGCAAAAUGUUUUUAUGUUAAAUGAAAGUGGUACAAAUGCCACAAGGUUUCUUGUGUUUAUAGAAAGUGCAAGCUUAGGAUUUAAGCAUCCAUCUUUGUUGCCACAUUUGCAUCUAAUACUUUCCAACUGCUAGUCUUCUAUGUCUAACAUUCAAGACCCUGCUCAAGAAUGAUAGCAAUUACCAAUCACACGCUCAUUCAAUAAUUCAAGUGAUAAUCUCUUAAGUUAAAACCCAUUUAAUAAUCUAUGGAGGAUUUGUGCCCACAAAUGUGACCGAAUGGUUUUUAAAUAAUUUUAUUUAAUUAGCUACCCAACUUCAAAUCUUAAGAGAAAUAAGGGAUUUAAACAAAAUGAAUUUGAUCAAAAUGAAUCUGGACUUUGCUCACUGCAUUGAAAAAAAAAAAAUUACAGAAGAUUGAUCGACAAGAGUCUUCAGUGAUAAGCAAUUAGAUCAUAUUUUACUUUCCAGAAGAUGACAUGUCUCAAAGAGGUUUAAGCCAAAAAAUUCCCAAAACGCAAUAAUAGAUGAACAAGUGUGAUUAGAAAGUGCCACCAAGAAAUGAAAAGAAUACUAUAACUAAUAAAUCUAUAAAUCUCAUUUCCAUGAUGACAUUAUAGCAGUGGGUUACCAACCCCAAUUGAAUUAUAUAUAUAUAUUUACUCGAAAAUUAGGUUAGAGGGUAAACUGAUUACACAAAUUCUAUAGAAAAAUGGCCAAAAAGGCUGCCUUUUGCCUCUGUAUAUGUGAGCUAACUUUUAACUAGUAUUCUCUUCCAGAUAAUUCAUCCAUAUACAACUCUGCAAAUCACAAGAAUCCUUCACGAAAUGGCCGCCAAUCCAAUAGAUUUCCCCUCUUCAGUUUCUGUUUUCUGGUCUUGCUGAAAAGAGAAUGCAACAGACUAGUAAGUAGACUACAUUUGAAGAAUUGCAGAUUCGCUUGAAUUGAAAAUAAAAAUUAAGGCAUUUAUUAAAAUGGCUUCUAGAACAGCUUAAGGGGUAGUAUGGGCAGAUUAGUAAAAGGAUGGAAGAGAAAUUAUGCAAGAAUGCUUACUUGAAACAUUUGUGAUAACAUUAACACUUUUCUGAGCAGCAAGAGCUUUCAACUUGUUCCCACUACCUAGUACAAGCAAGCUCCUCAUAUGUUGCUUUUGUUCCCUAGGACUAGCUGUCUUUGUUGUUUGGAUAUUCUCACUUCCUAUCUUUUGAAAAAGGGAAAAAAGAAAACUUGCUUAGCGACGCUUAAUUACUGCUGUUAAUAUUCUGGCCAUUUAACAAACUUAUGCCCAUCGUUUGGAAAACCAAAAAAAUACAAUUAUUUUUCCAAGAAUAUAAGCAUGAAGAAAACUGAAACUAAGAAUGAAAUCUGAGAGGUUCAAAAGGCAUAUAUAUGAAUUAAAAUGAAGUUGAUUAUAAUAAGGGCUAAUAUCAUCAUUUGCAAAGCAAAAAAACCAAAAUAAGAAGCUAGUUUAGAGUUUCUUAUCAGCUAGCUCUAAAGAAAGACAAGUGCAGCAAAUUAAAGAUGGUUUUUUAAACCUCUCUAAUCUUAAACAUAAGUAGAUGAGGUGCCAAAUGCAUGGAUGGAUCCAGUACCGUAAGUAACAAGGCAGCUUCUUCUAAUUAAGCAUAUCGUCCCGUCUGGUUAUUUCCGUUUGCCAGAACGCAACCUCACCCAUGAUCACAUAAUUAUCCACCAACAAAACAAUCGUUGCCAAGGUCAUAAUCAAGCCAUCAUCAGACAGCCCGUGCUCUCCACGGACGGCAGCAGCUAUAACCUCGUGAUAAAUCCAUAACAUUUUCCAUCCAGAAACGAUGUGCGGGACCCAAAUCUGCACUACGAAAAGCACCACGAAAGAAGUUGAGCAACAAAGGUACGUAAAUCGAGAGAAGAAAAUAAUACACAUUGAUGCUUAAAGAGAGCAGAACGCCGGCCCGCCUGCUUUGUGUGCAGACAUGAGAUAAAGCUACUGCGUAUUGUUCCCAGUAAAAGAUCGAAGAAGCUGAUUCGAUUCUGAUGCUGAAUCCCCAGACCAAGACUAAGGUUGGAGCAAGGGUUGCUAUGCCUGCAUAUUCAGAGCCCAACACCUCCGCGAACAACAUCAUCCAGCUGUUUAAGUUUGUGAUGAGCAUCAUUGUUAACAAAGAUGACAUGUCGGGAAGAAGCUCAUGAUUGUGGGUUGGCCAAAUGGGCAUUUUCCCUUUUUCUAAAAUAUUUUUUUCCUCGGUACUGUAUGUAACUUGUCUGUUUGGCUUCUGGGAAAAUAAAUAUGAGAGGAGAAAGCGAUUGGAGAAAAUUUAGCUGAAUUACACGAUGAGGAUUGGAAUUGAGGGAGUCCAAACCAUGUGCUUCUACUCUGUUAGUGCACAAAAUGGGAAAUGGCAGAGAACUCAAAUUAAAGCUUCACAAAAUGGGAAACACCUAUCUAAUAUAAAGUGUUGGGUGGAAGUGACAAAUUAAGGAAUUUUGAAGGUCAUAGUCAAUUUAUAGACUUCAUUAAUUCCAAUAUCUUAUUAAUUUCUGACAUUGAAAAUUAACAUAUCGUAGACUUGUUGAGCUGUACAAAACUCGUUACUCAUUCCAGUCACUUUAUUUCUCAAAUUUAUGAUCUUUCAAAAAUCUUCUCAACUCCCACUGUUAUUGCCGGUUUUUCUGUUGAUCAAUUAAAAUUCAUUUCUUCUGUUUGAAUGCAGGCACAUUUAUUUUUCAUCAAUUUUUUUUAUUUACGCAUAUCUACAUUUUGAGUAAUUGUAAAAAAUUAUGUAUGGGAAUUAAGAAUUAUUGUUAUGUUAUUAACCAAACUCUCAAGAUUUAAAAUGCAGUGGAAAGUUUUGUAUGUUUCAAUAUUAUUUUUUUCAAUAUUUUUUGGAGAAACAAUUGUUCAAAAAAAGUAAAGUCAAAAAGCGAGAAACUUUUGCCAAAAAUUGAAAAUAAGACUUGUACUCCAAGUUAUUGCUAUACGCCCACACAUAACAUAUAUCUCUAGAAUAAAAUGAUGAAUGAGUAUGUAGAAGAUGAAAAAUUCAAGAACAGACCAAUAAGUCUAAAAGAAGAAAUAUUAAUUAGAUGUGAAGAUGAUCGGUAUGAACUUAACGUGUUAUUGGAUUGUUUGAAAUCUUGUAUUGUGAAGAUGGAUACAAUAUUGAAGCUAAUCAUGACAAUGAGUGAACAUGAUAAAAUAAUCAGCGUUCAAAACCAUUUGAGCAUUUUACAAUUUAAAUGCAUAGAGAAAUUGUAAGAUGGAUGGAGUGAUGAUGCCACAGAGGCAUUGAUUAAUCAAUUAAGGUUACUUGAUUUUAACCUAAAAAGACUUACUUGCCUUUUGAACUUUGUAACAGGCUAAUAUUUAUAUUUAAUUUUCUCCAUUAUUUUAGUAGUAUGUUUGUCUAUAUUGUUUAUCAUGAAUAUGGAUUUUAAAAUUUUAAGAACCUUGCUUUUAUAAUUAAAAAAAAAAGAGAAAAUAAAGAAAACAACGAACAACAGAAAUAGAUAACGAAUACAUAUUCUUUAAAAAAUUUUAAAUAAUUUAUAUCUAAAAAAAUAAUUAUGGGUAAUAUGAAAACAACGAACAACAGAAAUAGAUAACCACAUGCUUGUGUGGUAUUCACAAUACUGGCUUUUCCUUUGCCCGUGAGCAUCAGAGAUUCGAGUGAACAAGUUCACAAUUCACCUAAUUUGCCGAAUUUGAACCUGGUCAGAAUUAUGGGUAAUAUGAAAACGCUAAGAUUGUGUGCAGAAGAAUCACCGCAAAGUCUCCCUCCCUUUGUCCCCAUAUAUACCUUUCUAAGAUCUCUAUAUAACUAUACAAAUUUUGGACGUGUGGAAUUAGCAAAAGGAUCAGGUAAUAGAAGUUAUCAUGUAAAUGUAAAUAUGUGAAUGAAUUUGAGUGGUCAAUGUCGGUGUCAUAAUUCAUUAGGAAUCAACCUUUGGAGCCAACGGAGUUAUUCUCAGAUAUUUCAGUGUGGAUGGUACAAAUUGAAAUAGGUGUGGCCCAGUUAUUGAGAUUAUAGUCUGGUGCCGCUUGUGCAACAUAGUAAGAUCAUUUGGUUUUCAUCCCUGAAGAAAUUUUGGAAAUGAAAGGCUUGAUCCAUUCAAAGGUAUAAAUUAAAACUUGAAUUUGCAUAUGGCCAAUCACCUACGCGGGUACAUCAUCAUUUUCUGCUCCCCGCGCAUAUCGCCCAAAGUUGCAUCCAUUUUCACUGUGAACAGCUUUAACAAAGCAAGCAUGACACUGAACACAUGAUGCAAUUCUUAGCAUGCAAGAAGGCUGGUGGUUAUUAGAAUCAAUAAAGGUGUUUGGCAAAAGAGAAAGUGAAAGAAAACUUUAACUAAGAAAAUUCUUAUUGAUUAAAAUAUGGAAUUAUUCAUUAUGAUUGUGUUAACAACUAUUUAUAGUUACACUAAAAACUGAUUACAAAAGCAGAGCUCAAAGCUGCAACGUUAACGAACUAAUCAGCCUUCCAAUCAUAACGUGCCAGCUGGAUAAAUCGUUACAACUUAAUCAAAACCAAAUAACCACCCAAUCCAGCUCAGCAGCUCAGCACGUCAUCAGCCAGCUCAGCAGCUUUAGCUUAUACACUUAACAUCCCCCCUCAAGCUCAACCUGGUGUAGUCAGGGUGAGCUUGUCUUUCAGAUAAUGAAAAGGGUGAUAAGCUAAAGCUUUUGUAAGGAUAUCAGCUGAGUUAUGGGAACUGGGAACAUAACUAACUUGGAAGCUCUUAUUAGCAAUCUUUUCUAGCAAGAAAUGAACAUCAAGUUCUAUGUGUUUAGUUCGGGAGUGGAAUUUGGGAUUGCUUGCUAAGGCAGCAGCACUUUGGUUAUCACACCAAAUGACAAGAGUAGAGACAAGAGAAAUACCAAUUUCAGUCAGCAAGGACUUAAGCCACAAAACUUCAGAUGUAGCAAUUGCUAGAGCUCGAUACUCUGACUUAGUGCUAGACCUGGACACUACUCCUUGUUUCUUUGAACACCAAGAAAUCAUAUUAGGACCAAAGUAAACAUAAUAUUCAACAAUUGAUUUUCGAUCAUCUCUAUCAGCUGCCCAGUCUGCAUCACUGAAACAAUCUAUGUGUAAGGGACCUUGAUUAGAAUACUUUAAUACCAUAUGCAAUGUACCCUUUAGAUAUCUAAGAAUCCUUUUGCAUGCUUGCUAGUGAUUAUUUGUUGGUGCAGCUAGAAAUUGGCUGAGUUUGUUGAUUGGAAAUGCUAUCUCAGGUCUGGUCAAGGUAGCAUACUGAAGAUCUCCAAUUGUGCUUCUAUACAAAGUUGCAUCAACAAAGAAUUCAUUGUCAGUUUUGGUAAGUGGAACAUUGGCAGCCAUUGGACCUGUGUUUACACUUAUAAGUUACAUGGCCUGAAAUGAAAUAGAUUUGACACACAUCUUUUCCAGGACCAGUACUACUGUUCUGACUGUUAUCAUAAGCACUAAAAGUACCAGCACCUACAUUUUUUUGAUUAUAUCCAGAUCUAUUAUAACCUUGGCCAUUCUGAGCAAAAUUUGUUGUCAUAUCAUGCAGAGAUUCAUUAUGAGAUUUUCCUUUGCUCAUUUCCAACCUAGUUUCAUGACUAAGCAUCAUAGAAUACACCUCUUCAACAAUGAGUUUCUCUUUUUCCAGUCUAGUAAGUAUAUUUGUAACUAAAGACUCAUAGUUAUCAUCUAAUCCAGUAAGCAAGUGCAUAAUCAAUUCAUUUAAAGUAACUGAAUUACCUCUAAUGGCCAAACUAUCAGUAAUUUUCUUCAUCUUAUUAAAAUAAUCACUUACUGAGAGUGAUAUUUUCUUUGUUGAUUGAAGUUGCAUCUUCAAAGGCAGAUACCUCGCUUUAGAUUGUGACAUGAAGAUUUCGGCAAGUAUCUCCCAAAGCUCAAGUGAUGUUUCACAGUUGAUCACCAUGAUUAACACGUUAUCCACCAUUGACGAUAGCAUCCAGCUCUGCAGAAGCUUAUUGGUUUUCAUCCAUAAAGCAUAAUCUGGAUUUUUUUGUUUCUGUGAAGCUUCAGCUCUAGAUCUUCCAAGUUCUUGAGUUGAUUCAGUGAGAUAACGUUCUGGACACACAUUCUCACCAUUGAUAAAGCUUUCAAGUCCAUUAGCAAUGAUUGAUGUUCUAACUUGAGCCUUCCACACUAGAUAGUUUGAUAUGUCGAGCUUUACAGGUUGAACAAAGUGAAAUAAGAGUGAGGAGGAAGCUAUAUGAUUGGAUCCAGACAUAAGUGUUUGCUCUGAUACCAUAUUAGAAUCAAUAAAGGUGUUUGGCAAAAGAGAAAGUGAAAGAAAACUUUAACUGAGAAAACUCUUAUUGAUUAAAAUCUGGAAUUAUUCAUUAUGAUUGUGUUAACCACUAUUUAUAGUUACAUUGAAAACUGAUUACAAAAGCAAAGCUCAAAGCUGCAACGUUAACGAACUAAUCAGCCUUCCAAUCAUAACGUGCCAGCUGGAUAAAUCGUUACAACUUAAUCAAAACCAAAAAACCACCCAAGCCAGCUCAGCAGCUCAGCACGUCAUCAGCCAGCUCAGCAGCUUCAGCUUAUACACUUAACAGUGGUGCUGUUAACAUACAAGAGUUCCUUUAAACACUUCACUAGCUAAACCCCACCCCCCCCCCCCCCCUCCUGCCCCCGCGCCCGGGGGAGCCCAAAAAUGCUUGAGGGAAAUCCUACCAGGCCUUAACAUGGUUUCACCACUGUCAAAACCUGAAAUUUUGCAUAUGAUUGGAGUUUUUUUUUUUUUUCCUUUUUCAUAGAUAAUUUUUUUGAAUUCUUUGCUGCAUAAAUCCAAUUCAGUUUCUUUUAUUUCACCGGUGAAAUAUAAUAAAACAUAAGGCAAAAUAAAAUGUGUAUUCAGACUAGUUAACCAUGUACAAUCUUUCAAUAACCAAUAGUUCAUGCAGUGUAGAAGGAGAACAAAUGUUUGUAUUGGAUAAUCAAGAGCUGCUGCUGGACCUACCGUAAGUAAUAAUUUCUUGUAGUUUUAUCAUUGCCAGGACUUCAAAAUCUAAACUUCAAAACCUUAAACACGCUUUGCUUUUAUCUUCAACGGAGUGAAUGAACUGGAAUUGAUGGUCAAGUCAACGAGGUGUCACAUUUGAAAGAGUAACCUCAUUAACAGAGCAAACUUCGGCACCCGAUGAGAAUUGACCUGGCCUUGCAACAUUUCGGCCUACAGAAAAUGCAGGUUCGGUUGGUUGAGGAAGUGUUACAGUAUCGCUUGCUAACAUAACAACCACAGAAGACAUGGUAGGUCUGUCUGCUGAGUCUGCUUGAACACAUAAUAAUCCAAUAUGGAUAAAUUUCAAAAGUUCAGCAGCAACGCAUGACUGCUUGAGUACUGGGUCCAUCAGCUCCAAUGCUUCUCCUUCACACCAUAGCUUCCAUGUCUAUAAUAUUGUUAUACAGGUCAUAAACAAAGGUGAGACUCAAAAUCAUUGGAUAUUAUUCUUCAGAAAGAAAGAUAGAAAGUCACUUACAUAAGAAAGGAGGCUUUGACCAAGUUCAGAUAGAUAAAACCCAGUGUUCUUUUUCCCACUGAUGAUUUCUAGCAGUAGAACGCCAAAACUGAAAACAUCUGAUUUUACGGAAAAUAAUCCUUCCAUAGCAUACUCUGGGGCCAUGUAUCCACUGUUUGAAAACAGAACAACAUAAGAUCAAAUGCCAUAGAAAAGCUAAUGACCUAUGUGACCUCCGUAUUUUGAAUCUGGUGACAUGAUCAUGAGGUCACAUAUUCAAACCAAAUGCAAUAGAAUACUGUUAGCAAAUUAAUUAUUGGAAACAGAGAAAACAGAGAGAGAUGGGAAUGGAAUGCACUUACUAUGUUCCAACAAUUCUAUUGGUAUUAGCUUCACUUUGGUUUCCACCAAAUAUCCUAGCCAUCCCAAAGUCUGAUAUCUUCGGGUUCAUCUCAUGAUUGAGUAAAACAUUACUAGCUUUGAGAUCACGAUGAAUAAUUUUGAGUCGAGAGUCCUCAUGUAAAUACAAAAGACCCCGAGCAAUUCCAUUAAUGAUGCUUAUGCGUCGUUUCCAGUCCAGUUGUACACUCCUCGUUGAAUCUGAUAAUGAAUUAGACAGCAUUUAACCUGAUUAGCUACUUUGUCAUCUACUCUUCUAUGGAAAGGAAGCGGGGAAAAUAAUAGGAAAUGGAAAGACUUGGCUACAAUUGCCAUAGUGCCUAGUAGGGGGCAUAUAAUGUGCAAACCAUAUAACAGGGCCACUUCAAUUAUACAAGCUGGAAUUAAACAAAACAACCACAGGUUCUAUUUGCACAACUUAACAACUAGCAAUUAAGGAAAUAGAAAGUCUGAGAAACAAACCAAAGAGGAAGACAUCAAGGCUUUUAUUGGGCAUGUACUCAUAUAUAAGCAGUGAUUCAUUUUCCUCUAAGCAGCAGCCGAACAGCCUCACAAGAUUUUUAUGUUGCAAUUUGGCGAUUAGAGUAACUUCAUUCUUGAACUCUUGUAGGCCUUGCCCAGAUGUUCUUGAGAGCCUCUUCACUGCUAUUUCCUUGCCAUCUGCUAAUUUACCCUGCAAGCAACUUUCCAUUUAUUGUUACCGUGAAAGUUUUGUAUGCGUACGGAAAACGCAAGUUUCCGCUGACAUGAACUCAUUUCCAAAUACUGCAUUCGGUGAAUACUUAUGUAUAUUUAAACAAGCGUACAGUAAAAGUGGAUUGGUAUGAUUAAUAGUUGUUUUUUUAGGCAACUGUACUAAAGUGUUUAGUAAAUUAUUACUUGGAAACUAAGUUAAUUUAUACUAAAGUGUUUAGUAAAUUAUUACUUGGAAACUAAGUUAAUUUAUACUAAAGUGUUUAGUAAAUUAUUGCUUAGAAACUAAGUUAAUUUAAUCUCACAUUUGUAUGAUGAAAAAAUUAUAAUUUUUUUUUAUAAUUUUUGUCAAAAUUAUCAUUUAAAAAUCAUAUGUACUUUUCAAAAAUUUUAUUUUAUAAUUAUAAUUUUUUUUCUUUUUACAGUAAUUAUAACUUAAAUAAUAUAAUACCUUGAUAUGAAAUACGACCUUAAGCAUCCCUUUAUAAUUACCUUGUAAACAGCCCCAAAUCCGCCUUCUCCAAGCUUAUUUUCAUCAGAGAAAUGCUGCGUAGCUUCAACUGCGAGAUGUAACGGAAACAAAGGGAACUCUUGAGAUUCUUCCUGCUUCUGUCCUCGUAAAGCAUCAUACGUAUAGUCGUUGCCAAGUCUACCGUCUGCUAGAUGAAGCAGCCCUGUCUCUUGACUAUUUGCUUUCUCCUCUGCAAAACAACGGAUUAAUUAACUUCGUAAACUAUGAAUUAGAACAAGGGAGUGGUCGAGUUACCUUUGACCCUUUCCUUUCUUCUCUUUAUACACCGAAGUAAAAAACUAAAUAGCACAAGUACUAUAAUUGAUGAUACAGUGGCGCCGAUUGCAAUCCGUGUUCUGCUUUCCCUCGUUUUCUUCUUUCCCGAAUCUAACAUAUAGCCAAGUUAAAGAAUCUCUGAGGAAAACUCUUUCUACAUCUUAUGUUAUGUUUAAUUUAUAUAGAAUUAAGGAACCUGAGAUUUACGAACUCACCGUCGGAGCUACCAUUCUUCUUAUUAGGUGGAUAGAUGGGAGCCGUAGGGUCCUCAAAGAAAGGGUACAUCUCGUAUCUUAUGACACAACUUAGCGAAAGGGCUCUAACACCUUGCCUUCCGUAGCAGCAGGAUGAAAGUCGAGAAACAGUAGCGCGCAGGCAAAUAUUGCAGUCUGAUUUAGACAGAUAUGGUAUGCACUGCACUAGAGUCCAAAUUCUGUCAAUGCUAGAGACGUUAACUAUUUGGGCUGCAGCUGCAUAUUUUGAGUUAGAAUCCCUUGAGGUUACAUUUUGAAUUAGAUCACUGAAGGACUGAGCCAAAAUAUUAGAGAACUUAUAAGGGUCAGUAACGUUCAUUAUAUUCCGUAGGUAUACAGUUUCCGAUGUAUUUAGCGAAAAGGGAAAAGAAUUGUUAGAGAAGCGCACCAUACACUGAUCAUACCAUACAAUAGCCACCUUGGCGCCAGUACAAUUUUUCGCAAUGGUAUCGAAUGCAACUUGUAUGCAGUCUUGGCAUGCCUCAUAAGAAACGUCGAAUUUACAAUUGUAAAUACCAUAAACUUUGUCUGGGUAAUCCCCUUCAGUUGUCUCGUUGUAGAGAGAACGGCCACCUUCAUUGUAGAGCUUUUCCUUGAGUGUCGCAAGGUUAUACAUGAAUAUGUCGCCCGAAGCAGUAUUGUUUUCUCGUGGGCAGGCAUGGUAGAGAUAAUUAUUGGAGUCAAGUUUAGCCGCCUCUGACGAACUUUGUAACAGAACUAAAGAUAGAAAUGAAAAAAGGUGAAGCAGGUUAACUGUGCUUCUAGUUCUCGGGCCAAAUAAUACGAGCAGAAUCGGCAUCUUCCCCUUGCUCUUCAAUUCUGAAAAUUUUGAGUUCCAAUGUCAAGAGGCUGAAUUAAGGCACAAGCAUCCAACUAGAAGUAAACAGGAUUAAUGAUGAAUACAAGACGAGUUAACAUAUUAGAAAAGUCGUGGGUCACAUUUGAUGGUAAAAUUUCUUAUGUUGAAAAAUAAGAGAUUUUAGGUUCGAAUCCCAUUCACAUAACUUGUAUUGGGAUUGGAUUUUCAUUAAGCUAAAUAACCAAAGACCAAUGAAAUUGAAAAGUCAAACAAAAGACCAUUGGUGAAGUCUAAGAAACCAAGGAAGUCUGUACAACACGGAUCAUUGAUAGUUUCCUGGCAUCCUCGUAUUGGAGAUUAAGAACAGGAGGUGUUUUUUUUAAAAAAAAAAAACUUAAAUAGACCUAAUUAAUAAAGUUAAAUGUCUGAAUUUGAAUGAUAUAUUUAUCUUUUUUGUGUCUAAAUUCAUAUAAAUAAAUAUUAUUAUUUUUUAACUUAAAAAAUCUGAAAACUAAUAUUUUAAUAUUUGUACCUUUACAAAUUAUAAAUGUUAAACAAAUAAUAAAUGUCUCAAAGAAUAUAAAUAAGAUAAUAUAAUAUCAUAAUUUAAAUAAUUUUUAAUUAAAUACAAUCUUUUUAUAUUCUGAAUUCGUAUAUAUUAAUUAAUAUUAUUACAAUUAUGAUGUUUUUAUAUAAAAAAUAUUCAUAAAAAAUUAUAAAAUUAAAUAAUGAAACGACCAUAAAAAAGUCGUGCAUGUCUGUGGAGGCCCUACUUAAUUAAUUUUCAAAGACGCGGCCAGCCCAAACAGCACGGAAUUAGACUUAAGAAAGUCAUCUCUUUAGCAGGAAUUAUUAUUCGCCGGCGAACUUUAAUCAAAUGACCAGAUUCAAAACAAGAAAAAGAAACUCAAUCAAAUGAAAUUCUUAAAGUAAUAAUUAUACAACACAUUUUUCAGUGUUAAAAAUAAUUAUUAAUUAUCAAAUUACCAAAGCCUAUUACUUAUCCACGGAUUAAGAUGAUUACUUUGAAAAGUUUUGUUAUAUAUAUUUCACUGAUGAAUCUGACGGUGGAUGACAGUUUGAUUGGUACUUUCCUUUAGAGGGAGUGAGUUAGGAUGCACUUUUGCUUAGGACAAGUUGAAAGAAUCAUACAUAAACUUUGAAGCAUAAAUUAAACUAACUCCUGCUUAGGAGAAGUUAAGAUCGUGAAAGAAUUAUAUUAAGCUUUUAGACAUUAAUUAAACUAACUAUGAUCGAAUUCACCACAAAUGUAUAACAUAAUUUGUUGUGUAUAUAACUGUAUAACAUAGAUUAAAAAAAUUAACUUUUUUGUGUCUUUAGAACUAAUAGGUAUAUACCAUAAGAUAUUUCUUGAUAUCUCACACUAAGUAUUAUGAACUCAUAGUAGCUAAAGGUCGACAAUAAUAGAAGUCAAGGUCGACAAUAAUACAAGUCAAGUUUUCAUCUUAAUUUUUAAAAGAUUAAUAAAAUUUUACAUUACAGAAAACAAAUUGUUAUACUUUAUGUUAAUAUCAAUAAUUUACCUAUUGCAUAAAGUAUGAUAAUUUGAUAUUGCAUAAAUCUGUAAAGUAUAAUAAUUCACACAGGCAGUCACAUAUGUAACCCAUAUAUCAACAUUUUUCAAAAAAAUAAAAAAUAAAAAUCUAUAGAUCACCAUUCAAAAAAUAAAGAAGGAAAAAAUGAAUUUAAGAAAAUGAUUACGGUUUAAGUAAGUUAGGAGAGAAAAAUGGGAUUAAAAGAUAAAAAAUUAAAUGAGAUCUGUAUGACCCAAAGAUGUAAAGUUAUUUUUAUUUUAAAGGAGUAUUAAAGAAAAUGUUUUUUUUAGAAGGUUUAAAAGAAGGAAAGAGUUUAUAACAAUAGUUUAUUGAAAAAAUUAUAUGAUAAUAAUUUUACCAAUUAUAAAAUUUAUCUCCAAUAAAUAAGUGUUGAUGCCGAAGAACGAUCUCAACAACUGAAUUUGUUUCUUUUGGGGAAUUACAGCACGAAUCCAAGCUCAAACGCAAGUCUGAUCGUAACUUUCUAUACCUGCUAACCAGAAAACACGGUUAGGAUACGCCGGUGGGGUUCCGGCGUAGACCCUCCAAUGCUUAAGUCAGAAAUUAUGUAUAAAAAGAGAAAAAUGAGAAUGACGAAUAAUGAAUGAGUUAAAGUCGAGUAAUUUUCCGGUAGAGUGGCUGAAAAUCUUGUAUAAGCUUUGGUUCAUUUUGUUAACCCCUUCACCUGAUGCGCUCUUCAGUUUAAAUAGGCUCUUGGUUGUGCGCGGUUACCUCUUUAACUUUAACUAGAUGAAACAAUCGUGUCUCUUGACUAUUUGCUUUCUGCUCUGCAUAACAACGAAUUAAUUAACUUCGUAAACUAUGAAUAAGAACAAGGGAGUUGUUAAGUGAAUAAAAACACCAGCUCGGCCAUGUCAUCAACCCCACGCCGAAGUAGUCGAGUGGUACGAGCAGAACACUGGUAAUAAGCCUUCUACAAACAUGGGACGACCAGAAACAAGUACCAACCAUAAAAGUAUACCGACCAGAGACAUAUACCGAGCCGAUACCCAUCCCCCAGAGAGUGGGCACACGAUCCAGAACUAUUGAGGGGGAGGCGAGAUCCCACGUUUGCCCAAAGUAAAACAGUUAGAGUCCCACUAGGGGCUGCCGCUACCCGAAAAACAAGGGGAAGAAAGCAGUUAGAGUCACACUAGGGGUUGCCACUACCCGAGAAAAGGGGAAGGAAGGGAGAAGGAAAACGGGGGGAGAGCGGCUAUAAAAGGGGAAGAAGUCGAUGAAGGAGGGGACAGAAAAACCAAAGAGAGGGAGAAUACUGCCAAAUCGCAACCAAGGCCAUUUUCUUACAAACUCCGAAUAGAUUAAAAGUCGUUCUUGAAUCCAAAUUGACCCGUUUUCCCGUGAAACAUCUUGUGCUAACUUAGGCAUCGGAGGGUUUACGCCGGCAAAACUACCGGCGUCUCUUAUUCAUUUUUGGUGAAUGCAGGUCUAAUAAGAGAAAGGAGGGCGAUUCCAACCCCAGUGGUUCAAGCAGCAGCUGAUAACAUAAACGUUGGUGAAAGAAUCUGGUCGGUCCAAGAGCGAGCAGAUUUUAGCAUCAACAUUUUGGCGCCGUCUGUGGGGAGCUGAAUAAAAAGCUACCACCAAAUUAGUAGUUACCAGAGAAGCAUCGAACGGUUAGAUAUGGAUGUAUCAAAAAAGAAUGUUUUGAGGAAGGACAAUGAAACGGUGGAGACAAUCACUCUCCGGGAAAUUGCAAACGAAGCCCGAGAGAGGGUGAUGCAAGAUCGGCUGGAGCGAAUGGAGAAACAAAUGGAGACUCUCGCGGCCCUACUGGGAGAGCUGAGGGAUGAACGUAGAAGGGAUUGUGAAACCCCCGUGGGAAGAGAUGAAGUUGGAGUAGGACCCAGCCUCCGGAGGCAUAGGGUCGAGGAAAUCCCUCCGCCAGCAGACCAACCUAAUGGGGUUCAUCCCCACAAAAGUACAGGUCCGGUUCCAGCAGAACAGAUGGAUGAAGGGAGGGACCAACCUCACCCCGGACGGGUAUUUGAAAUUGAUGGCCGAGCAGCCAAUGCUGAUGAAGGAGAAUUAAGACAGCGGUUGCAUAACGCCAAGCAGGAACGAGAUCAGAUUGCUGCGCGUGAUCCUGAUCGAGCUGUAGAAUUGGAGGGAGAGGUGCGCAGAUUGGCACAGAUGAUGGAGGAGAUGCAGGGCAAGAGAAAGCCCCUGAGCUGGAGAAUAAUGUUAGAUGAAGAGUCUCUGUUAUCAAUCGAGAUCAUGGGUACCGUAAUCCCAAAAGACUUCCGCUUCUCCGACCUCAAAUACUCUGGGCGAAGUGACCCGCUAGUGCACAUCGAGCGUUUCAACGACAUGACGGGUGUGCAGGGGCUAACACCAGCUCAAAGGUGCAGGGUGUUCCCAUUGACCCUAGAAGGACGAGCCCGAGAGUGGAACUGAUGGGGAUGAAACAAGAGGAACAUGAAUCCCUUCGAGAUUUUGUAAAACGAUAUCACCGAGCCGUGUUGGAUCUGGGAGCUCUUAAUCACCCGCAGGCGUUGAGGGGAUUAAAAGAAGGUGUAAGAAUCGGCCGAUUGUGGUAUAACUUAAGAAGCCCCCUAGUACAGAAUUACUCAGCGGGGUAUGAGCAGGCGAGGCGAGAUAUAGAAAUCGAAGAGGAGAAAGCGGCAAGAAUAAAAAGUGAACAGCUGGAAGAGCUGAGGCGAAAGGAACGAAGAGCCCCGAACGGGAGCGGGUCGGGAAAGCGAGCUGGGGAAUCUUCAGUAAUGGGCGGAGUAUCAGCUCGGUCCCGCACUUACCCCAUAACUCCGAGAUCACAACAGCUCCAACACAGCCGGGCUCAACCUCCGCGCCCCCCGUUCCCAGAGCGACAGCGAGAAUUCAGGCAGAUGGCUGCCCACCAUUAUCAAAACACUCCCAGAGCGUUAAAUGCAACUAAUUCCAGGUCGGGACAACCAGAGCAGCUACCGGCUAUACCAGCCCGAGGUGACAUUCAUGAUAGCCGAGCAGUCCAAUUGGUUGACCAGAGUAUGACAUAUAGACAGUACACUCCAUUAAAAAUCUCCAUGGAAGAACUGUAUGAAAGGAUCGAGGGACGAGGCCUGCUGUACCCUUCAGCCCCUAUAAUAAAACCUGCUCACCGACGGGAUAAGAACAGAUUCUGCAAAUUCCACGACACUCACGGUCACACUAUCAGCCAAUGUCGUGACCUAAAGAUUCAGGUGGAGGAUUUAGUGAGGAACCGGUACUUGGAUAAGUAUGUAGAUGGAAUGUCCCCCGUCAUGGAAUCGCAAUACGCACAGGAUGAAGGAGUUGAGAGAGGUCUGGAACGAGAACAGCCGACCAUCCAUGUGAUUGCAGGAGGGCCAACGUUGGCCGAGGAUUUAAAUAGAGCACGAAAGAACUAUGGAAGAUACGCCAUGACUAGCAAAGAGGUGCUCCUCAAUUUGCCAGCAGCCAAGAGGGCAAAAGUACGGCAAGUUCCCAUUAUGUGGACAGAGGACGACGAAGAGGGCAUUUCAUAUCCUCAUGAGGAUGCACUGGUGAUUAGGGCAUUGGUGGCUAGCACAGAAUUGCGACGAAUACUGGUGGACACGGGCAGCUCAGUAGACAUUCUGUUUAAAUCGGCCCUAGAUAAUAUUGGGAUUUCAGACUUGAAGCUGGAGCGGACGAAUACAUCCUUGAAGGGAUUUGGAGGAGGACGGUUAACUCCCAUGGGAAUCAUCGAACUCCCGAUUACUGUGGGGUCAAAACCGUUUGAAAGAACGAUGAUGCUGGAUUUUGUCGUGGUAGAAGAAAGAAGUCCUUACCAAAUGAUACUGGGGAGACCCUUCAUGAGGAUAAGCCAAUGUGUAAUGUCCACGCACUAUCUGGCAUUGAAGUACAAAAUAAAUGGAGUUAUUGGCGUAGUAAAAGGAGACCAGAGAAUGGCAAAGAGCUGCUAUCCUACAGCAGCCAAGGAAACACUGCAGGUUACCUCUCUAGAUAACCGAGGGGAUUCAAAAAAUGGUCGCCAAGAACCUGUUGAGAAGCUGGAGGGAGUUAUUGUAAGCAGGAAUGACCCAAGUAGAGCGGUUAAAAUCGGGUCAGAAUUGGGCGAAGCAAUAAAGGGCGAGCUGGUGAAGUGCCUACAAUCCCAUGCAGACAUAUUUGCCUGGUCUCAUGAGGAUAUGUCAGGAAUCGAUAAAAGGGUAGCCUGCCACAAGUUGGCAAUCAAGAGAGGAGCAAGACCGGUGAGGCAGAAAAUGAGGUGCUUCAACCAGGAAAGAUACGAGGCCAUAAAUGUCGAGGUGGAAAAGCUGCUGAAAGAAGGAUUUAUAAGGGAAGCCAAGUACCCGGAGUGGAUUUCCAAUGUAGUACUGGUAAAAAAGGCCAACGGGAAGUGGAGAAUGUGUGUAGACUUCACAGACCUCAAUAAGGCAUGCCCGAAGGACAGCUUUCCUCUACCAAAAAUAGAUCAGUUGGUGGAUUCAACCGCGGGUCAUAGUCUGCUCAGUUUCAUGGAUGCUUUUUCGGGAUACAACCAGAUACCCAUGGACGAGCAGGAUGAGGAAAGCACCACCUUUAUAACUAACAUGGGUUUGUUUUGUUACAGGGUGAUACCUUUUGGCCUGAAAAAUGCAGGAGCUACCUAUCAAAGGCUAGUGAACAAGUUCUUCAAACCAUUGAUCGGUCACACUAUGGAAGUAUAUGUGGAUGAUAUGAUCACAAAGUCAAGGGAACCGAGAGAUCAUGUGAAGCACUUGGAAUAGACCUUCGAAUUACUGAGGAGGUAUGAAAUGAAGCUGAACCCGGAGAAAUGUGCAUUUGGGGUCAGCUCGGGCAAAUUUUUGAGAUACCUGGUGAGUCACCGAGGAAUUGAGGCCAACCCGGAAAAUAUUCGGGCGGUGAUAGAAAUGAAGUCCCCACGAACAGUUAAGGAGGUGCAGAGCCUUACGGGGAAACUGGCGGCAUUGAACCGAUUCAUUUCACGGGCCACUGAUAAAUGCCACCCUUUCUUCCAAAUCAUAAAGAAAGGGAGGAAGAUGGAAUGGACAUCAGAAUGCGAGGAGGCAUUUGGACAGCUGAAGGAAUACCUAGCCUGCGCCCCGCUACUAUCAACUCCGAGAGAGGGUGACCAACUACUUUUGUACUUGGCAAUCUCUAAGUGGGCUACCAGCUUGGUCUUAGUCAGGGAAGAAGAAGGGAAGCAACACCCGGUAUACUACACAAGCAAGGCCCUGGUAGACGCAUAAACCAGAUAUCCGCUAAUGGAGAAGUGGGCACUAGCUCUAAUAACAGCAGCACGCAAACUCCGACCAUAUUUUCAAGCCCACCAGAUCGUUGUGAUGACUGACCAGCCCCUUCGGUAAGUGCUUCAGAAACCAGAUGCAUCUGGUCGAUUAGUAAAAUGGUCUGUGGAACUGAGCGAAUUUGACCUGUCCUAUAGGCCCCGAGGAGCAAUCAAAGCCCAAGCCCUGGCUGAUUUUAUGGUUGAUCGUGUUAUACCAGGGGAAGAAAUUCCGGAGGCACAACCAUUAGAGCAGGAGAAACCAGAGGGGGUGUGGCUGGUGAUGGUUGAUGGGUCACGUAGUGAACAGGGAUCCGGAGCAGGAGUUGUAAUACGGAGCCCAGAAGGGGUCGAGGUAUCCUAUGCAAUAAAAUUCGAGUUCUAGCUUACAAAUAACCAAGCUGAAUACGAGGCCUUCAUUACUGGGCUCGGGCUUGCACACGCACUACGAGCUGAAAGGGUAGAAAUCCGAGCAGAUUCUCAGCUAGUCUGCAAUCAGCUUUGCGACCAAUUCCAAGUAAGGGAAGAAACGUUGGGGCUUUAUCUGAAAAAGGCGAAGCAAAUGGUCGAACUCUUCAAAGAGGUAGAGGUAAAGCAGAUAUCUCAGAAUGAAAAUUACCGAGCAGAUAUGUUGGCAAGAAUGGCUGCAAAUGUAGACCCAAAGUUACCUAAGUCAGUUCCAUUGGAGAUAAGGACCUCGCCGAGUAUAGGGGAGGAAGUUGAGGUAAUGAGAGUAAGCACUGAAGAAUCAUGGAUGGACCCGAUUCUCGCAUACAUCCGCGAUAGCACUCUACCGGAGGAUAAAAGGCAAGCAAAAAAAUUAAAAUGCCGAGCAGCAAGGUACACGCUACUUGAUGAGGUGCUCUACCACCGAGGAUUCACCUUACCACUUUUGAGAUGUCUGGAUAAGGAGGAGGCUGAUUAUGUACUAAGGGAGAUUCAUGAAGGAAUAUGUGGAAAUCAUUCGGGAGCAAGAACUUUAGCCUUCAAGGCACUCCGGCAAGGAUACUUUUGGCCAACCAUGCACCAGGAUGCGAAAAGGAUGGCAAGGAAUUGUAAAAUCUGCCAAAGCUUCUCAGAGGUUCCUGCACAACCUCCAGAAAAGCUGACCACUAUGACAUCCCCAUGGCCUUUUGCUCAAUGGGGAAUCGACCUGAUUGGUCCGUUACCAAAAGGCCGAGCAGCGGCAACACAUGCAAUUGUAGCAAUAGACUACUUCACCAAGUGAGUAGAAGUGGGAACCCUCAGCCAAAUCACGGAAAGGAAGACGACGGAUUUUAUUUGAAAAAAUAUCAUCUGCAGAUACGGAAUCCCCUAUACCAUCAUCACAGACAAUGGAAGGCAAUUCGACAACAAUAACUUCAGAGAAUUUUGCCGAAACCUGGGGGUAGAUAUGAAGUUCUGCACCCCUGCGCACCCCCAGGCAAAUGGACAAGUGGAAGCAGCCAACAAAGUAAUAAAGAAACUCUUGAAAACAAGAUUGGGAGAGAAGAAGGGAGCUUGGGUCGACGAGCUACCAGGAGUACUGUGGGCUUACCGGACAACUCACAAAACCGCCACAGGGAAAACCCCGUUUGCUUUAGCUUUUGGCCAUGAAGCGAUAGUCCCAGCAGAAAUUGGAGUAGGAACGCAUCGAACAGAACAUUUUAAUGAGGAGUAAAAUGAUGAGCAGAUUUACUUGAACCUGGACCUGUUGGAGGAGAAAAGGGAAGGGGCCUCACAGAAAGUGGCCCAAUGUCAGCAGAGGGUCGCGCGUUAUUACAACAAGAAAGUACGCAUGAGGCAGUUCAGAGCAAGGGAUUGGGUGCUUAGGAAGGUGAAUCAAAACACUAGGGAUCCCUCCCAUGGCGUGUUCGGUCCAAAAUGGGAAGGCCUGUACAUGGUGAUACGAGCGACUGGACCAGGAGCUUACAAACUAGCAUACCCAGACGGACGAGAUGUGAAGAGGUCGUGGAACACCGGGUACUUGAAGAAAUAUUUCCAGUAAGCAAAAUGCUUUACCAAGUCUUCAUUUGAUAAGAUUUCCAUUAGGGGUGGGCAAAAUCGGGUUCGGGUCGGGUUCGGGUCAAUCCGAUCGGGUUUCGGGUUGUUCGGGUUAGACAAGGAACAAUCCGAACAUAACCUGAAUUAAUGAUCCGACCCGAACAGAUCCGAACCGACCCGAACUAUCUUAGGGUCGGUUCGGAUCGGGUCAUUAAUUCGGGUUAUGUUCGGGUUGGAUUUAAAAUGGGUAGGAUUGAGUUCGGGUCAAUUUGGGUUAGUUCAGGUCAAUUCGGGUCAAUUCGGGUCAGUUCGGGUCAAUUCGGGUCGGUUAAAAUCGGGUCAGUUCGGGUCAAUUCGGGUCAGUUCGGAUCGGUUGAAAUCAGGUCAAUUCGGGUCAGUAUAUAUAUAUAUUUUUUAGAACUCGAUCGGGUAUUCGGAUCGGGUCGGGUUUGACCCGAACCGAUCACAACCCGAUCGGGUUUGUAAAUUUCAAACCGAUCGAGUUUCGAUCCCGACUCGAACCCGAAAUUUAUCGGGUCGGGUCGGGUCGGAUCGGGUAAAAUGCCCACCCCUAGUUUCCAGGCAUCUUCACAUUGGAGACUAAUAACAGGUGAUGUUUAUUUUUUUUCUUUUUUUUUAAAUCCUUAAAAAUAAAUAUUAAGUUGUUUGUUUUCUAACUUAGAAAUUUUAAAAACUAAUAUUUUAUAUUUGUGUCCUUAUAAAUUAUAAAUGUUAAACAAAUAAUGAAUAUAUCAAAUAAUAUAUAUAAGAUAACAUAUUAUAAUAAUUUAAAUCAUAUUCAAUUAAUAUAAUUUUUUAAUAUUUUAGAUUAACAUAUGUUAAUCAAUUUUAUAGUAGUUUAUAAUAUUUUUAUAUGAAAAAUAUUUAUAAAAAAUUAUGCAGAUAAAUAAUGAAACGACCAUAAUAGAGUCUUGCGCUGCAUGCAUGUCUGUGGAGGCCCUACUUAACUAUUUGAUGAGAAAUUUCAAUGAAAAUGAAAGGAGUACCAUAUCAAGGCUAUUCAACGCGGACCAAUCAGGCUUUUCGAAGACGCGAACCAGCCCCAACAGCCCGGAACUAGACUAAGGAAGUCGUCUGCAGUGGUCCUUUCGCUUUCUAAUGGGACCUUCCCUGAUUAAUUAUUCAUAAUUGGCAGUGUCUAAGAUUAUCCCUUCAGUCAUAACUGGCUGCUUCUAGGCAUCUUCAUUCUUCAGAUCGAAGGUUAGUCAUCGUUAUGAAAUACCAUGCAACUUUAACAUACGUUAGAUUAAUUAAACACGAAUUUCUGGAACAAGAAAAAAAAUUCGAAUAUAGCAUUCUAUUAUAAAUAAAUAAUUUCAUCAAAAUGGUGAGUUAUAGUCAUGGGUGACUGCCAUCUAGUUAAGAUUGUAAAAUUCUUUUGUGUUCGUAAAAAAAAAAAAAAAUUUGAGUUCAAAUCCUGUCAGUCUGUCACAUAGGUGGGGAGUGUAUUAAAUACUUGCAGUGCUAAAUAAUAACAUUGAUGUCACAUCUGUGGAACUGCAUGUCUGUGGAGUCCCUACUUUUUUUUUUUUUAAUAUUGAUUACGCACUAGAUUACUGCAUUGCACAUAUAUUUACAACUAUUAUUAUAGCAGACAUUACACUGAUAUUUACAAUCAGAUAUACAUAAGUACCAGAUUACUGCAUUGCACAUAUAUUUACAACUAUUGUUAUAGUAAACAUUACACUGAUAUUUAUAAUCAGAUAUACAUAACUGAGACUUAUAUAUGAUUACAUUAAAUUCUAUGAAAUACAUGCCUAGAUAAAUUACCUUCACAGACGAGGGAUGCCCCUACUUCACUUGCAUUUCGCAAGAAAGAAGAAGUUAUAAAUGUUUAGCCCCCACUUGAUUAAAUAGUUAUGUGACAGAACAAAACCAUUCAGCAAUCUAGUGCUCAAGAUUUUUAAAUUAUUCACCGGCGAAACUUAAUCAAAUGAACAGAUUCAAAACAAGACAAAGAAACCCAAUCAAAUGAAAUUCCCUUUAGCAAUGAUUAUACAAUACAUUUUUCAGUAUUAAAAUUAAUUAUUAAUUAUCAAAUUAUCAAAGCCUACUACGUAGUACGUACUUAUCCACGGAUUAAGAUGACUACUUUGAAAAGUUUCGUUAUAUGUAUUUCACUGAAGAAUCUAACGGUGGAUGACAGUUUGAUUGUUUAGAGGGAGUGGGUUAGGAGGAUGUACUCCUGCUCAGGACAAGUUCAGAUCAUGAAAGAAUCAUAUAUAAGUUUUUGGACAUAGAUUAAAUCAACUACAAUCGAAUUCAUCACAACUAAUAAUAUAAUUUGUUGUGUGUAUAGGUAUAUUCUACUAUUUUAGGCAAAUUAUUGUAUAACAUAUAUUAUUUUUAUUAUUAUUAUUAUUAUUAUUAUUAUUAUUAUUAUUAUUAUUAUUAUUAUUAUUAUUUGUGUCUUUAGAACUAAUAGGCACAUACUAUAAGAUAUUUCUUGAUAUCUCACACUAAGUAUUAUGAACUCAUAGUGGCUAAAGGUCAUCAAAUAAUAUAAGUCAAAUUUUUAUCUUAAUUUUUAAAAGAUGAAACCAAGAUUAUUAAAAUUUUGCAUUUCAGAAAAAAAUUGUUAUACUUUAUGUAAUAUCAGUAAUUUACCUCUUGAUAAAAGUAUAAUAGUUUGAUAUUGCAUAAAUAUGUAAAGUAUAAUAAUUCACAGAGGCAGUUACAUAUGUAAUCUAUUUAUCAACAUUUUUCAAAAAAUAAAAAUAAAAAUCUAUAGAUCACCAUUUAAAAAGUAAAGAAGAAAAAAUAAAUUUAAGAGAAUGAAUAGGAGUUAAUAACUUAGGAGAGAAAAGUGAGAGAUAAUAAAAUAAAUUAAAAGAUUAAAAAUUAAAUGAGAUUUGCGUAAACAAAAGAUGUAAAGUUAUUUUUAUCUUAAGAGAAUAUUAACAAAAGGUUUAAAAUAAUAAAAGAGUUUAUAAUAAUAGUUUAUUAAAAAAAUUAUUAAAAAAAUUAUAUAAUAAUAAUUUUAUCAAUUAUAAAAUUUAUCUCUAAUAAAUAAGUGACAUAUAUAUUUGAGAGCUACAAAUUAAGAUUUAAAAAUAGGAAAAUUCUAUGAUGCCGUAAUUAAAAUUACGGCAUCGAUGCCGUAAUUAUUAUGAACCGUUAGAUUAAAUCAACGAUUCACAAUAAUUAUAAAAUAAUAAAAUUUUUAAUUAAAUUAAAUCUAACCGGUUAUAAGCCGGUUAAGUACUUUUUAAAGAUAAAAUUUGACCGGUGUAAGUUUAAAGGAAAAAAAAAAAGAGGAUUUACCUUUUAAAGAAAUAAAAAAUUAGAAAGGGAAACUUCCGUUCAUAUUUUUCAUUAAACCCUAAUUAACGAAUUCCUAAAGAAACCUCUCAUAUGUCUACAGAUUGCAGCCAUUCUUGAGUUGAUUUUCUGUCUUGAUUUUCUAUCUUGUUCGAAUUGCUGAGUCUCUGCUGUUGCUGCCUCUAUCUUGGUUUGGCCGUCGUCACCUGUGCAAGGUAAAUUUAAUCCUCUGUCUCGUUCGAAUUGCUAAGCAUUUUAGUUUUCAUUCAUGGUCAUAAUUUGUUCACGGCAUUGAAUCUAAGAAUUAAGAAGUCGCUGCAAGUGUUUGGGUUUGCAUAGUUUUAUUUCAUAGUCAUAAUUUCCGCAUUUGUUCACGGAAUUAAGAAGUUCCAGUGCACUCCUGCCUUUGCCUCUUGAGAAAAUUAGAAGCUUUGCCAAUAGCAGUAGCAGUGGCAUUAGCAGAAGCUUUCCAUAUUCAAUGCUCUGUUCAGAUGCCUCUCCAGUUGCUCAUCUAAGCUUUUCAGAUCAAUCUGAUCUGCUCUCACGAACCCAUCACUGCUUUCUUUCAUUCUUUCUUUCAAGGGUGCUUCUGUUCAAAUCACUCCCUCCUCCUCUUUCUUCUUCUUCUUCAUGUUGAUGAUAUUCAGUUGUUAUAACUUGUUGUUGUUGUUGGAGUUAUUAUUUCUCUACGAGAAUUUGCUUGUCAAAAUUUCUCAAUAGGAAGGAAGCGAAGAGUAUGCAAACAUUUUUUUAAUUAUUAUUUUUCUUUUCUAUUGAAGCAUGUGGGCACAUGGCAUUGCCUGAACACAACAUGUAUUUGUGACCACUUUCCUCUUCACAAUUAUUAUUAUUAUUAUUGUUUUGUUUUUUCUUUUUUUUUCUUCGAUUUUGAUUGGCCAUCAAUUUUUUUUUGGGUGAACGAUAUAGAGUGCUAUAUGAGUUAUGCUAACUGCUGUGACCUUGAUUUUGUAUUAUUGUUUGCAUUGAUUUUGGUUGAUAAACAAAUGUGUGGUGGAUCAUGGAUGGAUGUAUGGAUGAGGAUAAUAAAUAAAUGAAAUAUACAUAAGACACAAGCAGAUAAAUUAAAGGUAAUGGAUCAUAAUUCUGAAACUGGAAGUGGGUUUUUGUCUCAAAUAUAAUUGAAGUGAUAGAGAAUUAUGUGAAGUUGCAGAAAAAUUUUGGGUUUGAAAUGCUUUUGUUUCUAGGUAAAUUUUUUGCUGUAUUUUGGAUGAUUUGUUGCUGUUUUUGGUUAAAUUUUUCUGGUGUUUUGGGCUUCAUUUGGUGCUGUUUUUAGGUUAAAUUUUCUUCUAUUUUUGGGUUAAUUGGCUGCUGUUUCUCAGUUUAUUUUUCUGCUGUUUUUAGAUAAAUUUACUGCUGUUUUUUUCUUAUAUUUUCUGCUAUUUGCAGAUAAAUUUUUCUGGUGUUUUGGGCUUCAUUUGCUGCUGGUUCUAGGUUAAAUAUUUUGCUGUUUCUGGGUAAAUAUACUGCUAUUUUUUAGUUAAAUUUUUCUGGUAUUUUGGGCUUCAUUUUGUGCUGUUUUUACGUUAAAAUUUUUGCUGCUUAUGGGUAAAUUGACUGCUGUUUUUCAGUUUGUUUUUCUGCUAUUUUUACAGAAAUUUAAUGCUGUUUUUGGGUUAUAUUUUCUGCUAUUUUCAAGUAAAUUUUUCUGGUGUUUUGGGCUUCAUUUGCUGCUGGUUCUGAGUUAAAUAUUUUGCUGUUUCUGGGUAAAUAUACUGCUGUUUUUUAGUUAAAUUUUCUGCUGUUUUUGGAUAAAUUUUUUGUUGUAUUUGGGAUGAUUUGCUGCUGUUUUUGGUUAAACUUUUUUGGUGUUUUGGGCUUCAUUUGAUGCUGUUUUUAGGUUAUAUUUUCUGUUGUUUUUGGGUUAAUUGGUUGCUGUUUCUCAGUUUAUUUUUCUGCUGUUUUUAGAUAAAUUUACUGUUGUUUUUUGUUAUAUUUUUUGCUAUUUGCAGGUAAAGUUUUUUGGUGUUUUGGGCUUCAUUUGCUGCUGGUUUUGGGUUAAAUAUUUUGCUGUUUCUGGGUAAAUAUACUGCUGUUUUUUAGUUAAAUUUUUUGCUGUGUUUUGGAUAAAGUUUCUGCUGUAUUUGGGAUGAUUUGCUGCCCUUUUUGGUUAAAUUUUUUUGGGGUUUAGGGCUUCAUUUGGUGCUAUUUUUAGGUUAAAUUUUUUGCUGUUUCUGGGUUAAUUGGUUGCUAUUUUUUAGUUUAUUUUUCUGCUGUAUUUGAGAUGAUUUGUUGCCGUUUUUGGUUAAAUUUUUUUGGUGUUUUGGGCUUCAUUUGCUGCUGUAUUUGGGUUAAAUUUUUUGCUGUUUUUGGUUAAAUUUCCUUCUAUUUUUCAGUUAAAUUUUCUGUUGUUUUUGGAUAAAUUUAUUACUGUUUUUGGGUUAAAUUUUCUGUUGUUUUACAGGAUCCAAAACUUGUGAUAUUUCCCAUUUCUUUUUGUGCCUAAUAUCUUCAUGUACAGGUUCUUGUAAACUCGAAAAUGGCUGAAAAUAUAGAUGAGGGUAACGAGAAUGAUUUCAAGGAGAAUGAUAAUGUGAGCCAGGAAAAUGAAAUUUCAAGAAGAAAUCGACCUUUCAUUGAGUAUUUGUAAGUCUUCUUACAUUAAAUAUUAUGUGUUUGACUAUUGGUAAAUUUAUGAGUAUUUAGUAAAGCCAAGCACAAUAAUGUUAACAUGCACUGAUUAUAUAUAUUUUUUUCAAAAUAUUUAAUUGACUGCAGCAAGCAAGAAGCAAAAAUAUUACGGGAACAAGGAAAAAAAGUGGUGAGUGUAGGUGCGAUAAUUAAUUUCCAUUAAAUUUGGGACGUGUUACAAGCAAUAACUUAUUGUCAUAUUUGUUUUUUAAUUUUUUAGGAUAGAAUUAAAUUAGGGAAAUGUUUCAAAAAUUUGAGUGAAGAAGAGAAGGCUAAAUUUAGAUUGGUUGGUAGUGAUAUAGCACAGAAUAAAGACAAAGAAGAUGAUUUUGUGAAGGGAACUCAAAAAGCCAUGGAAACUAGAUGCGCUCCAGAUCGUUUUGCAAAACUGGUCACAAAAUUGUCAGAAAAUAAAAAAAAAGUUGUUGUGGAGUUAGGAUUUGAAAGUCUUCUGCACAUAAAAUGUGGUCGACUGAAACGAGAUUUAUGUUCAUGGUUGGUUCAAAAUUUUGAUCCAUUUACUUCAUGUAUUUUUUUGCAUGGUAAGAGUAUCAGUUUGUCGCCUCGAGAUUUUGAGUACAUUAUGGGAAUAAAAGAUGGUGGAGUCGACAUUGAUGUGGAUCUUGGUAUUGAUGACAUAGAUAAAUUGAGGAAUGAAUAUUGUGAUGACAGUGGAUACAUUAAGCUGAAAACUUUAGAGUCAAAAUUGGUGAAUCAAAGGGAGGUGAAUGAUGACUUUAAAAGAAGCUUUGUUUUGUUUGCUAUAGCUACAAUUAUUUUUCCUAAAUCGGGGUUGAAUUUAGCCCCGUAUUACUUGGUUUUUUUGAAAGACACCAGUGCCAUAAAAAAAAAAAAAUUGGGCAACAUGGGCUUUUAAAGGGCUAGUUGAGGGCAUACAAAAGUUCAAGGCAGGACAACAUAAAGUUGUUAAUGGUUGUGUACUAUUUUUGGAGGUAAUAAUUUUUUUUAAAAAUGAUUUCAUCAGUUUUAUUGUGUUAUUUUGUUUUUGCUUUGUUUUGAUCAUUUUGUUAAUAUUGCAGCUUUUUUACAUGGAUUCUAUAUCAUUUGCACGAAAAUUUAUUGAUAAAUCUUUGAGUCCAAUAACAACAUGGACAAAUCGAGAUGUAACUAACUUAUUGAGUUUUGUUAAGAAAAAUGGCGGUUAUGGGAGCUCAAAGGUAUGGCAUCUACUUUUUAUUAAUUAAAUAUUAGCGUAUCAUAUUGAAAUGACAUGUAUUUAAUAAUAUGUGGUAUUUAUUAGGUUAAUUUGCGAGAAAUCCAUCCUCAACAAAACACGGCCCAGGAAACAUUUGAUGGAACAAGUCGGAAGAAUGAAGAAUGCAUACAUAAUUGUCAACAUCAGAAGGAAUUAUCACUUGUUCGAAAAGAUAUUGGCCGUAUGGCAUUGGAGCUUGAUGGUUUAAAGCAUUCAAUGGGUAGCUGGAUGCAGCAAAUGCAACAAGUAAUGGAAACCCUUAAAGAGAACUUAACACAAAAGCAAGUUGAGCAGCAAAAGGAGAAUAAUGGCGCUGCUGUUGGAAUUACUUCUCCUUCCCGAAAGCAACAAAAGAACGAUGAAUCAAGCCAUGAAAUUUUAACUUUUGCGGAACUAAUGAAGAGAGCCAAAGAAAGGCCAGAUGGAGAUGAUAUUCUUGAGAAGAAAUUACUGGAUGAGGAGAAUGUUGAAGAGAAACAUGAUGAGAGAAUUUUGACGGGCGAGUCAGACCUAAAUGAGGGAAAGCGUAAGCAAAUUUUCUACAAUGCAGCUAUACAGGUAUUUAGCAAUAAACUGUGAUCUUCUUUUUUGCACAAGUAAAACAUAAUAGUGCAUGGAUGAGUAUUAAGUUAUAAAUCAUAAUUUUUGUAGGAUAAUGGUCGGAAUGAUGAUUGUUCUAUUGAAGAGGAAUCAUCAAACCAACUUAGUGUAUUUGAGGUUAAAGAUAUGCGCUCCCGAAAGCGAAAGCCUGGUCCAUACUAAAAAUCCCCUUAUAAUCAGUUUCCCAAAAGACGAAGCAAACAAAAAUUUUUUCAUGAUUCAAUCACUCUACUAAAUUCAUUUUCAGAGGAAGAUAUGAAGUUGCUGCAGUAUAUAUUUCAAGGAGAAUUGCCUAUGGAGUAAUUGGAUUUUCUCAUGACCCAUUUUCCAUAUGUUAUUAUUUUUGCAUUAACACUGUUAUAGUUCUAAUUCUAUUUUUGGAUUCUUAAUACAGUGAGCAUAUUGUUGAUGGAAUUAGUUUUUUCGUCUCUCGCCAAGAGAUGUUUUCUUUGGCUCCUAAUACUUGGAUCAUUGACACAGUAAGCAUACCUUCCUUAUAUCUAGUUUAAUCAUUCAAUUUAUUUAUUUUCUUUCUAAGUAUUUAAGUCUUCUUGUUUAAUGGCUCUAUUCGUAGGUCAUAGAUUGUUUCGUCAACUACUUGACAAACAAAGAACGUGCAAAAAUGAGCCUAGAGAUGCGUAUUUGGUAUUUGCCCACCAUAUUUUCGGUAAGUUGUAAAUGUUAUACUAUGAAUUUGUUUACUGACAGUUGACCCUUUAUGUUGAUAAUAUACUAAUUUUCUAUUUAUUUUAUGAGUUUUGCAACAAAAAAUAGUGGCAAACAUGGACUCUAAAAAGAAAUCAAGCAUCGAAGACUUUGUCAAAAAUCAUAAUAUUCGAGAUAAGUACAUGUCAGAACUUGCAGUAUGUGAAAAGGUAAGAAAUUAAAUACAAAAUUACAAUAAAUCAUGGCAUUGUUUAAGACAUUUAAUGGUAAUUAUUAAAAAUUAUGCAUUUGUCAUGUAGAUCUAUGUUCCUAUAAAUGAUGGCUUUGCACAUUGGUAUCUGGCGGUGUUGAUUGUUAAAACGCAAACCGUUGAAAUUUGGGACUCUUUACCUAGUAAUAGUUCGAAUUCACAUUGAGAGGAAAUUGUUAGAGCAAUUGUAAGUGAAGCUUGCAUUUCACCUGUAUUAUUACCAAUAAAUGCAAAUGUAUGCUGACUAUUAUCAUCAUUAUCACAGUUACAGGGACUCGACGAAGUUUUCCUCGAUGAUUUUUUGGGAAAAUUUCAUUCAUGUUGGGAUUUUUUUAGUUUUAAAAUUUUAUAUCCAGAUAAUGUCCCAGUACAACCAAAUGGAACUGACUGCGGUUUGUUUGUGAUCAAGUUCAUGGAGACGCAAUGUGAUCUAUUAUCUAUAAAACAUGUAUGUGACAUUAAUUUUACAUCAUAUUGAUUAAAAAUUUUACAAUGAAUGAUGACUCUAUUUCUCACUUUUUUAUUUUUUCUCGUACUAUAUUUAGUAUAACUCAACAAUAGAAAGAUAUCGCAUUGCACUCCACCUUAUCAACGGAGAUACAAAUAAAGUGAGAGAUAGUAUCAGAUGUAAGGCUGAAGAAUUUCAUGAUUCGCACAAGAAUAAUCUUCCACCGAACAAAGUGACGAACAAAGUUAAUGGUCAAAAGAAUUUGAAGAAGAAAAAGUAGAGUCCAAAAGCCUGCAGCAUGUUAAAAGUAAGUUCUCUUUAACUGUUUCUUUCUUGCUUUUUUUUUAUCCUAUUACAUUUCAUGAUUUGUAUUAGUUAUUUAUUAGUUAUUGCAAUUAUAAUUGUUGUUUCACAUAAAAUUAAUUAGAAACAAUUUCCAAUUUGCAAUUGCCUACCGAGUAUAAGCAGAAUGUGGACUGGAAAUAGUCAAUGUUUUACUGCAAGUUUUCCUUUAUUCUCCAGGUGGCUCACAAUUUCCUCUUCAGUGACAUCUUGUGGGAAAGUGGAUCAUCUUUGUUGGGGAGCAGUAGUAAUGAUAGUUCCUUUAGAAUACUUUCACUUUAGCUUCCAGAAACUGAAGCAAUUAACAAAUUAUAAUCUGGAAUUAAGGUUGAUUAAUUCAUCGCAAUCACAUGUACCAUCAUCACAGUGUUGGAAAAACUGCAGUGUACAAGAGUUCCGAUUUUACCAAAUGGGAAUUCAUGUAAACUUCUCUAUAUUAGAGCAGUUCUUUACCAUAGAGAGAAAGUGAAACAUAUAGUUUGUGAGAAACUCUAGAAAGCAAUUAAUUGAGCUACCGGAACUUUGCAUGCUAAAGAUUCUACGAAGCAAGAAUUUUCAACUUUUCUUUCCUCACUGCAUGUUCUUGGCAACAAAAAACAACAAAAGCCAAGUCACUCUUCUUCAAUUGAAACAGUUUAAACAAGACCAAAAUAAAGAAAACAAGUUAGAUGUACAAUCUUUGUGCAGAACUUAAAGUUUGCUUGUGAAAGAUCAUACACGAAUAAAUAUAUGUAGUAUGCCUUGAAGGAACAUUUAAAGCCAUUCAUUUGUCAAAUUGUGAAGUUAUGUGUCUGUUAAAGCUUCUUAGGUCUAGUGGCCUUGAAUUUGCCUUUCAAAUGAUUUUGUCUUUUUAGAUAAAUCUAAAUAAAAAAAAAGUGGCACAUCAAAUCAACGCAUAUUAGAAAUAUUUUCCCUUUCUACAAUAAUAUAUGUGGUGGAGGCUUGAGAUCAACUGUGUCUUUGUGUGUCGUAUAUUUAAUAUAUAGUAAUUUAAUAAUACUGGGGGAACCGAGGAACUUUCGUGGAGGGGAUAUUUGAUAGACUCCAAGUGGGACUCAGAAGAAAAUAAAAUUAAAAGGACCCCCAAUUUGAACUGGCCACUGUCAAUCACAUGUAUUUGUUAUGCAGGUAUCAGAAUUCAUCUCAUGCCCACAUCAAGAAUCUAUAAACGAUAACCAGACAAUAUCCGAACAACCAAGUAGUUGGUUUUUGUGGCACAGAUUGGCCCGGGGUAAAACUCAUCAUUACUCCCUCAAAAUCUUGGAUUUGUUUUGAUUAUAUAGCGAAUAAGUCGGGGUAGUUUUGUCCCUUUAGAAAAAAAAAAUUACAUGGAUGCAUAUGUUUGCUGCCAAAAAGUGCUAGGGUUGCUCAAGAGUAUUGCACGAAUGCACGUCUUCUAUUCACUCCAAAACUCCAAAAGCUUUUACUACCAUCACUGCCAAAAUUGAAAAACAAGAAGCAAGCAAGGCCCAGUCAAUAAUAAAAAAUAGUUGAGGUUUUACACAACCAUCAUGACUGUCCAAACUUGCUGCGAUAGCAUGAUAAUGAUCUAAUUAUUUAGAAAAAUUAAAUUACAAGCAUAAUAGUAACCUAGCUAGAAAAAUAAGACCUAAUAUAACUCCUACGCACAUGAACACGACACAUUAUUUUGCAACAAAUAAUUUUCAGAACAUUAUAAGAGAAACUAGAGGCAAAACGGGAAAAAAUUAUAAUUCUAAAAUUACAACCAUAGUAGUAAUCGAUUUAUUUAGGGACAUUGUUAAUAUUUUGACACUUACAAUAAUACUCAACAGGCAAAACAUAAUUAAGGCUGACUUUAUACUUCUGGGGCUGGAUGAGUAUUUUUAAAAUAAAUGGGGUCAUUUGUAAUAUUUUGACUUAAUGGGGACUAAUUUAAAAUUAGCCAUAUUAAAACUUUUGCAACUUGUCUAGAAACGACAGAAUUUGAAUACUUAAUGGGGACUAGUUUGAAAUUUGCCAUAUUAACAACUUUUGCAACUUGUCCAGAAUACGUCUUUUCCUAAUUCAAUAGUUCCAUUCAAAUUUAAAGACUUAAUGGGUACUAAUUUGAAAUUAGUCAUAAUAAAAACUAUUGCAACUUGUCCAGAAUACGUCUUUUCCUAAUUCAAUAGUUCCAUUCAAAUUUAAAGACUUAAUGGGUACUAAUUUGAAAUUAGCCAUAAUAAAAACUAUUGCAACUUGUCCAGAUAUAAGUUGUGAAACGACAGAAUUCAAUAGUUCCAUUCAAUCCUACAAUUUCCUUGCCCAGUUUUUUCUAACGACCACAUAGAACACAAUGAAUGAUGAUCAACAAGGUUAAUUCUUCAUUGUCUUUUAAUGAUUUGUUACUCUUUGCUAUUAUUUUUUAUGUUAUUUUCUCUCUUUCUAAAAAGAGUAGUGUUUUUUAACCUUUUAAAAUUAAUAUUAAUUGUGUCUAUUAUAAUUUACAGGCUAUUGUCUAGCAGUGCCAUUUCACUGAUUGUAAUAUUUUCUUAUUGUAUUAUGACAGGCAUUAACAAAAAUUACAAAGUGCCAGAGCUUGAUGUUCCAUCAUCAUAUGAUAUUCCUUCAACAGCUCAAGCAGGAAUACAAUCAGGUUUUUUAGUUGUUCAUAACAAAACAAUUGAACCAAAUUAUUUUUGUAAUAUUUUGAAAAUCAAAUAACAGUAUCAGUUUAUUUUAGUUGUUGAUAAUAAAAUAAUAGAAUUAGACUAUUUUAGCUGUCAAUAAUAAAAUAAUAGUAUCAAUUGAAGUUAGCUAUUCAUGAUAAAAAAAUAAUUAUUCAUACUCUAUUAUGACAGGGAGGGAUGGUUCAAACUCUAUUUAUUGGGAUGAUAAAAGCAUGUAUGAACUCACUGCUGAAGACGUUAUUGGAAAGCGAUUUGCAUCACUUGAAGAAGCUACAGAUUUUUAUAAAAAAUACUCAAAAAUAAUGGGUUUUAGUGUUCGCAUUUAUGAUGGGAGACGUGAUACAAAUGGUGCACCCAUAAUGAAACAUUGGGUUUGCAGUAGAGAAGGUGAAAGGGAUAAAAAGUAUAUUGAGCAUACAAACAGAAUCCGUGAACCUAGAGCUAUUACAAGAGUCAACUGUCGAGCAGCAUUCAGGGUAAAUUUAGAUAAGGAGUCCAAAACUUGGGUUGCUAGAAGCUUUGUUCCGAAACACUCUCAUGAGUUGGCAGCAGAUUUUGAGACUCAAUUUCUUCGAUCUCAUCGAAUGGUUAAAGAUUCUGACAAUGCUCUAGCUAAUUCAAUGCAAACAGUUGGUAUAAAGACAAGUCAGAUUAUGGACUUCUUUGUCAACCAGGCUGGGGGUUAUGACAAUUUGGGCUUCGGAUUAAAGGAUUUAUAUAACAAUUUAGAUAAUGAACGUCGAUCCAUGAUACUCGAAACAGACUCAGAAGCUGCACUUGCAUACUUAAAUGCAAAAGCUGACAUGGAUCCAGAUUUCUUUUGUAAGUACUCUGUAGAUGAGGAGAAUAGACUUGCAAACUUAUUCUGGGCAAAUUCUAUUGCUCGCUUGGAUUAUAGUUACUUCGGCGAUGUUUUGGCUUUCGAUAGUACUUACAAGACAAAUGAGUAUGGGAAGCCUUUAGUUAUUCUAUUGGGUGUUAAUAAUCAUUAUGCAACAAGUUUUUUUGGCUGUGCAAUUCUCACGGAUGAGAUGGUUGAGACCUACACAUGGGUGCUUAAAACAUUUUUAUGUGCUAUGAAUAAUAGAAAGCCUAUAUCUAUUGUGACCGAUGGAGAUAGAGCGAUGCGUAAAGCAAUUAAAAAGGUAGGUCCUGAAGCUCGGCAUCGACUGUGUAUUUGGCAUCUACAAAGAAAUGCACAAUCUAAUGUACAUAAAACGCCUGAAUUUGUUACAAGGUUUAAGGAUUUUCUGUUGGGAAAUUACAGACCCGAAGAAUUUGAGCAAUUGUGGCAGAACAUGGUGGAAGAGCUUGGUCUUCAAAAUAAUGAUUGGGUUAAGAAGAUAUACUCAAAACAAGAGAGAUGGGCAGAAGCAUUCUUACGGGGUCAUUUCUUUGGUGGCAUGCGCACAACACAGCGUUGUGAGGGUAUGAAUGCAUAUAUGAAUAGAUUUCUUCAAAGAAAGUUGAAGUUGUAUGAAUUUGUUCGUCAAAUUGAUCGAGCCUUGAGACGUACAAGGAAUAACAAUUUAGGACAUAAUUUUAAAACUAAGCAUUCUAUUCCAAUGAUUAGUACUCAUCUUCCAAGCUUGGAGAAGCAUGCUGCAGGGGUUUACACUCAAAAGUUAUUUUACAAGGUUCGUAAACAGAUUUACAAAGAAGGCCAGUUUAUAUUGUUGAGCAAUGUCACUCUUCUAGAUAUUCAAGUGUACACAUUAACUAGGCAUUUAGAAGCCAAAAAGAAGUGGACUGUGGUUUAUUAUCUAAAAGAACAACAUUUUGAGUGCUCCUGUAAGAAGUUCGAAUCUACUGGAAUACCAUGCCCUCACUUAUUUUGUGUGAUGAAACAUAUGCAUGUUAGUGAGAUACCUGCUUCAUUGAUUAACAAAAGAUGGACUAUGGAUGUGAAAGUUUACAAACAAUCUCUAAUGCCAUUGGAAAGUCAAUCUAAGGAUGUUCUUAACAAUUUUCGGUAUGGGUCAUUAAAUGCCGAAUUCAAUGAAAUUAGUUUUUAUGCCUCAAAAUCUGAUGCUGCCUAUUGGAAAUUAAAAAGUCAUCUUGCUCAACUGAAGAGUGAGAUAAAGGAGUUGAGAACGUGUGACAACGGAGAUACAGAUAGACCAUGCAGUGCAGAAAAGAAAGCAAGAAUUGUAAAAGAUCCUCUAGUUGUGAAGACAAAGGGUGCACCCAGUACGAAAUUUAACAAAGGUGUUAACACAAGAAAAUGUGGAUAUUGCAAACAAGAUGGACAUACUGCACGGAAAUGCCCAAGUAAGAACGGCCAUGUUACAAGUGUGGACAACUUCGCUGGACCAUUAAACAGCUUCACAAAAUUUAUUUGGUAUGGGAAAAUAGGUCAUUAUUUCUAUAAUUAUUUUUAGUCCAAAUCAAUGUGUUGUAUCAAUAAUUUUGUUCAAAUUUUCUGCAGAUUAUAUCCUAAGGAGGCUGCCUCACUUGCGUCAAUGCACACAAAAUUAUCCUAAAAUAAUCUGCAUAUGCCUGAGGGUGUGGAUUUGGACAAGCUAUUUGCAUUUUAAGAAAACACAAUUUUGACCAAGUAUUUUUUAGACUAUAGUUAUGGCCAUGUGAUGUAGUCUUAUAUUUUAAUGCAUUUUUAGUUAUAAUAAUAAUGAAUAUUACACCUCUCAUGAACCUAUUACUUUCUCCUACUUUGAUGACAAUGAAAUAUGACAGGAACCUCGAACAAUGUAAUAUUCAUGAAAUUUUAAGCUUACAAAAAAGGGCCUAACAAUGAUAUUCUAAAUCUUAAUACAUCAAUUGAUCUUAUUUCCUAAGAACUGCUACGUGCAUCGAUUAGGUAUCCUAGGACGUUUAUACAUCACUAAUAAACUAGUAAACCAUACCACAGUUGCAAUGUAAUAUUCUUUCUUACCUUGCUGAUUAGAAACUUCAGCGGCCAAAUGCCAACUACAUCAACUUUUGCUUCCCCAUAGCUGAGUGAAAUUCUUGUAGUUCCUAAAUCCAAAAUACAAGUAAGAGAAAUCAGUGCAAAUGUUCAUUUAUCUUGAAAUUCCUUUGAAACUGAGGCCCAAAGAGAAGCUAGAAUAAACAGUCAUGCAGGUUUUCUAUUUUAGGGAAAAAAAAUGAAAUUCUUUCUGUAGUAUACUUAUUAAGCAAGAUAACAUAAACCAUGAAUUACAAAAGCUGCCAACAAUUAAAAUAGGCGACCAAAUGGAAUUAAAAAUACGGGCACACUGUGUACAGAAAUUCUGCAGGAUACAAGGCCAAUAUAAUUUACGAUUCAUACCAGACUCAAUUGGCCAAACCUAUGGAAUUGGAAUGAUGCAUUUAUUUAACUCAAAAGGUAAAUAUCAGGCUUAAGGUUCUUACAUAUUAAAACAAUAAUAAUUCAUUCAUUUUGAACAUGAGAUGCAACUUGGACUAUUUCAAGUUAUUCCAAAAGAAAGCAUUAAAAGGAAUUUGUUCAUCCUACGUGGUAUAAGUAGUAUACUUCAGUUAGUAUUAUACAUCAUCAGUUAAAUCAUUUCGACUAUUAACAUUGAUAACAACAAUAAUAAAAUAAACAUAUGUAGUUAUAAAAUAAAUAGAUAAAUUCAACUUCGGAUAAAUUUGGGUUGUUACAGUAACCCUCCAAGCCACCACUGUAUUAUAACCAAUAGACAUUUGAAUUAUAACAGAUAGACAAGAAUAAAAUGAAAGCCAAUAUUAUUCAUGCAGAAUUAAUCUAAUUUAUUUUUCAGUUAAGGUUAGUAACAAUUUAUCUGUAAAUAAUUGAACCAACUUGGUUAUUACAACAUUACUUUUUCAAAGCGUUUAGAGCUCAGAAUAUCAAGACAACAAUUUGAUGGUUGGUUAAUUGAGUACCGGAAUCAGUGAUUUUUACUGCAAGAAUGCAAUUGUAAACACCACACAGUAAGUUUUCAAGGCAUCCAGCAUAUUAACUCAAAAAACAAAAUUCUCAUUACUUGUCUAUAAUUGCUGAAGUAGAGUGUACCAGGAUAUCAGGCUCAGCAUCUUGAAAAUCUUGCAAACUAACAGGGGACUGCACAUAUUCGAAGGAUACAGAAUUUCAAUCUAAGGGGGCUGAAUCUUGUACAUUGCACUAUUAUCGAAAGAAAUGAACUCAUAUUUAUGUCAUAUAAAUGCAUAUAUGUCGUGAUUGGAGGAGAGAACAUUCUAGAACAAUUGCUACUUAAUACCUUUUCAUUAUCUUUAUUUGAGUUCAAGUUCACAGUAAGAUCUAAUUAUCCAAUCUUCCUCAUAUCAGGUUUGUCAGCUUGUAUGAGUCAAUCUUACACAUAUGAAUAUUGAGAAUUAUUCAUAAAGAUAUUUCAUAAUAAACAUAUAGUCAACUUUUCAAGAACUAGUGAAAAAUGGCGGAAAAAUAGUAUUCAAAAGAAUUCUAGAAUCUUUUUCCUCUUUUCCAAGAGAAAUGCAUAUACUUAUAGAUAAAGGAAGGAAAAAUUUUAAGGGCAGCGCAGGGUAUGAUAAAUAACAACUCCUUGACAUCCUUCAACUAAAUGUGAAGAAUUUGAAGUUUUUGUGGAUGCCUUUACUUCUGAAUUCAAUCAUACACAAACAGGCCAUAUUAUUAAUAGGAAAAACUUUUGAAAGGGGACCACAUACUCCAGAAUGUCAGGAAUCAGGCGGAAUUGAACCCGCCACAUCAUGGCCUCUGUGCUAAGAGUUAAUAGAAAACUGCAGAGUAUUGUUUGGCAGUGGCAUUUGAGGCAAUUCCUUAAAGAUUAUGAGUAGAAAGAUAUCUUAGAAAAUCUACUGGAGGUUAAAAGUUAAUAGCCACUAAUUUAAUUACAUUCAUUGUGGAGUAUCCACCUUAUUCAAUAACCCCCUUUAGUCACAGCAACUUUAUUCAAUGCAAGCGAAGUCCAUUCUGGUGAUUCAAUAACUAAAGCAAAAACAUAUGGUACCUUGCCAGUCAGAGUUGUCACCAUCACUAUCUUCUGAAUGAAAUUGCCUUCUCAAGUAACUUUCUUCAUCAGCAAAUGCAGGCCUGAGGUAACCCACUAUAGAAAGACCAUUUGAAGGAUGAUCCAUUUUUCUAUCAUAGUCCAUAUUAACAGCCUACGUGAAAAAACAAUAAAUAAAUCAUUACACUAGAGUACUAAAAGUAAUUUGACAUACAUAAUACUGAGAAAAAAAAAAACCAGAAUUUUAGCCAUGUAAAGUUGAAUAAUCUGGAGAUUAAAAAAAUUAAUAAAUAAAUAAAUAUAAAGUUCAUGUUAUUAGCAGACAAACAGUCAGCACUUCACGUUAAAUAAUUAAACUUGCAAUAGAAAGAUAGAACAAUAACUGACUUGAUCAUGGUGUUGGGAAACUGUCAGUGACGUAACAAAAUUACUAAUUACAAAACCAGCUCAUAAUCACCUUUGUCAAACAAUUGGCAAAAUAAAUAGGAUGAACCCAGUUGGAAGUAUCUGGCAUUCCCCCAGUCAACUGAGCAUAGACUGUGUUACCAAAAGCUAUUAAUGAGGUUAUGAUAGCUUUAAAAGCUCAAAUAGGGCAGUUGUAGAACAGUCUAUACUGUGACUGUCCUCAUUCAAAAAAUUAGCCGAGAAAGCUGAGUUACACGGAAGGUUCAAUGGUUAAAGAUGUGACUUUGCAUGGGUGCUAAAACCAACAUUUAUUAAGCUUAAAGAUCUGUCUUUAUCACCUAAGCUCCUCUGUAACAAAAUAAAUUAAGCCUAGAGAUCGAUCUUAAUCAGUUAAAGAUGAUCUGUACAGCUGCAGAAUCAUUUACACCCCUUAGUUUAUCUUAAACAACAACAUCAAUAUCUGUCAUAACUCUCACCAAUAUUCAUUCUUUUCACAAAUACAAUCACCCAAAAAUCACUCAACCCAGCAGUUGCAAGUCCUUUGCUAAGAUCAAUCAUUAAUCAGAUAUAAACUUUUAAGAAAAUAUAAAACCUCAACGACAAUGACAACUUACCAGUCUCCUCAUCAGGCCUGGACGGCGGGCCCUGGCACCACAAGGCAGUCCCUCAUUGCAUCUUAUAACAGGUAUUCUGCUCAAUCACAAGCUUGCCACUAAAAUCCCCUUUCAUCCAGCUUAGAAGCCACAUGAUCAGGAUCUCCGAGCCUUACUAGAAGCGAAAGAGUGAGAAAAGUAAAGGGGCAGAAAAAAUGGUAGAAACCCUCAGCUACUUGCUUGCAAGUAUUAGGACCAGAUCUUACCAGAUCUAAAAUGAUUUUCCAGAUUGCAUACCUCGCGCGAUGCGCGCCAAACCGAUCUGCAAAGUUUUGGAGUUGGAAGAUAGUUUCAGGGUUAAAACUAACGGAUGCUUUUGGUGCUCUUCUUGGUUUCUUCCACAGCCUUACCAUCACCAGAAUCUGAACGACAAUCUGCAUCUCAUCUCUUCGACAAUCUGCAUUCCCAACUAUUUGGAUUGUGAUCGACGGUUUCACGGUUCACGUGCCAGCGGAUUCGGGUUCGGAUUUGGUGAAUCUUGGCUUAAAAUUUAGGAGAUUUGAGACAGGGCGGUGCUUUUUCUUUUGAUUUUUUUUUCUUCUACAGUGACGUUGAGACUCAAUGGGAAAUGUAUUUUUUUUCCACCUUUUAUUUUCAAAAAAGGGGAAAAAUAGAUAGUAUAAAAAAAAGUUUUUUUUUUUACUUUUUUGCUGUUGAUGGUGCCAUAAUUGUUAUAAUAUUGAAUUUUUUUAAUAAAUAAUAACUAUAAAAAUAUUUUAAUUAAUUAUUAUAAAUUUUAAUUAGGUAAUAUUAAAUAAAUAAUAAUAAUAAUAAUAAUAAAUUAUUAAUAAAUUAUAAUGAAUUAUAAUUAUAAUAAUUUUAUAAUAAAUAAUAAUGAAACAAUUUCAUACUGAUAAUAAUAACAAUAAAAUUAUAAAUAUAAUAAUAUUUUUACGAAAUAAUAAUAUAAUAAAAUAUUAAUAAUAAUAACUUAUUAUUAUAAUUAUUAUUAUAAAGUUUGAUUACAAUAAUAUUUUCAUAAAUAAUAAUCAUAAAACAAAAUCAUGAAAUUAAUAAAUAAUAUCAAUAAUGAAUUAGUAAUCAUAAUUAUAAUACUAUUUUAAUAAAUAUUAUGAUGAUGAUGACGAUUAUUCUUAUUAUUAUUAUUAUUAUUAUUAUUAUUAUUAUUAUUAUUAUUACCACCAAUUGACAAUAAUCAACAAAGGGCAUUUAAGAAAUUAUGAUAAUUCAUUCCGAUUUCAAGACAAAUUAAACAUAUCGAUGGAAAUGAAUCUCAUUCCGACUUCAAUUUCUACAGCUCAAAUAAAUAACUUAUUCUUAUUCACAUUCUUGAUUCUGAUUGUAGCCCGUUACGAUUACUGAUUGGUAAAUGCACCAUGAGCAGAUUAUUGUGGUUUAAUUGGGUCUGUUUUUUUCAAACCUAAUGAAUAAUUAGUUUGGGUUGGAUAAAUUAUAAUUAACCAGUCUAACCCAACCAAAUCUAUAAUAAUAAUAAUAAUAAUAAUAAGAAGAAGAAGAAGAAGGAGGAGGAGGAAAAUGAUAAUGUGUUAAUUCUCAAUUGCAAAAUUAUAACGACUUAAAUGGUUUAUCUAAUUUUUUAUUCUUUUUAAUCUUUUAAUACAAGAGGCUAUUUCAUUCUUGCAUCUGAUGCUCUAGACUACAAUUCCAAAACCAAAAUCACAUUAUCUUAUAAGUAAAUUUAUUAUUUUAUAAGAUUAAUAUAAAAGUAAGUUGGUUUUAAUUUUUUUAUUUUUUUAGUGAAUACUUAACGGCACAUAAUUAUAUAUCACUUUCAUUUUAUUUUUGUAUAUGAUGCUAGCUAAUUAUCUAAAAAGUCUUAAUUUGGAAUUGGAAAAGGAGAUGCAGGAGAAAUAAAGUCUAUAUGGUUUUUGUGGAAAUUUUCUUAAUUUAAAGAUAGUUAAUUUAUUAACUUUCUUUACGUACACUAGAUAGUGAAUGAAAAUUUCAUGUUAUAAAAAAUAUGUAAAUCACAGAUAAAACUAGUAAUUUAAUGAAAAAAUGGUAAAUUAAUGUUGGAAUUGUAAUUUGCACGAAGAACUUGUAAACAAGACAAAAACUUAGAAAACUGACAUAGAACUUGUAAAUUCACAUUAAGUGUGAAAUAAAACAAAAAAUAUGUAAAUCACACAUAACACUAGUAAAUUGAUGGAAAAAUGAGAAAAUUAAUGUUGGAGUUGUAAUUUGUACGAAAAACUUGUAAAUAAAACAAAAACUUAGAAAAAUGACAUAGAACUAGUAAAUUCACAUUAAGUGUGACAUAAAACAAAAAAUGUGUAAACCACACAUAAAACUAGUAAAUUAAUGAAAAAAAUGAUAAAUUAAUGUUGGAAUUGUAAUUAGCACGAAGAACUUGUAAUCAAAACAAAAACUUAGAAAAAUGACAUAAAACUAGUAAAUUCACAUUAAGUGUGAAAUAAAACAAAAAAUAUGUAAACCACACAUAAAACUAGUAAAAUAAUGAAAAACAUGGUAAAUUAAUGUUGGAGUUGUCAUUUGCACGAAGAACUUGUAAACACAACAAAAACUUAGAAAAAUGACAUAGAACUAGUAAAUUGACAUUAAUUGUGAAAUAAAACAAAAAAUGUGUAAAUCACACAUAAAACUAGUAAAUUAAUGAAAAAAAUGGUAAAUUAAUGUUCGAAUUGUAAUUUCCACGAAGAACUUGUAAACACAACAAAAACUUAGAAAAAUGACAUAGAACUAGUAAAUUGACAUUAUUUGUGAAAUAAAACAAAAAAUAUGUAAAUCACACAUAAAACUAGUAAUUUAAUGAAAAAAAUGGUAAAUUAAUGUUGGAAUUGUAAUUUGCACGAAGAACUUGUAAACAAGACAAAAACUUAGAAAACUGACAUAGAACUUGUAAAUUCACAUUAAGUGUGAACUAAAACAAAAAAUAUGUAAAUCACACAUAAAACUAGUAAUUUAACGAAAAAAAUGGUAAAUUAAUGUUGGAAUUGUAAUUUGCACGAAGAACUUGUAAACAAGACAAAAACUUAGAAAACUGACAUAGAACUUGUCAAUUCACAUUAAGUGUGAAAUAAAACAAAAAAUAUGUAAAUCACACAGAAAAUUAGUAAUUUAAUGAAAAAAAUGGUAAAUUAAUGUUGGAAUUGUAAUUUGCACGAAGAACUUGUAAACAAGACAAAAACUUAGAAAACUGACAUAGAACUUGUAAAUUCACGUUAAGUGUGAAAUAAAACAAAAAAUAUGUAAAUCACACAUAAAACUAGUAAAUUAAUGAAAAAAAUGGUAAAUUAAUGUUGGAAUUGUAAUUUGCAUGAAGAACUUGUAAACAAAACAAAAACUUAUAAAAAUGACAUAGAACUAGUAAAUUCACAUUAAUUGUGAAAUGAAACAAAAAAUAUGUAAAUCACACAUAAAACUAGUAAAUUAAUGGAAAAAUGAGAAAGUUAAUGUUGGAGUUGUAAUUUGUACGAAAAACUUGUAAACAAAACAAAAACUUAGAAAAAUGACAUAGAACUAGUAAAUUCACAUUAAGUGUGAAAUAAAACAAAAAAUAUGUUAACCACACAUAAAACUAGUAAAUGUAUGGAAAAAAUGGUAAAUUAAUGUUCGAGUUGUAAAUUGUAAGAAGAACUUGUAAACAAGGCAAAAACUUAGAAAAAUGACAUAGAACUUGGAAAUUCACAUUAAGUGUGAAAUAAAACAAAAAAUAUGUAAAUCACACAUAAAACUAGUAAAUUGUGAAAAAAAAAUAGUAAAUUAAUGUUGGAAUUGUAAUUUGCGCGAAGAACUUGUAAACAAAACAAAAACUUAUAAAAAUGACAUAGAACUAGUAAAUUGACAUUAAUUGUGAAAUAAAACAAAAAAUGUGUAAAUCACACAUAAAACUAGUAAAUUGAUGAAAAAAUAAGUAAAUUAAUGCCGGAGUUGUAAUUUGUACGAAAAACUUGUAAACAAAACAAAAACUUAGAAAAAUGACAUAGAACUAGUAAAUUCACAUUAAUUGUGAAAUGAAACAAAAAAUAUGUAAAUCACACGUAAAACUAGUAAAUUAAUGGAAAAAUGAGAAAGUUAAUGUUGGAGUUGUAAUUUGUAAAUGUAUGGAAAAAAUGGUAAAUUAAUGUUCGAGUUGUAAAUUGUAAGAAGAACUUGUAAACAAGGCAAAAACUUAGAAAAAUGACAUAGAACUUGUAAAUUCACAUUAAGUGUGAAAUAAAACAAAAAAUAUGUAAAUCACACAUAAAACUAGUAAAUUAGUGAAAAAAAAUGGUAAAUUAAUGUUGGAAUUGAAAUUUGCACGAAGAACUUGUAAUCAAAACAAAAACUUAUAAAAAUGACAUAGAACUAGUAAAUUGACAUUAAUUGUGAAAUAAAACAAAAAAUGUGUAAAUCACACAUAAAACUAGUAACUUGAUGAAAAAAUAAGUAAAUUAAUGCCGGAGUUGUAAUUUGUACGAAAAACUUGUAAACAAAACAAAAACUUAGAAAAAUGACAUAGAACUAGUAAAUUGACAUUAAUUGUGAAAUAAAACAAAAAAUGUGUAAAUCACACAUAACACUAGUAAAUUGAUGGAAAAAUGAGAAAAUUAAUGUUGGAGUUGUAAUUUGUACGAAAAACUUGUAAAUAAAACAAAAACUUAGAAAAAUGACAUAGAACUAGUAAAUUCACAUUAAGUGUGACAUAAAACAAAAAAUGUGUAAACCACACAUAAAACUAGUAAAUUAAUGAAAAAAAUGAUAAAUUAAUGUUGGAAUUGUAAUUAGCACGAAGAACUUGUAAUCAAAACAAAAACUUAGAAAAAUGACAUAAAACUAGUAAAUUCACAUUAAGUGUGAAAUAAAACAAAAAAUAUGUAAACCACACAUAAAACUAGUAAAAUAAUGAAAAACAUGGUAAAUUAAUGUUGGAGUUGUCAUUUGCACGAAGAACUUGUAAACACAACAAAAACUUAGAAAAAUGACAUAGAACUAGUAAAUUGACAUUAAUUGUGAAAUAAAACAAAAAAUGUGUAAAUCACAAAUAAAACUAGUAAAUUAAUGAAAAAAAUGGUAAAUUAAUGUUGGAAUUGUAAUUUGCACGAAGAACUUGUAAACAAGACAAAAACUUAGAAAACUGACAUAGAACUUGUAAAUUCACAUUAAGUGUGAACUAAAACAAAAAAUAUAUAAAUCACACAUAAAACUAGUAAUUUAAUGAAAAAAAUGGUAAAUUAAUGUUGGAAUUGUAAUUUGCACGAAGAACUUGUAAACAAGACAAAAACUUAGAAAACUGACAUAGAACUUGUAAAUUCACGUUAAGUGUGAAAUAAAACAAAAAAUAUUUAAAUCACACAUAAAACUAGUAAAUUAAUGAAAAAAAUGGUAAAUUAAUGUUCGAAUUGUAAUUUGCACGAAGAACUUGUAAACAAGACAAAAACUUAGAAAACUGACAUAGAACUUGUAAAUUCACGUUAAGUGUGAAAUAAAACAAAAAAUAUGUAAAUCACACAUAAAACUAGUAAAUUAAUGAAAAAAAUGGUAAAUUAAUGUUGGAAUUGUAAUUUGCAUGAAGAACUUGUAAACAAAACAAAAACUUAUAAAAAUGACAUAGAACUAGUAAAUUCACAUUAAUUGUGAAAUGAAACAAAAAAUAUGUAAAUCACACAUAAAACUAGUAAAUUAAUGGAAAAAUGAGAAAGUUAAUGUUGGAGUUGUAAUUUGUACGAAAAACUUGUAAACAAAACAAAAACUUAGAAAAAUGACAUAGAACUAGUAAAUUCACAUUAGGUGUGAAAUAAAACAAAAAAUAUGUUAACCACACAUAAAACUAGUAAAUGUAUGGAAAAAAUGGUAAAUUAAUGUUCGAGUUGUAAAUUGUAAGAAGAACUUGUAAACAAGGCAAAAACUUAGAAAAAUGACAUAGAACUUGUAAAUUCACAUUAAGUGUGAAAUAAAACAAAAAAUAUGUAAACCACACAUAAAACUAGUAAAAUAAUGAAAAACAUGGUAAAUUAAUGUUGGAGUUGUCAUUUGCACGAAGAACUUGUAAACACAACAAAAACUUAGAAAAAUGACAUAGAACUAGUAAAUUGACAUUAAUUGUGAAAUAAAACAAAAAAUGUGUAAAUCACACAUAAAACUAGUAAAUUAAUGAAAAAAAUGGUAAAUUAAUGUUGGAAUUGUAAUUAGCACGAAGAACUUGUAAUCAAUACAAAAACUUAGAAAAAUGACAUAAAACUAGUAAAUUCACAUUAAGUGUGAAAUAAAACAAAAAAUAUGUAAACCACACAUAAAACUAGUAAAAUAAUGAAAAACAUGGUAAAUUAAUGUUGGAGUUGUCAUUUGCACGAAGAACUUGUAAACACAACAAAAACUUAGAAAAAUGACAUAGAACUAGUAAAUUGACAUUAAUUGUGAAAUAAAACAAAAAAUGUGUAAAUCACACAUAAAACUAGUAAAUUAAAGAAAAAAAUGGUAAAUUAAUGUUGGAAUUGUAAUAUGCACGAAGAACUUGUAAACAAGACAAAAACUUAGAAAACUGACAUAGAACUUGUAAAUUCACAUUAAGUGUGAACUAAAACAAAAAAUAUAUAAAUCACACAUAAAACUAGUAAUUUAAUGAAAAAAAUGGUAAAUUAAUGUUGGAAUUGUAAUUUGCACGAAGAACUUGUAAACAAGACAAAAACUUAGAAAACUGACAUACAACUUGUAAAUUCACGUUAAGUGUGAAAUAAAACAAAAAAUAUUUAAAUCACACAUAAAACUAGUAAAUUAAUGAAAAAAAUGGUAAAUUAAUGUUCGAAUUGUAAUUUGCACGAAGAACUUGUAAACAAGACAAAAACUUAGAAAACUGACAUAGAACUUGUAAAUUCACGUUAAGUGUGAAAUAAAACAAAAAAUAUGUAAAUCACACAUAAAACUAGUAAAUUAAUGAAAAAAAUGGUAAAUUAAUGUUGGAAUUGUAAUUUGCAUGAAGAACUUGUAAACAAAACAAAAACUUAUAAAAAUGACAUAGAACUAGUAAAUUCACAUUAAUUGUGAAAUGAAACAAAAAAUAUGUAAAUCACACAUAAAACUAGUAAAUUAAUGGAAAAAUGAGAAAGUUAAUGUUGGAGUUGUAAUUUGUACGAAAAACUUGUAAACAAAACAAAAACUUAGAAAAAUGACAUAGAACUAGUAAAUUCACAUUAGGUGUGAAAUAAAACAAAAAAUAUGUUAACCACACAUAAAACUAGUAAAUGUAUGGAAAAAAUGGUAAAUUAAUGUUCGAGUUGUAAAUUGUAAGAAGAACUUGUAAACAAGGCAAAAACUUAGAAAAAUGACAUAGAACUUGUAAAUUCACAUUAGGUGUGAAAUAAAACAAAAAAUAUGUAAAUCACACAUAAAACUAGUAAAUUAGUGAAAAAAAAUGGUAAAUUAAUGUUGGAAUUGUAAUUUGCACGAAGAACUUGUAAACAAAACAAAAACUUAUAAAAAUGACAUAGAACUAGUAAAUUGACAUUAAUUGUGAAAUAAAACAAAAAAUGUGUAAAUCACACAUAAAACUAGUAAAUUGAUGAAAAAAUAAGUAAAUUAAUGCCGGAGUUGUAAUUUGUACGAAAAACUUGUAAACAAAACAAAAACUUAGAAAAAUGACAUAGAACUAGUAAAUUCACAUUAAGUGUGAAAUAAAACAAAAACUAUGUAAACCACACAUAAAACUAGUAAAUGUAUGGAAAAAAUGGUAAAUUAAUGUUCGAGUUGUAAAUUGUAUGAGGAACUUGUAAACAAGACAAAAACUUAGAAAAAUGACAUAGAACUUGUAAAUUCACAUUAAGUGUAAAAUAAAACAAAAAAUAUGUAAAUCACACAUAAAACUAGUAAAUUAAUGAAAAAAAUGGUAAAUUAAUGUUGGAAUUGUAAUUUGCACGAAGAACUUGUAAACAAAACAAAAACUUAUAAAAAUGACAUAGAACUAGUAAAUUGACAUUAAUUGUGAAAUAAAACAAAAAAUGUGUAAAUCACACAUAAAACUAGUAAAUUGAUGAAAAAAUAAGUAAAUUAAUGCCGGAGUUGUAAUUUGUACGAAAAACUUGUAAACAAAACAAAAACUUAGAAAAAUGACAUAGAACUAGUAAAUUCACAUUAAGUGUGAAAUAAAACAAAAAAUAUGUUAACCACACAUAAAACUAGUAAAUGUAUGGAAAAAAUGGUAAAUUAAUGUUCGAGUUGUAAAUUGUAAUAAGAACUUGUAAACAAGGCAAAAACUGAGAAAAAUGACAUAGAACUUGUAAAUUCACAUUAAGUGUGAAAUAAAACAAAAAAUAUGUAAAUCACACAUAAAACUAGUAAAUUAGUGAAAAAAAAUGGUAAAUUAAUGUUGGAAUUGUAAUUUGCACGAAGAACUUGUAAACAAAACAAAAACUUAUAAAAAUGACAUAGAACUAGUAAAUUGACAUUAAUUGUGAAAUAAAACAAAAAAUGUGUAAAUCACACAUAAAACUAGUAAAUUGAUGAAAAAAUAAGUAAAUUAAUGCCGGAGUUGUAAUUUGUACGAAAAACUUGUAAACAAAACAAAAACUUAGAAAAAUGACAUAGAACUAGUAAAUUCACAUUAAGUGUGAAAUAAAACAAAAAAUAUGUUAACCACACAUAAAACUAGUAAAUGUAUGGAAAAAAUGGUAAAUUAAUGUUCGAGUUGUAAAUUGUAAGAAGAACUUGUAAACAAGGCAAAAACUUAGAAAAAUGACAUAGAACUUGUAAAUUCACAUUAAGUGUGAAAUAAAACAAAAAAUAUGUAAAUCACACAUAAAACUAGUAAAUUAGUGAAAAAAAAUGGUAAAUUAAUGUUGGAAUUGUAAUUUGCACGAAGAACUUGUAAACAAAACAAAAACUUAUAAAAAUGACAUAGAACUAGUAAAUUGACAUUAAUUGUGAAAUAAAACAAAAAAUGUGUAAAUCACACAUAAAACUAGUAAAUUGAUGAAAAAAUAAGUAAAUUAAUGCCGGAGUUGUAAUUUGUACGAAAAACUUGUAAACAAAACAAAAACUUAGAAAAAUGACAUAGAACUAGUAAAUUCACAUUAAGUGUGAAAUAAAACAAAAACUAUGUAAACCACACAUAAAACUAGUAAAUGUAUGGAAAAAAAUGGUAAAUUAAUGUUCGAGUUGUAAAUUGUAUGAAGAACUUGUAAACAAGACAAAAACUUAGAAAAAUGACAUAGAACUUGUAAAUUCACAUUAAGUGUAAAAUAAAACAAAAAAUAUGUAAAUCACACAAAAAACUAGUAAAUUAAUGAAAAAAAUGGUGAAUUAAUGUUGGAAUUGUAAUUUGCACGAAGAACUUGUAAACAAAACAAAAACUUAUAAAAAUGACAUAGAACUAGUAAAUUGACAUUAAUUGUGAAAUAAAACAAAAAAUGUGUAAAUCACACAUAAAACUAGUAAAUUGAUGAAAAAAUGAGUAAAUUAAUGCCGGAGUUGUAAUUUGUACGAAGAAUUUGUAAACAAAACAAAAAUUUAGAAAAAUGACAUAGAACUAGUAAAUUCACAUUAAGUGUGAAAUAAAACAUAAAAUAUGUAAACCACACAUAAAACUAAUAAAUUAAUGGAAAAAUAGGUAAAUUAAUGUUAGAGUUGUAAAUUGUAAGAAGAACUUGUAAAUAAAACAAAAACUUGUAAAUGUUGCAUAAAACUUGUAAAUCAACAUUAACUUGUAAAAGUUUCAUAAAACUUGUAAAUCACACAUAAAAUUAGUAAAUGUAACUUGGAACUUGAACAAAAAAGAGUAAUUACCUGCUACUUAGGUAACAAAUUACCUAUUUAUUUAGAAUUAAUGGUAGAAAUUUUUUAUUCAAAUCUAACGGUCCACGUCCAUUACGGCAUCAAUGCCGUAAAUUUAGUUACGGCAUUAAAGAAUGACCCUUAAAAAUAUUAUCUUGGGUGGAUCCCGCCCCUAAGCAUAAGUGAUGGGGAAGUUAGCUGCCAGCCGGGCCCCACGACUCAUGCAAUUCUCUAAUGCGUAAUUUUGCCGUCCGAUUAUUGUUAUACUUCAAAAUGGGCCAUGGGUUUGUUACUUACAAAAGAGAGUUGGGGUCUGAUUGGAAAUACUUGCAAGAUGUUUCAAAAAUGAUUUUGAAAAGUUAGUAGUUAAUUUAGGUGUUUGAUUUUUUUUCUUAAUUCCUUUGGAGAAAAUUAUGCCAUGUAAAUUUUAAAAAGUAAAAAAUGAGUAACUUUUUUGAAAUCUAAUUUUGACAAUCAUUUUUUAUAUUUAAUAUAAUUUCAUAUAUAUCUUCACAUAUAUUAUAAAAAUUUAAAAUUAUCCUUAUUAAUUAGAAAUAAAAUUAUUAAAUUUAAAGAGACUAUUAUUAUUGCCAAUUAUAUUGAGAUAACAAAAUAAAAAUAAAAUUAAUAAUAUAAAAUAUUUUUUUUAGCUAUCAAAUAUUAUAUAUACACAUUAAACAAAUAUUUUACAAACAUGUUUAUAAAUCUGUUAAUAAAUUUUAUUCAACAUUAUGUCCAUUUCAGUCGUUUAUAUUCUUAUAACAGUUGAACAGUAAGAUUUAUCAAAUACAUAUGACUGCUUUUAAAACCUAUAAUACUUUAAAAAUAAAUCUUACUAAACAUUUUAUUAAUUCCGUUCACAACUGAUUAUUUUGACAAUGCAAUUAACAAUAAUUAUUUUAAAAGAUACAACAUUAUUAAAGUGGUCCUUAGUUUCUCGGGCUUACUCCUAAUAUAGGAAUGAGAUUCUUUUGGGCUCUCUUUUUAUGAGAUUUAAUUUUUAUUAUGUGAUUUUGUUGUUUUUCGUUAAUCGGUUGUCAAUUAAUUGCGUUUUAGAAAUAUUUAUCUUUUUAGUUUUUAAGGAUUGCAUUGGAAAUUUUUUAAUAAAAAUGGUUGAAUAUGACCAAGUAAGUAAUAAUAAAUUAAUUAAUUAAAUUAGCAUUGUUUACAGAUAGCGUACGCAGAGUUACGGAAUCCAAGAAAUAUACUAAGUUAAUUAUUGUAUUCAAUUUUUUUACGAGGCCUUCAUCUUAGUAAUGCUAAGGCAUUUCUAAUAUCAUCAUUUUAUUGUCGCUGGAGACUUGCACUGCAUGCAAUAAAUCCUGGAAUCAAAUUUGAUGUAAAACCUUAUUAAACCCAAAAUCCAAAUUUGAUGCAAAUCCUAUUAAAUCCAAAUUCAAUAAAAUCACAUAUUAUUGUAUACCGUUCUUUUACCUCUAACCUUCACCAUCACCAUCGGCGUAUCGGAGUAUGUAGAGACUCAAAAUAUGGAUCUAAAGAUUGUACUAUACUUUUUGUUAGUGACAGUAUCGAAUCACGUCACGUGCUUCUUUGAUCAUUAAUUGGAGAAACAUUUGAAAGAAAAAAAAUAAGUUAAUUUUUCGUUUAAUUGUCUCCAACAUUUCAUUAGUAUUUAUCUAUAGAUAUAGGUGAGGUUUACUAGGUUUACUUUGGCUAUAGAUUUUAAGACGGUAUAAAAACUAUGCUUGUCAAGGCAAAAAAGAAAGGUUACAGAAAGAGAUUAUGAAAAAAAAAAAAUCUUUGAAAAUGUUAUUAUAUUUGUACAAAAACUAAAAUCAUAUAAAGUUUAUGUCUCUUUUUACCUACUCACGACUAAUAAUUUUAUGCCUUCUUACAAAAUAGUUAUAACUAAACCAAAUAAAAAGAAUAUCACUGAAAUUUAUAAGUAAUAAAUAUUCCCGUAUUUAGAUACCCAUGAUUGCUGAUUUAGGAGUCGUAUAGUCAUUUUUUCAAAAUGCUACAGCAGGACAAAGUUUCUCACUACAGCUCCAUAGUGUAGUUCAUCUGUUAACUAGAAAUGCCUAUACAUAGAUAUAUAUAUAUAUAUAUAUAUAUAUAUAUAUAGAGAGAGAGAGAGAGAGAGAGAGAGAAGUUUUUUAUCAACUUGUUAACAGUUGCUCUUUGGUUGGCACGAAGCUAACAAAUGCUGUGCCUAGUUUCCAUCCGAAGGCAAUUACACUGUAGAUGAUGUUUCUCUCGCUUACAUUGUUGGUGCUGCUUGCUCUCCGAAUCUUGGACCGUGUGAUGAGAUGGAUGAUUGGAAGCCUUUUCCUGAUGGAAUUCUACCGGAAGAAAUUACUACAAGUGACGAUGAACGUGUUGUGUACAUAUGCUUUCGUGAGGCUUCUGAGGUGAGAACAAUUGAACGGUGGGAAGUUGAGCAUUGUUGCCGUAAGUCAAUUAAGGUAGGGUCAAGCAAGAAGUGUCGAGACGAUUAACGAAGAUGAUCAGCAGCCUGUUCGGAAUAUUAUUCAUGAAUUUUGGCUCAUUGACGGGACUUCUUAUAUUGGUUGUGUUUAGUUUUCACCUGCCGACAAGGUUCAGUACACAUACUUGAAUAAAUUCAGUUUAACAUUUCAACUACGACCAUGAAGUACCCGUACAGGUUGCCACCUUGAGACUCAGUGUGUAAAAUUAAGAAUGAAGGUGCUUGAUGGAAAUGAUGAAGUGUACUAUGAAAUGCCACAGUGAGGUUAUUUUGGUGGGAAGACGAUAAUUAGAAUUUAGCAGCUCAAGGUACUCUCGAAUCAGCUAAACAAACACCCUCUAGAAGAGCUCUAUAGAAUACACUAGAAUACUGAAGAUGAAGCCAUGAAAGAUUGUGAUUCAUCAAGCUUAAUAGCAAAAUGUAUCAAGAGUUCUUAUUUCUAAUUGUAUCAAUCUAGACCCAAUCCUAGCCAUUUAAAAAAUAAUAAAUGCAAUUUAGUGUAUAAGCUUAGACUAAAAAGCCUGCAAAAUCACUUGCUGGAAAAGACAAAAUGAAUUUAUCGUAUUUGUGCGUUUUUGUUCUUUGUUUCUAGUUAUUCAUUUACUGCUUUUUUUUUUAACUGGACCGUCGAUGAAAACAUUUCAUAACUUGUGAUAUUAUCAUUUUAAAAUAAUAUAUAUGAUACUCAUCCAUGAAUGAUGAGAUAGUUUAAUUCAUAAAAUGUUUCAAAAAUUGUAAAAAUUUAUUAUUCACUUAAUAAGAAUCACAUGACUUCGAAACAGUUCCUUUGGUCCUUGCAUUCAUUAGCUGCUAUGCUAGUGCUCAUCAGUUGAGAAGAUGAAUGGGAUUAAUUGCUUUGAAUUUCCCAAAGUUGAAUCUCUUUCUUCUUCCACUCUAUUUAAAGCCUUCACCCCAUCAACUUGUUAUCGAUGGACUGUUUUUAAUUUUGACCUGCACGUAAGAUACAGAACCUGAGGAUGAUAGCCAAUUAGCCAUGAAAUAAAUUACAUAAGGUCGUUUGAUAUUAAUUUCCACUAGCAUUUGAAAUUUAUUUCCGUUUUCAGUUAUCUGAUCAAUUUUGAGAAACACAUAUGCAAUGUGGUUUCUGUUUUAGUUAAAUUUUAAAUUAUUCAUGGAGUAGUACUUAAAAAGAAAGUAACUUUGAGAAGAAUGGGCAAAUAAGGUAAUUCUGUUAUCACUCUAAUUCUCAAUUUAUAAUCACAUAAUUAUAGGCUCAAUUUGUCUCCUAGCCGUUGGAGUCAAUCGUGCAGCUGUAAAUGAGAUAAUUUACUUUCCAUGCAAGGUUAUAACAUUUAAUAGAUGAUUUGUUGCCAGACUUGGUUAUAACAUUUUUCAAAAUCCAGGAGUGAUUGAUGCAAAAUUUAAUGUCAUUGAUUCUGAAAAUCCUUUAGGAUGUUUCUCUUUAUAUAAAACACAAGUGUAAAAAUUAUUCACCCUGCACUCGACACAAAGAUAGUUAAAAAAUGAGCAUGAAAUUCUUAGGUAUACAAAUUGCAGUAGCAUUUACAUUUACGUUCUCACCUUGACCAGCAAAAUUAAUGGCUUUAGAAUUGAGCUCACCCCAAGAACCUCCAUUGAUUCGGCUCUGUUUCCCAAAGACCUUUCUCCAGAAGAAAUACAUCACAGAAUUGCUCAACUCUCCAGAGCUCGCGCUAUUCAUCUUAGAUCCAAUCAAGAACCCGAAACACUAAAAGCACCUGUUCCUCCUUCUCCUUUUGUUAACACCAAUAUAUACAUAACAAAGAUAUCCAUUGGCUCAACACAGUUCUCACCUUACUUGAUAGUGGAUACCGGUAGUGAUGAUACAUGGCUUCAAUGUGAGGGUUGCACAAGUUGCUUUCCAAUCAAGGGAGGAAGCUUUCCUGUCAAGGAAUCAAAAACUUAUCGCGGCUUAGCUUGUGAGCACGCUUUGUGUCCCCAAAUUGUGUAAUAAAGGUCUAUGCUCAUACGAUUGGAAGUACAAAGAAGGCAGUGGAACUAAGGGUGUGCUUUCGUCCGAAAGUUUCACUUUUCCUGGGGAUAAAAAUACAAGCCUAACAUUUGCAAAUGUAACCUUUGGUUGUGGCUAUGACAAUCAGAACGUAUCAUUUGGUGGAUACAUGGGAAGUGACAAUAUAAUUGCGGGGGUGUUUGGUUUAGGGGCAGGGCAACGAUCAAUCCUGAGGCAAUUGGAGCCUGAGACCAACCUACAUUUCUCUUACUGUCUUCGCUUGUACCCCACAACAGACGGGAGCAACACUACUUACUUGCGAUUUGGCCCUGAUGCUCAGAUAAAAGGAGACAAUAAACGAAAAGUUCAGACAAUAAAAUUGAACCCAAGCCUACCCGGGUAUUUUGUGAAUGUUACAGGUAUUAGCGUUGAAGGAAAACGACUAGAAAUAGACCCAGCUUUGUUUCAGCUGAAACAAGGAGGCUCUGGUGGAUUUGCUAUUGAUUCAGGUGUUGGACCCACUCUUCUUGUUCCUGAGGCAUAUGAAGUCUUGAAACUAGAAAUCCUCGAAUUCUAUUUGGCGCGAGGCUUUCAUCCUGUAAAAGUAUUGCAUGUGCCGUAUGAUCUUUGCUAUGCUAUUACACCUGCAGCUAAUGCUGAUGCUAGUGUUUUCUUCCCGUCAAUGGUAAUCCAUUUCGAAGGGGCUGACCUUUUUCUGGAUGAUACUGCUGUGAUGGGGUUCGUUGCUCCUCAAUUGUUCUGUUUGAUUUUCUUGCCUACGCAUCCAUCCGGACCGAAUCUUCUGGGGGCAUUUCAGCAAGAAAAUCAAAGGUUUUUGUUUGAUGUUGGAAAAUCUACUGUGUCAUUUGUUUCUGAGACAUGUAAUGAGCAAGAAUAAGAUUAUGUGACUCUAAAAAAAUUGCAGGCUUUUCAAAAAUUUUUUUUUUCUUUUUCUUCCCAGAUUGUCAGCUUCUUUGGAUUCAGGUCCUGCAAUUUUAAAGGCCUGAUCAGUACUCAAUUUUAGACAUAGCAGGUGUUAAAAAUGAGACUGAUGCAAUAUUUAAUUACGAAUUCUCCAAAUUUGAACCCUACGUAAACUUGAUUUAGAUAAUCAUGAUGUAAGAAGCAAUAAUGAUACAUGAUUAGGUGUACAAAAAGUUAUCGUUAAUGUAAAUAUAGAAAUUUGUAGAACUGGCAGUCGCAGCUCAUCAUGAUUAGUUGUGCAAUACCUUUAAUGGUAAAGCAUUAAUGAAAUUCUAUAAAGACUAAAAACCAUUUAAACCAAAAGAUAUAGAUUUGAUUGCCGCUCACAUGGGUGGGAAAGGGAGUAGAUUACUAUUAAGCCUAAUAAUAAUAAUAAGGAGCCCCUACGUUACGAUUAACGUAACGUACACUCACACACAGCAACAGUACCAAUUCAUUCAAUUCCUCAAUACCCAAAAACGCUGAUCUAAGCUUGCUUUAGAAAAGAUAAUUAUUAGGUAAGAAACAAUGAUACAUGAUUGGUGGUGUAUAAACAUUUAUCAUUUGUGCAAUAAUAUUGAAACUUGAAACACUGAUAACAUGAUUAGUUGUACAAUAUCUUAACGUUAAUGCAAUUUUAAAAAGAGUAAAGAGCAUUUAAAUGCAAAAUCAGCACCAAUUCCUCAAAAGCCAUUUGUUCUUCUGUAUAUCCAUACAAAAUUACAAAUGAUGCAACAAUGUUCUUGCUACUCACAAAAUAUAGAGAUUAUAGCUGUGAAACCCUUUGAUUUACAGCUACAACGGGUGGCUGCAGUUGCCCUUUACAUUUACAUCCUCACCGAGUUCAUGAGUACAACUUAUAGCUUCGAAAUUGACCUCAUUCCAAGAACCUCCAUUGAUUCAAAUCUUUUCCCCAAACACCUUACUCAUGAAGAAACAUAUCAUAGAAUUGCUUCACUUUCGAGAGCUCAUGCUCAUCAUCUCAGUUCCAUGAAUUCUGCCAAAUCCUCCCGAAAACAAAGCACACCCCGAGCCUGAUCAGUGGAUGCAACCACCAACUUUUUCUUUUCCUUUUGCUAAUAUAUAUGUAACAAAGGAUCGAGUUAAUUGGUUCAAGACAAUUCUCACCUUACCUGGUUAUGGAUACUGGUAGUGGGCUAUAUGUGACUUCAAUCUGAAAGAUUGAUUAGACAUUGAUCCGGCAUUGUUUGAGCUAAGCCGUGGCAGUUCAGGUCGGGUUUGCUAUUGAUUCACGCGUUGGACUGAUAAUUCAGGUUCCUGCUGCAUAUAAAGUUUGAAAGCUGAGAUGAUCAAGCACGUUGUUAUACAAAAUGGCUGGCAUCUCGUAGAGGCAGAGAAUUCAAAGAAAAUUCCAUAUGACUUCUGCUUUUGGGUCACACCAACUGGCAUUAAUGAUUCAAAACCAUCAAUGACAAUCCAUUUUGAGGAAGCUGAUCUUGUUCUGGAGCCUAAUGCUGUGUCUCAGAAAGUUGGUGAUCCCUUAUGAAUGAAUGUUAUCCCCAGCUAUCCUAAUGGACCAAAUCUAUUAGGGGCUUCUCAGCAGGCAAACAACCAUUUCUUGUUCGAUGUUAGAAAAUUUAUUUUGUCAUUUAUUACUGAAAAAAGUAAUGAAUAGGUAGGUUACAAGGUUAAAAUGUAAUGACUGGGUAGAUUAUAAGGUUAUCAAACAGAAUAAUUAGAGUUAUCUGCAUGAACAUAUAUAAGAUAUGUAUGACAAAAUUCCAGAGGCUAACUCUUAGACUACAAUAUUUCGGUUGAGGUUGAAUCAAUAAUUUAUCCAACUCCACAGCAUUCCAUCAUAUAUUUGUAAAACUCUUGGACUAUGAGACGGGCAAUUUAGUAAAUUGAACAUUAAUUAAAUGAAACAUACUUACAAAUAUAUUUAUGUAGAUAUAUUUCAUUAUUAAAAUUAUAAUUCAUACAACACAUCAUUUACACAGUUACGUGCCACUAAAAUUCUCGUUCGUCUUAACUAUGUUACAAUACUGUCAUCAUCAUCAUAUGAGUUUUUGUUUUACCGUCAAAUUAUGAUUGAAAUUUUGACCAACCUAUCUUCUUGUCACUGUUGGUGUACCGUCACCACAGUUUGUUGAGAAUCAAAUAAAACGGGAUUGAAUGAAGUUUUCAAAGACAUAAUCCGCACUUGUCAAAAGGAUAAUCUGCACUUGUCAAAGACAAGAUCCACGCCGAACGGAUUGAAACAUUUCCUUCCGUAUUCACAUAUGUAAACUUUGAAAAAAAUGUAGUCUCUGCAUCUAUAAAUAACUCUCAGUGUAUAAUGUUUUAAUUAAGAAAUGAAAACAAGUUUCUUCAUGGUAUCAGAGCCAUGAAUACGCUCAAGUUUCUUCACGUUUUGCUGCUCUGUUUGCAACAAAAACAGAGGAAACCAAAUUCUUCCCACAACCAUCUUUCCCACCAUUUUUCUUCCUUACAACCAUUCCUACCAUUUCAGAAAUCCAUGCCGAUCAAAAAAACAAGCCACCUAUACGUAAAAAACUUGAGUUUACAAAUUUAUCAACAAUCCUAUAAAUUUUCCAAGAGUGUGUUCCUCAAGAACCAAGAAUACCAUUAAAUUUCUCAGUUUCCAGUAAGUAAACUGUAAAAGUUUCGCAUUUAAACACAUUUCCACGCGCUCCCACGCACCACCCGAAACCACACCCAGUCAACCACUCGCCUCUGUCAUCUUCACGCGCUCCCACGCGCUCCAGAGGUUGAAGAAGACUUCAACCGACAUGUCGUUGUUUAUCUCCAGAGUGCAGCAGUCAUAAACGACAUGUCGUUUCGUAUUACAUUGAAACCGACAUGUCGUUUGUAAAGUAGAGACAAACCGACGUGACGUUUAAUUUCCAGAGGUGCAGCAGUCCUAAAACGACAUAUCGUUUCUAUUCCAUCAGAACCGACAUGUCGUUUUUUCAAGCAGAGGCCAAACGACUUGUCAUUUUUUGAUCUAAAAAGGUUAUUUUUUUUUCUUCUUUCAAUCUAGACCCCAAAAAAACAAAAAAAACAAAAACAAAAACAAAAAAAACAAAAAAAAGGAAAAGGAAAAGGAAAAAAAUAAAAAAAUGGAGAAAACUCCAAUUGAAUCUGCUCAUGUUGUCAUUCAAUCUGUUCAAUCUGAUGGAGUAUUUAAUGCUGGAAUUAUCCUCACUGAGACAAACUACGAUGUUUGGUCUCAAAUAAUAGAGAUGCAUCUUGCAGAAAGAGAAAAACUCUCAUAUAUUCGUAACAACACAAAGUCAUCUGAGGAAUCUUCAAAGGAAUAUGAGAAAUGGUAUAGUGAGAACCAAAAAGUAAAAAAAUGGUUACUCAUAUCCAUGUCUCCGGAGAUCAUGAAGCGAUAUUUACGAAUUCCUACAGCCUACGAAAUCUGGGAUGCAUUAUCAAAAGCCUUCUAUAAUGGAAGCGAUGAAUUACAAGUUUUCACUCUAAACCAGAAGGCAUUCUCUAUCAAGCAAAAUGGACAACCACUCUCUAAAUUCUACGGAGAAUUGAUCAAAAUAUUUCGAGAACUUGAUCACCGAGAUAAAGUGGUCAUGAAGGAUCCAGAAGAUGUUGUAAUAUACAGAAGGUCUGUUGAAAGAUUGAGAGUGCACAUUUUUCUUGCUGGGCUAGAUGAAGAAUUUGACCAAGUUCGUGGAGAAAUUCUACGAAAAGAUAUUAUCACAGACUUAGAAGAGUGUUAUUCUCUUAUCCGAAGAGAAGAUGUACGGCAAAGCAAACUAAACAAGAAGGUCGACUCAGAAACGUCUGCUAUGAUAGCACGACAGCAGCCUCAAAGGAAGCUUGUUGACAAGUCAUCACUCAAUUGCACUCAUUGUAGAAAGAAGGGUCAUACGAAAGAACAAUGUUUUGAAAUCAUUAGAUAUCCUGACUGGUGGGAUACUCGAAAGAAGAACACCAAACAUGGAUCAAAAACUGCAGUAGCUGAAUCCACAUCCACUACAGAUCUUAGAAAAGAAUCUUCAGUGCAAAUCGCAACCUCUAUCAGUCUAAGUAAGGCCCUUAAAACUCUUACACCUGUUAUUAAUAGUACAUGGAUAAUUGAUUCUGGGGCAACUGAUCAUAUGACUUUUGAUUCUCGAUAAGUUUCUCAAUUGAAACCAUCUUCACAAAAACAUAUUUCCACUGCAAAUGGAACCACAACCUCAGUUAUUGGGGAAGGAUCUUUACGACUCACAGAUGAAUUAAAUUUAAACUAUGUGUUAAUUGUUCCAUCUUUAGAUUAUAAUCUUUUAUCUGUGUCUCAAUUAACCACUUACUUAUCAUGUGUUGUAAUUUUUUGGCCCGAUCAUUGUGUGUUUAAGGACAUCCAAACGAAGCAAACGAUUGGUUAUGGUAUUAGACGAGGCAACUUGUACUACUUGGAGAUGUCAUCAACAAACACUGAAAAGCUAAGCCCCACACUAGUCGCAGAUAGUUCCAUAAAAAAAGAGAAAUCAGAAAUUUGGUUAUGGCAUAAACGUUUAGGGCAUGUGUCAUUUGGUUACUUAAAAAAAUUAUUUCCUAAUUUGUUUCUGAAAUUUGAUGUUUGUAACUUUAAAUGUGAUGUUUGUGAACUUUCAAAAAGCCAUCGAACUACUUUUUCAUUGUCCUUAAAUAAAAAUCAAGUUCCUUUCAUGGUAGUACAUUCUUAUGUAUGGGGGCCAUCUAAAGUUUCUACAAUUGGAGGUGCUCGUUGGUUUGUUACAUUUAUUGAUGAUUGUAGUAGAAUGACAUGAAUUUUUCUGAUGAAAUCGAAAGAUGAAGUAAACCCUUUAUUUCAAAGAUUUCAUAAGAUGGUCACGACUCAAUUUCAGGCACAAAUUCGAGUUCUACAUACUGAUAAUGGAGGCGAGUAUAUGAGCACAGCAAUUCAACAGUUUCUGAAAUCACAAGGAUCUGUCUAUCAAACCACUUGUGUGGGGACACCCCAACAAAAUGGCGUUGCUAAACGAAAAAACAGACAUUUACUAGAAGUUGUUCGAGCAUCACUAAUCCAAGCCCACAUGCCAUUAUCUUAUUGGGGAAAAGCACUGGCAUCCGCAGCAUACUUGAUCAACCGAACACCUUCAAGCUCUCUUGGAUUCCAGACUCCUUUCCAGGUUCUGAAUGAUGCAAUUAUGUCACCAAAUGUGCCGAAUUUACCCCCACAUGUGUUUGGUUGUGUUGCCUUCGUUCAUUUGCCGCAACAAGACAAAUUAUCUCCUCGAGCACUACGUUGUGUGUUUGUAGGGUAUGCCUUACAUCAAAAGGGAUACUGCUGCUAUCAUCCACCAUCAAGAAAAAUAUACAUCACCAUGGGUGUCGUCUUUCAUGAAGAUAUCAUGUACUACUUGUCAGAGCCUGAAUUUCAGGGGGAGUAUAAUGAAAAGGAAAUUCAUACUCUUACAUAUCUUCCACCUGAAGAAGGUCAAUCUUCCAUUGAGAUAGUAAACCUUCAAGAUACUGGAAAAGAUAAUGGUGAUGAUUCUCAGGCUAAGAUAAGUGAAGACACAUUUGGGGAGCACAAUAACUCAGACACAACUGCAAUCGAGAAUGAGUCACAUGAAGAAAUACCUAACCAAUCGUCUGCAGAGGAUGUUCCUACCACAAGUCCAAUCAGAAGAAUUCUUCCCUAGCGUCAAAAUAGAGGUAUCCCUAAAACCACAUAUGAGCCUGACUUCUCUAGUAGAGUCAAAUACCCUAUGAGUCAUUUUGUGUCUAACCAUCGCUUGUCAGAAUCAAAUUAGUCAUUUGUGAAUCAAUUAUCUAUUGUAUCUAUUCUUAACAGUGUGCAGGAAGCCUUAAAAGACCCAAAGUGGAAAGCGGCUAUGAAUGAUGAAAUGAGAUCUCUUCAGAAAAAUCAAACAUGGGAACUAGUUGAUCCUCCACCAGGAAAGAAACCAGUGGGUUGCCGAUGGAUCUACACUAUAAAGUACAAAGCAAAUGGCUCUAUUGAACGAUACAAAGCAAGACUCGUAGCUAAGGGUUACACCCAAACCUACGGGAUAGAUUAUACCGAUACGUUUGCACCAGUAGCAAAAAUUAAUACUAUUCGUAUCUUAUUAUCAUUAGCAGUCAACUUGGAAUGGCCAGUGCAGCAGUUCGAUGUAAAGAAUGCUUUCCUCCAUGGAGACUUGUCUGAAGAAAUUUAUAUGGAUCUGCCACCAGGAUGCAGUGGACCAGAACGACUCAAUCAGAAAGUAUGCAAAUUGAAGAAAUCAUUCUACGGGUUGAAGCAAUCCCCAAGAGCAUGGUUCGGGAAUUUCACAAAGGCUAUGGUUCUUUUUGGGUAUAACCAAAGCAGUUCAGAUCAUACCUUGUUCAUUAAAAAACGACAAGGUAAAAUCACUGCCCUUAUUGUCUAUGUGGAUGAUAUGGUAGUUACAGGCAACGAUGAGGAAGAAAGAAAGGCUCUUCAGAAGUACUUGUCGAGAGACUUUGAGAUGAAGGAUUUAGGAGCCUUAAAAUACUUUCUUGGAAUUGAGGUUUCUCGAUCUAAGGGAAGAAUAUUUCUGUCUCAAAGGAAAUAUGUCUUAGAUCUAUUACACGAAACGAGAAUGACAGCUUGUCAGCCUAUUGACACCCCAAUAGAAGAAGGACUGAAGUUUUGUAUUACCUCAGACCAAGUUCCAGUAGACAAAGGAAGGUAUCAAAGGCUGAUUGGAAUAUUGAUGUACUUGUCCCACACAAGGCCAGAUCUUGCUUAUGCAUUGAGUGUUAUAAGUCAGUUUAUGCAUAAUCCCGGAGAACAACACAUGAAAGCAGUAAUGCGGAUCCUGAGGUACCUGAAGACAAAUCCAGGAAAAGGAAUCUUAUUUUCCAAAAAUGAAGAUUACAGCAACAUAGAAGUUUAUACUGAUGCAGAUUGGGCCGGAUCAGUUAGUGAUAGACCCUCUACUUCAGGAUACUUUACCUUUGUGGGAGGCAACCUUGUCACAUGGAGAAGCAAGAAACAACAUGUCGUUGCCCGUUCGAGCGCUGAAGUAGAAUAUCGAGGCAUGGCCCUUGGGGAUAAGCUCUAUCUUAAACGAUUUGGGCUAUCCAUCACAACAACCAAUACAACUAUACUGUGACAACAAAGCUGCACGAGAUAUUGCUCAUAACCCAGUUCAACACGAUCGAACAAAACAUGUUGAGGUAGAUAGAUUUUUCAUCAAGGAGAAAUUAGAUGAAAAAAUCUUAGAACUGCCGAAAAUUCGAUCAGAAGAUCAACUUGCAGAUAUUUUAACGAAGGUCAUUUCAAGCAGGGCAUUUACAAAAUUCCUAGACAAGCUGGGUAUGUAAGACAUCUAUACACCAGCUUGAGGGGGAGUGUUGAGAAUAAAAAAAAACGGCAUUGAAUGAAGUUUUCAAAGACAUAAUCCGCACUUGUCAAAAGGAUAAUCUGCACUUGUCAAAGACAAGAUCCGCGCCGAACGGAUUGAAACAUUUCCUUCCGUAUUCACAUAUGUAAACUUUGAAAAAAAUGUAGUCUCUGCAUCUAUAAAUAACUCUCAGUGUAUAAUGUUUUAAUUAAGAAAUGAAAACAAGUUUCUUCACAGUUUUCUUGAUUGGUGCACUUAAACGUAACGGGGCCAAAGUGGGGUGUAAUAUGUAGAUUCAAGAGAGCUUAAUGGUUAAGGAUUAUAAGUGAGGACUACUAAAUUUUAACGAAAAGAGGAAAAAUUGUGGACUAGUAUGAUUAAAAAGACAUUAAAGAAGUGUGGACUAGUAGUAAGUAACGCAUAUGGAAAGAAGAAAUAAAAAAACAUCAAUGAUCUAGUUAAUUACAUUUGGGUGAUACAUAUUUUGAUAAAUUAAAAUAGUGACACAUAAUUUAAAAAUUCUCGAUCAAGUGACAAUACGUAAAUUUUUAUCAUUAAUUCUAACGAAUGAAGGGAAAAAUUAGAAAAAAAGAUUUAUUUUAGAGUUAACUACACUUGGAUGACACACAUUUUGAUAAAUUUCAAAAUAAUUACACACGUUUUAAAAAUACUUGAUUAGGUCAAAAUCCAUAAACUUUUACUAUUAAUUCUAAUGGAACAAAGAUAAAAUAAAAUAAAAAUAGUUUUUUUUUCAUUUUUCUCUCUCCCCUUCUUCCUUCCUCUUCUCUAGUUUUUUUCUCCUUUCCUCAUCUUCUUCAGUUCAUUUCCUUCUCGUUUUCUCCUUUUUUUUCAUCUUUUCAAUUCGUCCUUUUUUCUCCCUCUUUCUCUCCUUCUUUCUUUGUCUUCUCUAAGCAUCUUCUCCACACCCAUGGCAAAAUAGUAGCCAUGAGUUGCUAAGGUUGACUCAACAAGAAUUAAAAAAAAAAAAUAGUUUGAUUUAACAGAAAAAAAAAAAUCCUUGUUAGUUAGACUGACCUAGAUUCAAUUAUAAGUAAGUAGGUACAGAAACACCAUUUUGCAACUAAUUGUUGGGGCAAAAAUAUUAUUUUCUUAUUAAUUGACUAAUUCCUUUAGUUAACGGAUUAUUCUCUAAUCAAGUAUUUUUUAACGAUGUAACACUUUUUUUAAAUAUGUCAAAACAAGGUCACUGAUGGUAAUUAACUCUAAAUUAAAUCUCUUUUUAUUCAAUUUUAUCCUUGAUAUGUUAGAAUUAACAAUAAAAGCAAUGGAUUGUAUGAUAGAAUAUUUUUAAAAAAUGUGUCAUUAUUUUAAAAUUGUCAAAACAUAUGUCAUUCAAAUGUAAUUAACCCUUUUAUAAUCAUCUAUUAGCUGUAAUGGCUUGUCUUAAUUUUCUGAAGGCACAUGGGCGCCAUGUUCAUUCAAUUGAUAGAAAUUUGGUCUAUUGAUCAGGUGUUCCGUGCCGUUUUUGUCUUGAGAAUUGAAAAUCAGCCUCAACCUGAAAGCGUGUUAGCUUUGAAAAAAAGAAAAAGAAAAAAGCGACACAUCAUUUUCAAGCUGAUUAUAAUUCUUCUUAGUCUGUGUUUCGAUGGGAGAAGAGAAAAAGAGAGAGAAAAGUAAUUUAAAUUUUAUUUUUAUUUUUAUUGCUUGACUGGACAAAAUAUACAAGAAUUUAAUUUCUAUUAAAAUUUAAUAUCUAUCAUAAUGUAAAAUUUGAAUUUCACACCAAGUAAUGAAAAAUUUAAAUUUCUCUUAUGUUGAAAAUCAAAGCUUCUAAAAUUACCUUUCAACUUUUUAACUUGUUUAAUGCCAUUAAUAAUUAUUAUUUAUAAUUUUAUUUUAUCAAUAUAAUACUAUAAAUAAUUUUAUAUUAAUAAAAUUUAAUAAAUGAUUUAAGAGAUUUAACAAAAUAAAUGAACUUAUUUAUUUUAUUUAUUUAAUGCAAAAAUAUAGAAAUAUAAAUUAACUAUUGCCGAAAUUCCACUGGAAUUCAUGUGGAUUGUUGCCCUACCACCAACAGAACACCGCCGAAUGUAUGUAUAUAUAUAAUUCUAAUAAAUCAUGAAUUGUUUUAGAACUUUUUGACAUUAAAAAGGUUUGGUAUUGAUAUUAAAUUAUAUUUCAUUACUAAUGUAGAUAGUUUAGUAUUUAAAGUAAAAGAUAAUUUUUUCCAAAGAAAAAUAAUUAUAAUUUCUUUCCCUAUCAAAUUUUAUGUCAAAUUAAAUAAUAAAUUUUAAUUUCACUAUUCUCCUUCACUCCUUUCUUCUCUCUUCCCUUUCAUUCAAUUCUUUUCCUCUCUUCCCCUUUCUUCAAGCCAAACAUGGCCUUAGUCCUUUCUUCUCCCUUCCCCUUCAUUCAAUUCUUUUCCUCUCUUCCCCUUUUUUUCAAACCAAAUAUGGCCUUAGUAUAAUUUGGCUCUCAGGGCAUAGAAGGAAAAUUGCACGGGUAAGGAAAAAUUUCUCUAUUAAUUUUUUUUCUAAUGAAAUAAACGAUCCAUAUUAAAUUCUGAAUUUGAUAUUAACUAAUUUUUUCACUACAUUUAGAAAAUUAUGAGAGAAAAAUAAUAAUAAUAAUAGUAAGAAAGAAUCAUAAUCUAUAUUGCACAGGUUGUCGCAGUGACUCGUGAGUCGUGUGUCGUUUUUCGUGGGCGGGUGACUUGGAUUUGGCCUCAUAUGUCACUGCUCGCGUCAUCUGAAUUUCUCUUUCAUAAUCUAUAUUGCACAUAAUAACAGCGAUUAAUUAAGAAGCACUGAAGCACAAAGCCGCAAACCAGAUUUGUCAUCAAACCUAGUAAUUGCAGAUUACAAAGCUUGUACCAACAACCAAAAAUGAGCUGGUGGUGGGCUGGGGCAAUUGGCGCUGCCAAGGUACAGACUUAUAAUUAGAUCAUCUCUUUCAAUUGCUGUGCUUGAAAAAUUUAUUCUUAUUAGUUCAUAUUUUUAAAAUCUUGAGUUUAAUUUUCAUUUUAAAUUACAGAAGAAAUUCGAAGAAGAUGAGCGACCACCGCAACCUCAAGACUACCAGCACGUGGGACUCGUGAUAGGCAUUACGGGAAUUGUGGGAAACAGCCUAGCUGAGAUUUUGCCCCGACAGGAUACUCCCGGGGGCCCGUGGAAGGUCUACGGAGCGGCCCGACGCCCCAGGCCCGACUGGAACACCGAUCACCCGAUCGAGUACAUCCAAUGCGACGUUUCCGACCAGGACGACACGCAGGCCAAGCUCACAAAACUCACCGACGUCACCCACAUCUUCUACGUGACGUGGGCCAGCCGUCCCACGGAAGCCGAGAACUGCGAGGUCAACGGCACCAUGCUUCGCAACGUGCUCCGUUCCGUUAUCCCGAACGCGCCAAAUCUCCGCCACGUCUGCCUCCAAACAGGAGCGAAACACUACUUGGGACCGUCCGAGUCGUUCGGCAAGAUACGGCCUCACGACACUCCUUUCACCGAAGACCUGCCAAGACUGAAUGUGCCAAACUUUUAUUACACUCAAGAAGACAUACUGUUUGAAGAAGUUGAAAAAAGAAAGGGGCCGUUGCCAUUGACUUGGUCCGUACACCGGCCUCAUUUAAUAUUUGGGUUUUCACCGUACAGUUUGAUGAAUGUUGGGGGCACUCUGUGUGUGUAUGCGGCUAUAUGUAAACAUGGAGGGGUUCCUUUACUGUUUCCAGGGAGUAAAGAUUGUUGGGAGGGCUACUCGAUUGCGUCGGACGCGGAUUUGAUUGCGGAGCAACAGAUUUGGGCGGCGGUGGAUCCGUAUGGGAGAAACGAAGCUUUUAACUGCAGCAAUGGGGAUGUUUUUAAGUGGAAGCAUUUGUGGAAAGUGUUGGCUGAGCAGUUUGAGAUUGAGAAUUAUGGGUUACCACAGGAGGGCGAGAGAGUGAGAUUGGAGGAAAUUAUGAAAGGUAAAGAAGGUGUGUGGGAGGAGAUCGUGAGAGAGAAUCAGCUGCAGCCCACAAAGUUGAGUGAGGUGGCUGUCUGGGGGUUUGCAGAUAUGAUGUUAGAUGGAGGGUUUUUGUGGUUGGGUAGUAUGAAUAAGAGCAAGGAGCACGGAUUCUUGGGCUUCAGGAAUUCUAAGAAUUCUUUCGUUUAUUGGAUUGACAAGAUGAAAACUUACAGGAUUGUGCCUUAAGAGGAGUGAUACUCUUGUGAAGGUUGUAAUUGUUGUUUGGUGAGUAAAUGGUUAUUAUGUUUCAUUAUCAUGAUUCAUGUAACUGUUUGAAAAAUCAAUGGUUUUUGGUCUGAAGUUGGAAAAUCUACAGUCUCGUCGCAUCUGUUUAAUAAAAAUAAAUCGGAGGCUUUUUAAUUUCUGUUUCUUUGUGUUCAUCAGUUCAUCCCGGCCUUUCUUUCAUCUUUCCUUGGUACACCAACCAGUUGUAAUAAUUGCACAACAAAACUGAUAGUGUUACAGAGAUCUAUUUAUGGCUAUGCUUUGGUUAAUGAAAAAACUAAUGUAUACGACAUAAUUUGUGGCAGUGGGGGCCUGCGUUCGCGCGGCCCCCUCCCCAACUCAUUUAAAAUUUUGAACUAUUUUUGUGCGCCAUUAUCUCAACGGCUAUCUCUCAACUUACAACUAUUUUUGUGCGCCAUUAGCAGCCUCCUUAUUCUAAGUGAGUUUCAUAAUCCUGAUCAGACUGAAAAUCUUUUGUACAUUGUCGUCUGGUUGUGACUAGUGCCCUAACGGUGUUACAAUCAGAUCUCUGCCGAAGUCAAUGCGUAUCUUAGUAUACUUACCUAAUAAGAUCCUAAUUAAGGUUUAUUUUAUUAUUUAAAAAUUAAAAAAAAAAACAAACUGAAUAAUUAUAUUUGCUCACCUAAACGUUAGGCCCCAUCUUAAUAUAUAGUUCCACUAAAAAAUUAGUUUUUCUUUAUUUUCUUGUUUAAAAUGUAGGAUUUUAAUUUUUUUCAAUUAUUUAACAUUAAAUCUUGAUUGAAUUUAGACCUCACUGAGAUUUAGUUAAGGAUUAUUCUCUAUUUUUAAAGUUAAAUUUCCAUCAAAUAAGGUUGUUUAAUGAUUUCUACUUUUAAAAAAAAUCAAGGCAAUUAAAAAUUAUUAUGUAGAAAAUUUGUUAAGGAUUUAUAUUUUUUUAAAAAUAAUCAUACAUAUUUAUCAUAAAAAAUUCAAUCAAUCUCAUGUUAACCUUUUUUUUUAAAAAAAAAAAAUUUUCCUAAGACCUAAAAUUUAAUUGCGCCGACCCUAACCCACAGUUUAGGAUGGAUAGAUUUUGUUGUUUUUUUUUCCAUAUGACGGUAUUAAGAUUGUGGAUACAUGCCUUAAAUGGACUUAGACCCUUAUUACCCUACGACGUGUAUCGCCUAAAUUGACUAUAAAUAAAAUAAGGCUGGAAAUGUAUUUAAUAUUCUAAAAGCUUGUCCGAAAUUGGCUAGAAAUAAAAUAAGAGCAGAAAUGUAGUUAACAUACUGAAGCUGGUAGCUGCAUCUAAAACUUUCCAACGGCUAGUCUUCUAUGUCUAACAUUCAAGACCCUGCUCAAGAAUGAUAGCAUUUACCAAUCACACGCUCAUUAAAUAAAUCAUCUUACCAAAAGCACUUUCAUUUUUGUAAUAAUACAAUUUUAUUAUUGUAUAUUAAAUUAAGUGCAAAAACUAAAAAAAAUCAGUUAUUGGGAGAUUAUGGACCCUUGGAGAUCCAUUGUUAUUAUUCAGAGAGGGGAUGAAGAUCCCUCAAGCAAUUCUGACAAGGACGGGAUCAUAUGCGGAAUAUUGGGAAUGGGUACAUGGAUUUCGACCUCCUCUUCUCCUCUCCCCAUUACCAUUUAAGGUUUAAACGAUAAAGGAAGCAUGUUGAUUUUAUCAUGAUUAAGUAAGUAUGCGUGUCACAGGUGCAAUCAAGCUUUGGAAAAUCAAUUGUAAUGGUUUGAUGUUGGAAAACCUUCGUUCUGCCAUCUCUUUUAUUACUUGUUAUGAGCAAAAAUUACUUGGAAACCCUUGUACUACCCAAAUAGAAGUCAUGUUUGUUGGUUAGAUUUCCAGCUAUGUAUUACUUUGUUGUUUGUUAAUAGCAAAUAAAUAAUUAAACGUGUUUGGGGAAUUAAAUAAGGUGACCAUGAUCUCCUCCAAUUAAAAGUGAGCAAAUAGAUGAGCAGAACACCUCGAUCAGGUGGUAAUUCUUGAGACCAUGAGCAGACCACCCCGACUAGAUGGUAAUUAUUGAGAUCAUGAGCAAACCAUCUCGACCAGGAGGCAAUUCAAGUGAUUGUGAGUAGAUGGGUUUGAGGAGACCAAAACCAGGUCGGUCCACAGACCCCAAUUAAGUUUUAUUGACGAGUUCCCUUUGAAAAUUCGGGCAUGACGUCCAUGCAUGGCCAGUUGUUAUAAUUACAACUCAAUAACUACUAUGUAACGGGCGCAUUAACUCAUGAUUCAAGCGGCGCAUUCAACCCAGUAACGCCAACGCAUUGAAGAUGGUAUGAUAAUUUCGGAUGCCUAUAAAAGUACUAAAAAAUCCAAAGGGAGGGGGUGACUUUUCUCUCUCUAUGAUAUUUUUUACUCUCUUCAGAGUCUUCAUUCAUCUUUAUAGAAAAAUAAAAAACAGUUUAUUUUUUUUAGUUUUAUUUUGGUAAACCCAUAAACUGACUUGAGCAUUGAAGGGUUCAUGCUGUAAAAGCUUAUGGUGCCUCUUACCGUUCUCUAUUAUUUCAGGUGUUCGCAAAUUAUUUACGAGUGGUUGCAAGGUAUUCUUGACGAUUGGGCAGCCGAUUCUCCACCAAAUAAAUUUAAUGCUGGUGCAGAAGUCUAGUAUUCAGUCGCUAAUCAACUCAAUUGGAUUUCAGCAUCAACAAAACAAUUUUACGUCAUUCUCAAACUUCAAUAAAAUUGAGCAUAUAUACAAAAUAAAAUUGACCAAAUAUUUCAAAUUUUGAGGAUCAACAUUAUCUAUCAUAGACAACAGCUAGCAAUACAUAAAGGCAGCUACCAAUGUAUAAGAGGAUAAGAUCGAUCAACAAAAGGGUGGGGUUCCACGAGGGCCAGGUCGCCCGCCGACCAUUGGUCCACAACAGCUCUCAAAAAGUGCAGCAGUAGCGCAGCACAUAAAUACUAGGGAUGGCAAACAGCGGGCCUGGGCCGGGCUUUUUCAAGCCCAUGUCCAAGCCCUCUGUCAGCUAAGUGUACAGGCAUGGGCCGGUCCAGGCCCAUUGCGGGCAUGGGCCGGUCCAGGCCCAUUGCGGGCAUGGGCCGGUCCAGGCCCAUUGCGGGCAUGGGCCGGUCCGGGCCCAUUGCGGGCCUGGGCCGGGCUUGGGCUUUAUUUAUUUAUUUUAAAUUUUUUAAAUUAUUGUAAAUUUGAAAUAAAUUAAUGAUCAACAAGUUAUUACAAUCAUAGAUAAAUUAAAGAAAAUGAAUAUUUCAAAUUAAAAUAAUAAAUAAAGCAAAUAAAACUCAUAAUUUUAAUUUUCUUUAAUACUAGAUUUUCUAAUUCAAACGCUCUCUUAAUUAAUUGACACAAAAGAGAGAAUUUAGUAUCAUAAUUUUAGUUUUUUUGAAUCAUAAUUGAUUUAUAAGUUAAGAAUUUAAGUUUUCUUCUUUUAUUUUUAAAUUACUUUUCAAUUUUAAUCAUAUUAUUCUAAUUUAUAAAAUUAUUUUUUUAAAAAAAGUAGUGGGCUUGGGCUUUGUCCGGGCUUUUUUUCUUGGGCCCUUGUCCAGGCCCUCAUGGGUGAGGGCCGGGCCUAAGCCCGCGGGCCUGGGCUUGGGCCGGCCCGGGCUUUUUUGCCACCCCUAAUAAAUACUAUUACAAUAAUUAAUAAUGCCCUAAAUAAGUACCCAAAAAAAAUCAAGACUUUUUUUGUAGGGAUAGCGAGGGCUCGAUUCAAUUUGGUUUGCUUCUGGAUCGAACUAAACUGAUCAAUUUUUGUCCAAUCUAUAAACCAAAUUGAAUUGAUUCGGUUUGAUUUUUAUAGUUUUGAACUGUAAAUUCUUUUACAUUUUGUAGUUUUUUCAAUUUCGAUUUUUUUAACCAAUAGGGUUUUCUUAAUUUUUUAAAUCACACCGACGUAGAUUGAACCAAAUCAUCGGUUCGAUUAAAUUUUUUCUUGGCAUCAGUUUUUAUACCCGCCCCUAAUUUUUUUGUAUCACCCAAUUCAAUUAAAGUUACCAUAAAGAAAUAAAACGGAAAAUACCACCAAAAAAAAAAUUCAAAGUAACCACACUCGGCCCUCCUAACAACGAACCCCAGCCUAGCAGCAUCUUCUUAUCUCUCCCUAAUUAGAAUGCAAUGCAAGGAUAUAUAUACGCUGAUGGUUAUUGAUCAAGCAGAUGUAGAAAAUAUACAGUGGUGUCUGUGCGCGCGCGCGCGUGCGCGUGUAGAUUCAAGAAAGCUUAAUGGUUAUGGAUUAGAAUUGUGGACUAACAAAUGGAGAAGGUAAAUGGAAUUUGUUUAAUUUAUACAGCCUGAUGUUCCGCAUCGAUAAUGAAAGACUAGUAAGUACUAAGUAGAAAGAACCAUUUAUAUAUAUAACCCAGUGAUCGAAGUUCAAAUUGUUCAUGACACUUCGAUAGGAACAGGUGAGUCAAGUUGAUGAAAAGGUAAACGAAAGAAUGUAAAACAAAAUGUAAAUUCAAAUUUCUCGGUUUUUGCUUCAUAUAUGCAUUAAACACAGAACGCUUCUAUGUUGAUUGUAUGUUAAUAUUUGCAACCAAUCACUCUGUCAACAAUUAAAUGACUCUUUAUAUAUAUUACUAUUAUUCGAAGAAUUCGAGUUUCUCUGCUGCAAACAAUAAUGUUUGGCAAACCUAGGAUUAAUUAGAGUGCUCUAUUUAUAUUUAUUUGUGGGAUGAUUUAUAAUAAGAGAUUUCUUAUAUAUAUUUUAGCUUUCCUUUUGCUAUUGUAGCUGUCUAAAUAUUUUGAGGGGUAAGGCUCACUAUGUCUCCGCUAACUAGGUAUAAAAUAUUUUUGGUUUUUAAUAAAAUUACCUCGCUAGCCAAAUUUCAUUAAAAAAAAAAAUUAUCUAUUUAUUUAUUUUUUAAUGUUAGGAGGUCCCUCAAAAGUUAAAUCGAUCUUUUUAACCCCUAUGACCCUAUCUCUCCAAAUUGUUUAAAAGUUCAGGACUUUUUUUUUUUUGGUUUUGACCACGAGGUAUCCUGGGGAGGGCCCCAACUGUGGGAGGCACCUUUAAGGUCGUACCACAACCCAGACUAAAAGUCCUAAAAGUUCAGGACUUUAAUUCUAACAUAUCUUGAUAAUAUAAUAUGAGUAAUAAAUUGACACUUACUUGGCAAUUUAUUUAAUUAUUAAAAGAUGUCACACGAUUGGCAUUUCGAUGAUUGAUAAACCACAAAGUUAAACAACACUAUACACAUCAUAAUUAAUGAUAUGUGAAACAAUGAUUUGAGACAAACUAUAUAAACCCCAGUUUCGUAAAUGUAAUAUAAUAAAUAAUUAUUAUACAUUAUAUUUCGAAUCCAUCCUUUACACGGUAAGAUUGAAUUAAUAAGUAUCAAGUAAAGUAAUGGUGAAUUAGCAUCAUUUUCAUCCGAUUAAACUUUCAUACAAUAACAAUGAACAAAACCAUCCAAUAAAUCAUAGUUAACUAUCUUAAACAAAUUCCUUAACAAUUAAAACUACCGUCUUCAUUACAUAAACAACAUCGGAGUAAAAGUAAAGCAGCACAGAAAACUCUAUGACAAGGUGGCAACUGGCAUGCAAGAUGAUCACGGAGGUGGUGGGCCGAAAUCAGUUGGACCAGGAGGACCAAGUUGGCCCAUUGGAUCACCAAAGCAGCCUCGUUGCAACCAGCAGCGGCUCACAAAGCUCAAGCUGUCAUAACAAACCCAACGACAAGCAAUCAAAAGCCAGUACUAGCUUUUUCAGCCACUGAGAAUUUUUGUCAGUAUGUCAAUUUUUUCGUGAUUGUUCAGUUGCAUCUAAAGUCCCCAUUUUGACACGUUUUAGUGUAUCUUACACUACCUGAUAUAUCAACGAUGUUUACUUGGAACAUGGAGAAUUUUGAAACCCUCAACACCUAAAUCCGAUGUUUAAUGACUUACCAUGAACCGAUGACGUCACAAAAGCCAACGAAAAAUUAGUACUGUUACCGGCUCUUUAAGCAAAAUUAGUACACGCCAAGGAAAAUAACAAGAGACUUUCACAAGUCCAAACUUGCUCUUGCUUGUAUAUACAGAGAUGCAAAACGUUUUCAUGUUAAAUGGACGUGGUACAAAUGCCAGAAGGUUUCUUGUGUUUAUAGAAAGUGCAUGCUUAGGAUUUAAGCAUCCAUCUUUGUUGUCACAUUUGCAUCUAACACUUUCCAACUGCUAGUCUUCUAUGUCUAACAUUCAAGACCCUGCUCAAGAAUGAUAGCAUUUACCAAUCUCACGCUCAUUCAAUAAAUCAUCUUACCAAAUGCACUUUCAUUUUUGUAAUUAACAAUCACAAUAGUGAUUUUGAUAAUUCAAGUGAUAAUCGCUGUAGUUAAAACCCAUUUAACAACCUAUGGAGGAUUUGUGCACGCAAAUGUGACCGAAUGGUUUUUAAAUAAUUUUAUUUAAUUGGCUAUCCAACUUCAAAUCUUAAGAGAAAUAAGGGAUUUAAACAAAAUGAAUUUGAUCAAAAUGAAUCUGGACUUUGCUCACUGCCUCGAAAAAAAUAAAAACUACAUAAGGUUAUCGACACGAGUCUUCAAUGAUAAGCAAUUAGAUUAUAUUUUACUUUCCAGAAGAUAGCAUGUCUCAAAGAGGUUUAAGUCAAGAAAUUUCUAAAACGCAACAACAGAUGAACGAGUGUGAUUAGAAAGUGCCACAGAGAAAUGAAAAGAUGUUGGUGAAUUUUCAAAUAUGGAGGCAAAGAGUAAAGAAAAUUUCUUAGGAUUUGAGACGUGUUUACACACUUUCCUUUAAGGUUUUAUUUGCCCUCACCAAUCUUGGUUUGCUACAGAGUUUUAAUGGCAAAUUUCCCCCAAGAUAUAUCAAAUCCUGAAUACAAUCUCUAGCAAAUAAGAUUGUAUUUCCAGAACAUGUAUGAAACCUGUAAAAUCUGAUAUUAAUCUAAUUAUAUGUCUAUCUUUAAUGAAGAAGAUAUUUAAUUGAAAGAAUACAACCAUUAGAAAUGGUACUUCUUCAAAGACACUCUUUUGGUUUGAAUUUGCAUCGACUGACAAUUGAAAUUUUCAAGCUUGCUAACCGUUUUUCCAGUUGACGUCUCUCUGGAAAUAAACGGUUAGCCGUUUUCUAAAUAACGGCGAGCCGUUUUAUUUCAAAAUGUCAAAUAAGUUACUCACUGUAAAUAAACGGUUAGCCGUUUUCUCAAUAACGGUGAGCCGUUUUCUCUAAAAUAUGAAACCAAAGAUUGAAAAAUAUAACAAUCUCUCUUACAAAAGAAUACUAUAACUAAUACAUCUAUAAAUCUUAUUUCCAUGAUGACAUUAUAGCAGUGGGUUACCAAACCCAAUUGAAUUAUAUAUAUAUUUACUCGAAAAUUAGGUUAAACUGAUUACACAAAUUCUAUAGAAAAAUGGCCAAAAAAGAAAAUUAAAGAAAGACAAGUGCAGCAAAUUAAAGAUGUUUAAUUAAACCUCUCUAACCUUAAACAUAACAUAAGUCGUUGAGGUGCCGAAUAUGCAUGGAUCGAUCCAGUACCGUAAGUAACAAGGCAGCUUCUUCUAAUUAAGCAUAUUUCCGUUUGCCAGACCGCAACCUCACCCAGGAUCACAUGAUUAUCCUCCAACAAAACAAUCGUUGCCAAGGUCAUAAUGAAGCCAUCAUCAGACUGUCCGUGCUCUCCACGGACGGCAGCAGCUAUAAGCUCCUAAUAAAUCCAUCACAUUGCAACAACAUUUUCCAUCAAGAAAAGAUGUGCGGGACCCAAAUCUGCACUACGAAAAGCACCACGAAAGAAGUUGAGCAGCAAAGGUAUGUAAAUCGAGAGAAGAAAAUAAUGCACAUUGAUGGUUAAAGAGAGCAGAACGCCGGCCCGCCUGCUUUGUGUGCAGACAUGAGAUAAAGCUACUACGUAUUGUGCCCAGUAAAAGAUCGAAGAUGCUGAUUCGAUUCUGAUGCUGAAUCCCCAGACCAAGACUAAGGUUGGAGCAAGGGUUGCUAUGGCUGCAUAUUCAGAGCCCAACACCUCCGCGAACAAGAUCAUCCAGCUGUUUAAGUUUGUGAUGAGAAUCAUUGUUAACAAAGAUGACAUGUCGGGAAGAAGCUCAUGAUUGUGGGUUGGCCAAAUGGGCAUUUUCCCUUUUUUUUUUGUAAAUUUUUUUUCUCAGUAUUGUAUGUAACUUGUCUGUUUGGCUUCUGGGAAAAUAAAUAUGAGAGGAGAAAGCGAUUGGAGAAAAUUAAGCUGAGUCACAUGAUGAGGAUUGAGGCAGUCCAAACCAUGUGCUUCUACUCUGUUAGUGCAUUUACCUAUCUCAUAUAACAAAUGGAAAUGGCAGAGAAUUCAAAUUAAAGCUUCACAAAAUGGGAAACUGAGGUAUAAAGUGCUGGGUGGAAGUGACAAAUUAAGGAAUUUUGAAGGUCAUAGUCAUCUCAAUUUAUAGACUUCAUUAAUGCCAAUAUCUUAUUAAUUUCUGAAGUUGAAA
rnacentral:lncRNA from 1 species